rnacentral:lncRNA from 1 species
CACAAAAAACUGGAUAAAAACUAGUCUGAUUGGAUCCACCCAAUUUCUAAAUGCUAGAUUCUUAAAAACUGAAGGGAUCCAAACAGGACCUUAACUAAACCUGCAGUGGAGGGGGCUUUCCUGUAUGUUCCGUUUGCUCAUGUGAUGGUACUACAUAAUGAUGCAACUAUCACCAAAUUACAAACAAAGCGAAGAACAGAUACAAGGAUGGAGAAACUUAUAUUCAAUUUUUUAUUGAUGGGCUAGAAUAACAUCAAAUCCUAGCUCAAUACCUAAAAGAGGCAGAAAAAUCAAGGCAGUAAUUAAAAAAGAUCGGAAACGAUGUGGAGCGGGCGUCUGGCGCUCCCGCAACCGUCCGGACGCGCCGUAUGUGGGCUUUGAGGCCGUUUCGGGCCGGUUUCGGAGCGCGGGCGGCCCACUUCAUUCGCGUCUUCAUUCCUGGACGGUUUCCGCACUCCCAUUCAUCCGACACGCCCCAUUCCGACAACCGCGGUCGCGAGCGCAUCCACCGCAUCGCGCGCGGCGCCUCCACCGCGCCUGCCUCCGCCGCGCCUCCCGUCUGCAGCGCGUCGCCGGCCGUGGGCGCGCGGCUGGCCUCGAGUGCGCGGCUAGCCUCCACCUCGGCGCGACCGCGCCGCGCAGCGCCUCCACCGCGCCAUCCGCCCACCGUGCCGAUACACCGCGACGCUCGUCUCCACCGCGCCGGCCGUGUUCACCACGGCGCUCGUCUCCACCGCGCCUCCAACCCACCACCGUGAGGAAUCGCAUUCGCGCGGCCCGCUCUUCACAAAGAUUGCGACGGUUACUCGUCUCCUCCAACCCUAGCAGCGCAGGUAACACUCAGUGCUCCUUCUAAUCACUUGCUGAAGCUAGAUGUAGGCGAAAGUGUGCCAUGGCUCCCCUUGCUGCGGGAGAAAUUGGGGAGAAAUUAGAGCUACUACUCACGCUUGACUGCAUGUAUGCAUGUCUCAUAUUGUUGCAAUUCUUUCUGAGUUAGCUAUAUUCACUCCUAGGUAUGCAUGUCAUGUACAAAUUAUUACCGGAACUAUUAUAGAUUUUUUGUUUUUUGUUUUUGUUGAGACCUUCACAUAUUUGAUUGACUUUUGUAUUAGUUAUGAGAUAUUUUUCAUGUAGUUAAAUUGUGCUGACAUUACAUAGCGCUUGAAUUAGUUGUUGUUCAUGAUUAUGAUGAAAUUGGCCCCCUCUUCAUCCUAAUCCUACCUCCGCCACUGCUUAUAAUCCAUACCUGUUAUGUAUUUCUCCUUGUCAUCGGCUUCUCAUCGGUAACUGUUGUUUGUUUUUUUUAGGGAUGCAUACCAGAUCAGGCCUAAAUGCUUCAUCCGGCAGAGUUGAUUCGCCUAGCAGCAGCGAUGAUGAGGCAGAUGCUGGGCGGGGACGUGGUCGCCACCGUCAGGCAGUGAGGAAGAUUUCCAACACCAGGGCCCGAGCGGCUGUUGCAGUGAGCAGGGCUCGAACGACUGUUGUAGUGGGCAGAGGCAAGGGCAACACCGCCAAGAAGGCAGGUCAAGCAUCUUCGAGCAAUCCACGAUCGAACCUCUCUGUGAAAAAAUCUCCAAUGAAGAAUGUCAACAAGCAGCAAGGUAUGAUUAUUGUGUAAUGUUUGGAUUUGUGAUCAUUCGCCCAUGCUCUUUAUAAUUUCUAGAUCUGUCACAAUAAUCAACUUUUGAACAUGUUUCAAAUUAACCAGUAUUUCUUUGUUUCACCAUGACAUUACCAGUGUUUCAUACCUUUUUGUACAUAUAUAUUUUGCAACAAUCAACAACAUGGCAUCUAUAUAUUGACAUGUUUCAUUUUUUUUACAAUUUACAAUGUGAUUUGUACAGAGCAUGUAUGUUGUCCACCUGUGUGUUUGAUACAUGUAUCACCUUGUGUGUAUUUUUUAAAGUGUUACAAACUAUAUACCCCAAUUUUUGGAUUUAGUUUUAAUAUGUUAUUUUCUCUAUCUUUUUUACACAGCAAUUAAUGUUCCCAAAACCAAAAGCAGUGGCGAUGCCUUCAAAACCAGAUUUUCGUUGCACAGGAUCCGUGACUGCAAGUUCAAUCAGGAACAAAUAGGUUGGAUAAAUGAGGCUGGUUUAGGUGCUUUACUUAGCAUGUCUGACUUUUCCGUGCCUGUGAAUCUUGUUGCAUGGAUCAUGAAGCACAUUGACCCUGAUUUGAGAGAGUUUAGGCGCAAAGAUAAAGUUAUCGUAUUUGACAAGCAGCUUAUUUGCAACAUUCUUGGUGUGCCAAGUGGAGAUGAGCCUGUUAAGCUUACUUGCAAUGCGGAUGAAUAUGAAGCAUUCCUGAAGAUUCGUGAGCCUUUUAUGGAUGGAGUGCGAGGAAAAUUGUCGCAAUGCAUUGAUGUGUUGAAAACAGCUAAUGACAAGACCACUUUUUUGAGGGCAUUCAUGUUGCUUGCCUUGGGGUCUGUACUCUGCCCAGGCACAGACAAUGCCAUCACCCCACGGUACUUGCACAACUUAAAGGAUGUCUCUCUAAUCAGAUCAUUUGAUUGGGCUGGGCACAUUCUUGAUAAUUUGAUGAAUGAAGUCCGAAAGUACCAAACCUUUUCAAAACAAGAUGAACGUGCUACUGAAUGUCCUUACCUUGGCUCUUGCCUUGUGGUUUUUGAGGUAUGUUGAUUAUCCCUUCUAUGUUGUACCCAUCUGUAUUUCCAUUGCAAUGACUUUGCUGAUCUGUUUCAAUGGUACUACCUUAUAUGUUGCAUUAGCUAUCUAUACAUGUUUGAUUACAUAAGUUUCCAUAUACUGCAGCCGCGAUUUCCUAAUGUUGGGCCUUCAUGAUUUUUUGUACCAUUUGUAAUGUAGAUUGCAUACAUGGACUGUCUUGACAUACCUGCUGACCGGGCUACUCACAAAAUCAACUAUUCUGUCCCACGCAUUUGCCAUGUCACCAAGAAAGACUUUGAAUUCAUUUCAAAUGUUGACAGGAGUAGGGUUCAGCUUAAUGCAUAUGGGCAGCAACCUGUGAGUUUGAUGUUUUUUUCCAUCUUCAUUCAUCUUUAGUCAUUCCUUUUAGCCAUUGCAUUAUUUAUUUCUUUGUUAUAAUAUAUCUUCAUUCAUUGUUAGUUCCGAAAGAAAAGCCCCUAUCCUAUCCCAGUUCCCAUGACUGGUUACACUCCGUCUCCAUUGUCUGGACAAGAUGAAGAUCCAGUGCAGCCAAGCCUUAAUGACUGGAUGGAUUCCCAAGACACUUCCUCCCGCCAUCUAGAUGGUACACAUGCGGUUUCCAUUGAGGUGAUUUUGUUAAAACCAACUUGUAAAUUCCAGACAUGUUGCACAAUGUGCAUUCAUAUGUUUCACUGUACUUUUCCCAAUGUUUCAUUCUCUCCACUUCAUAUAUUGCAUUAUUUAUUGCAGUCUCUUCCUGAAGAAUACCAAGUUCUAUUGGCGGAGCAUAAUUCUUUGUUGGAGAAAGAUUUUGAUGAGCUUGCAAAUACAAUGAAAGAGCAAGGAAAGGCGAUUAUGGCAAAGCGUGGUGCUGAGUUGGCUUCUAAAUUUAUUCAUUUGAACAAACGUUUGAAUGAUGUUGCUUAUAUGUCAAAUAAGAUGAGCCACCUGAAGAAACCUACCAAUGACAAUGUCAACAUGCAUCCUCCACCAGAUCCAACAGGUUCAGCUGCUGUGUCACCCAAAAAACCAUCUAACCCAUUAGAGAGUACAACACAUGCAAGUACUUCUAGUGCACCAAUCGCACCGGAGGAUAGUACAAAAGGUCCAUUUCCUUCCCCUCCACCAAUUGCACCAGAUGUGAGUACUAAAGGUCCAGUUCCUUCAUCUCCACCAAUCCCACCAGCAGAUAGCACUAAAUAUGCAGUUCCUUCCCCUCCACUGAUCUUACCAGAUGAGAGUACUAAAGGUCCAAUUCCUUUCCCUCUAGCAAUCCCACCAAAGGAUAUCACAAAAGAUCCAGUUCCUUGCAAGCCAUCAAGCCCUUCAUAUAUAGAUCCGUAUAUAGAUGAUAUCCCUUCAUUUGACCUAUUCCAACCUGAUGACCCAGAGUACAAAGAUGUCUGUGGAGAAAGAUCAGGAAGCCCUACGCCUACCGGUAAACACUCCUAAUUUGUACAUGUGUUCAAAUGUGGCUUCUUUUUCCCUUUUUUCUAUACCCAUUGCAAUAACUUUCCUAAUCUGUUUCAUUUGUACCAUCUCAUGUGUUGCAUUAUAUCUGUCUACAUGUUUCAGUAGUUAUAUUUUCUAAAUACUGCAGCCUUGAUUUCAUAUUGUUUCAUUAGUACUGGCUUAUGUGUUGCAACAACCAUUCAUAUAUGUUUCAGUGAUACUGCCAAAUGUGUUGCAGUAUAUCUGUCUAUAUGUUUUAGUAGUUAUAUUAUUUUCUAAAUACUGCAGUCUUGAUUUCAUAUUGUUUCAUUAGUACUGGCUUAUGUGUUGCAGCAAUCAUUCAUAUAGGUUUCACUGGUAGUACCACAUGUGUUGCAGUACAUAUAUUUUCUAAAUACUGCAGCCUUGAUUUCAUAUUGUUUCAUUAGUACUGGAUUAUUUGUUGCAACAAUCAUUCAUAUAGGUUUCACUGGUACUACCACAUGUGUUGCACUAUCUAUCUACAUAUGUUUUAGUACACUUGUUUCCAUAUACUUUAUCCCAUAUUUUUUGUCCAGCAUACACAACCAUUGAUGCUUCCAAAGACAAUCAACCAGGCUCAAGCACAAUUGAUAAAAGGAAUAGAAAGAAGAGGAAAAGGAUUGAUGUUGGGCUUGGGCCGAAGCAAACAAGACCGAAGAGUGAUGAUGCUGAUAUCAAAGAAAUUUGGAACAACUUUUUGGCUAAAAGAGCCUUCGAUCAGGGAUUCAAGUUAGAGGGUGAAUGCCAACCGUGAGUUUACCCACUCCCCACUCCUCCUAUCUUUGAUCAGGGAUACAACUUUGAAUUGUCCUACACUUUGUGCACUGUUUUAAUGUGCUACCCAUAUUUUGUUGCACCAGGCUUGUUUACUUCUUGUGAAUGUAGUAUGCAUGUGUUGAAACUAGCUAUUUUUUUGUUUCUAUACUUCAUUCAUACUUGUUGAAACAAGCUUCUUUUGGUGUAGCACUUCGCUCAUCUUUCUUGUAGUAAGUUUUGAUUAUAUCUCCUUUCCUUUUUCUACAAGGCCACCUUUCAUUGAGAUUGAUCACUUUCACGUUACGUACGAUGAGUUCUAUGAUUCCUUCAAGGCAAGGGGAUUGGUUGGUAACAAUGUAAUGGCUUUGUGGAGUUAUGAGUUCAAUCUUGACCAGCUUCAAAUGCUUAAAGAGAAUAAAACAAGAGAUAUUAAAUUUGCUUUCCCCCAGUUGGCCACGGUAAUGAUACAAUACCUGUGACUUUCUAUUUCUAAAUGAAUUCCUCGAACUCAUCUUUUAUUUAGCUUUUUUCAUUUCUUAUUUUUCCAACCUUUUUUUUUGUGUGUGUGCUGCACAGUCAUUCUUGAGUGUGGAUCCAGCUUCUUUCAGUAAUGAUGGGACUCUCAAGAAAAUUUACACCAAGAUAAAUGAAACAUGGACUAUCGCCAAGAUGGAUCUGGUACGUGAGGUGUAUAUACAUUGUUUCGUUCCAAUGAGAAAGGCCAUCAACGAAGCAAGAUACACUCAUUUCAAAUGUUUCCAUACAUGUUGCACAAUGUGCAUUCAUAUGUUGCACUGUACUUUUCCCAAUGUUUCAUUCUCUCCACUUUAUAUAUUGCAUUGUCAUUUGCUGCAUGUGUCAAUGACUGAAAGGUGUAUGCAGAUGUUCUUUCUGAUAAUUUUUCAAGACCACUGGGUGCUUCUUUGUGUUAGUAUGUUCAUGAAGCAAAUUGCCUUCUUUGACUCUCUAAGCGCCUCUAAGGAGAGCUCAUGUUUGAAGUGUGCCCAGAACUUGGUAAGUGGAUCGGUGGAUUCCUUGCUGUUCAUUCUGCUUUUGUUAAAAUAGAUCUCGAUUUCAUGUUGCAUCAUUCAUUCUUUAGAUGUUGAAGUAGCUCUUGAUUCUGGGUUGCAUUUUGUAUUCCUGAAUUGUUUCAUUUAUUUUCAGAUUCAGAAUUUUGCAGCCACCGCACUGAAACAUGGGGUACUCAGAACUGAUGUGUCUCAUUUUGAGUGGAUCUACCCCGAGGGAUAUCCUAAACAAAAGAAUGUGUAUGUUGCACUUUUAGCAUGUCCUUCCUAGUCAUCAUUGCCUAAUGAUUUGUAUGUUCACAUGUUUUAUUUUCCUUUUUCUUUAAAAGGUAUGACUGCGGGAUAUUUACAAUGGUUUAUAUGGAUGCAUGGGAUGGCAAGAAGAUUGUGGAUCCAUCACUUGUGAAAGUAUGUGUUUUGAUUCUAAAAUAUUCUUAUUUUUAUAACUCUUAUUUUUUGUCUCUAAAUAUGCUUGCUCAGUCUUGCUUUGCUUUCUUUUUUUCAUUAUGUCUCUGCCUAGGAUUCGGUGCUAGACUUCAGGAAGCAUGCUGCUGCACUACUCCUUGGAUCAGAACACAAUGUGGUUAAGCUAGAUGAAUUUGUGAAGAAGUACAAUGCCAGGAAGACCUGAUGAAGUUGACGCUAUGUAGAUAGGAGGUGUUAGGAGAGCGAUGUGCCAUGAAACAUCAUAUUUCUUGUAAUAUGGAGUUGAUUCAUGAUACGCUACGUUAUCUAUCGGUCCAUGCUUGUUAAUGUUUGUUCAGUGUUGCCGUAAUUUGAGAUGUAACAGAAGUUGAUAACUGUUUCCUUGGAGAAUUACAGAUGUAACAGUGUUGAACCAUUGCUGUUUCACUAGAGUAAUUCAGAUGUAACAAUAGUGCUACUAUGCUGUUGCAAUAGAAGAUUACAGAUGUAACAGUGUUGAACCAUUGCUGUUUCACUAGAGUAAUUCAGAUGUAACAAUAGUGCUACCAUGUUGUUGCAAUAGAAGAUUACAUAUGUAACAGUGUUCAACCAUUGCUGUUUCACUAGAGUAAUUCAGAUGUAACAAUAGUGCUACCAUGCUGUUGCAAUAGAAUAUUACAUAUGUAACAGUGUUCAACCAUUUCUGUUUCACUAGAGUAAUUCAGAUGUAACAAUAGUGCUACCAUGCUAUUGCAAUAGAAGAUUACAUAUGUAACAGUGUUCAACCUUUCGAAUGUACACAGUAUAUACAACUGUUUCAUUAGGAUAUCUUCAUAUGUAACAGUAAUGAAACUUUGCUGUUUCAGUAGAGCAACUCAGAUGUAACAUUAGUACUGCCCAUUUGAAAUGAGUGCCCUUGCUUCGUUGAUGGCCUUUCUCAUUGGAACGAAACAAUGUAUAUACACCUCACGUACCAGAUCCAUCUUGGCGAUAGUCCAUGUUUCAUUUAUCUUGGUGUAAAUUUUCUUGAGAGUCCCAUCAUUACUGAAAGAAGCUGGAUCCACACUCAAGAAUGACUGUGCAACACACACACACAAAAAAAGGUUGGAAAAAUAAGAAAUGAAAAAAGCUAAAUAAAAGAUGAGUUCGAGGAAUUCAUUUAGAAAUAGAAAGUCACAAGUAUUGUAUCAUUACCGUGGCCAACUGGGGGAAAGCAAAUUUAAUAUCUCUUGUUUUAUUCUCUUUAAGCAUUUGAAGCUGGUCAAGAUUGAACUCAUAACUCCACAAAGCCAUUACAUUGUUACCAACCAAUCCCCUUGCCUUGAAGGAAUCAUAGAACUCAUCGUACGUAAUGUGAAAGUGAUCAAUCUCAAUGAAAGGUGGCCUUGUAGAAAAAGGAAAGGAGAUAUAAUCAAAACUUACUACAAGAAAGAUGAGCGAAGUGCUACACCAAAAGAAGCUUCAGUUCGUAUAUAAAACUAAAUUGGUUUAUAAUUUAUAAAUCAAUGUGUGCCUCAUAUAUACACUUAUUUUUGUUCAAGGAAUAUAAAUCUACAGCUUUAACUCUGUGUCCCUUAGGUGCAUUGCUGCCGAUAAGAACUUGCACGUCUCCACACCGUGGCCUUCUUCGUGGCAUACCAAGCACACCGACUCUUUGGCUUUGUCUUUCUUAGCCUUGGACUUGUUCUUCUUUAUUGCUUUUUCUUUCACUUGUUGUACAAUGGUCUUCUUACGGUCAACCUUGUUCCUAGGCCUCCCUUGUGGAUCUUUUGCUGGAGGGUUCUUGAACUUUGUUUGUUUCACCCCUCUCUCCACCUCCUUUGCACCCUCAACUACAUUUGGGGGAUCAUUUUGUCUUGAAAUCAAUGCUUUCGUGGUUUCCUUCACCUUUUCCCUCAAAUGAUCGAUCCCUUGUGAACCCACUGUUGACGGUCCUUAAGUAUCAAAUUUAAUUAUCAAAUAAAUAAAGAAAAGGAUCCAAAUGAAAUCAAGAUCUAGACUUAGGGUUUUAUCUGACAGAAUUCCAAGAGUUUUGGUGUUUGUCUAUUUCUGCAGGGGGUUAUCAGGAAAUAUGGAAGAAAGGCCCACAUGUCAGGAUUACGUAAAGAUAUUAACGUGCUGCGCAAUUAUCUUACAUCUAGAAGACUCCAGAAGCCACGAGACCGAAGCGGAGGCGAAACGGGGCCAGAGGCAGGGCGCCCGCCCUGUCCUACUGGGCGCCCGCCCCCUGUCCAAGUCCAAUCAGGACUCUGCUUUGCGGGAAGUCUCCACCGACCUAAAGGAUGAAUCUAAACCAUACAAUCUAUGUCGGUUUGAUCCAAGGGCCCAUAUUCACUUGAAGGGACUAUAAAACCAGACCCCCUGGCCCCUGGAGGAGAGAGCCUCUCAACCCUAAUUCAUUGUUCCAUCAAGGGAGAAGAAGCCUCUGAUCGAGAUUAGAGCCACCACAUCAAUUAGAUAUCUAGAUUAGCAUAGCUACAUAGGAUUAGAACUAGAAGGAGUCAAUCUUUGAUUGGUUUCCGGAUCUGUCAAGAGGAUUCUUGGUAAUUCUCUAAUUGUGUUUCUAAUUGCUUUCUAAUUAUCUUUGUUCUUCAAUAUUAUGAAUAUGACUUUGUUCUACUUUAAUAUAUUGCUUAUGACUUUGCUCUACUUGCUUAUAUUCAAGAUUAUAUUGUUCUUAGUUUAUCAUAGUUAUGUACUUGGCUUAGUUAGAUACGAUCUAUAUACAUGCUUAGGAUCGUAUAGCGUUUAUCCAUCGGAUCCAUGGGUAAAUGAUAGAUAUUGUGUAGGUGUGGUGCUUAUACCGUAUUUAUCUGCGAUUGUACCCAAUAUGCCAGAUCGUGGGGUGGUUCAUGAUAGUGACAGCUUCAUUGAUUCUUAUAUAGUCCCCCUCUCGUGUAUUGGGCUGGCAGAGCAACAUUAUUACACGGGAGUGAUUGCUAUGUUUCUCAUAUUCCUUGCUAAUAUCACUAUGCAUGGGCAUAGUCUUGUCUUGCAAUGAUUGCUAAGUAUGCUUGCACUAACUAUGAUAAUGCUAGACUAUAUAGUUAAGAAUAACUUAGGGAAUAUUCUUGUAGUUCGUUCUAAUACCAUGCUAAUGACUUUCUAGAGUAUCUAAUUGAGGUGCUUAUCAUAUUUAUUAUGUGGCUAGAUCAGAUUAGUUAUCCUUGUCACUAUUAUUAUUUCAUAUAUCUUUUAUGUGACACUUAUCCCUGUAUGAUGAGUUAGAUAUAAUGUUCUCAAUUAUACAUGCAAUGAUAGAUGCUCAAUCUCAUAUUCUAUUCUGUAAUCAUUAGUGAUGAUUUCUAAUCCCUUCCCAGUGGUAAAAAUAUAAAUAACGAUACCUGAAAUACUUCCCGGUUAAAAUGCUGCAUCGGUAUUAAUCUGUGCGCUUGCAGAUCCCAUUCAUUAUUUAUUUAGAAGAGCAAUUGCAUAUUUUAGUACCGCGUCUCUUAUAUCAUGCUGGGGAUGACAACUUGGCUUAAGUGGUGUAAGGGAUAGGUUUGGCAUUUUUGGCACCGUUACUAGAUUUAGAGAACUUAGUCUACUUUUAGUAAUGAUGUUAAGAAUACCCAACAAGCAUUUUUGGCGCCGUUGCCGGGGAAGGUUGAUUACCAAUCAGGAAUAGAAUAAAAGAUUUAGAGUAAUCAUUCGCAUCACUAAUAUGAUUGAGCUUAUCUAUUCUCUCAUACAGUUUUACCUCGAUAUUUUUCUAUUUUAUCUUAUGCAGGGGAAUGUAUGAAUAGAAGACAUCUUCCAGGAAAUUUUGUUGACGAUCCCGAAGCAUUAUUCAAGAAGACAAGAGCCAAGCUAAAGAAAUCAUCAACACUUCACGAAGAAGCUUCAUCCAAUCAAGAAGAUCACCGGAACUUGUCUUCAGAGUUCGAAGCCAUGGCGAACAAAUCAAUCCGCGAGUUCUCAGCUCCCACUACGGACAACAUCCGCACUGGACCUGCUGCAGAGAUCGAUGGCAACUUUGAGCUCAAGCCUGAACUUAUCAACAUGGUGCAAUCCAACCAGUUCUGUGGGAAGGCACACGAAGAUGCUAGUGCUCAUUUACAACACUUCCUGGAGAUUUGCAACACAUUCACCAUAGCAGGAGUUUCCAAAGACGCUAUACUACUUCGCCUCUUCCCAUUCUCACUGUUAGGAAGAGCGAAGCAGUGGUUCUACGCUACAAAGGAGAAGAAUACUACAUGGGCACUCUGCUCAACAAACUUCCUGGCUAAGUUCUUUCCCAUGGGCAAGACCAAUGCUCUUCGUGGGAAGAUUACAAGUUUUCAGCAACAAAAUGAUGAAUCUGUUCCAGAAGCAUGGGAGCGCUUUCAAGACUACAUCCUAGAAUGUCCCCAUCAUGGAAUGGAGAGUUGGCUAUUGAUGCAGACAUUCUAUCAUGGGCUCAGCAACAGUGCCCGAGAGACCAUGGAUGCUGCAGCUGGAUGAGCAUUCUUAUCACUUACUAUACCACAAGCCACAGCUCUUGUGGAGAAGAUGGCGUCCAAUCAAAGCUGGAAUGAAGAGAGGACCCAGACACGCAAGAGAGGUGGAGGUAUGCAUCAGCUGAAAGAGGUAGACAUGCUGUUUGCAAAGCUAGACCUGCUCAUGAAGAAGCUCGAUAAUAGAGCUGGAGACAAGAAAGAAGUUAUGCACAUCUAUGACUCUCACAUGACUUGUGAGGAGUGUGGAGACACUGGACACUCAGGCAACCACUGCCCUGAGAUACUUGAGGAUGUGAACUACAUCAACAACAACAACAACUACUACAACCGUCCUCAACAAAAUCAAGGUUGGAAUCAACAGAGGCCUAACUACUCAGGUAAUUAUCAAGGUAACAAUUCUUACAACAAUAAUAAUUUUCCACCUUUGAGAGAGUUAGUGUCUAAUCAAGGAAAGCUAAUGGAUAAUCUAUCUAAGAAAUUGGCAUCUAAUGAUAAAAUACUAGAAAAUAUAAAUAAUAGAAUGGAUAAUUUCUCUACUGCCAUCAAGAAUCAAAUUAGCUUUAAUAAAAUGAUUGAAUCUCAGUUAAAUCAAAUAGCUGCUGCUGUUCCUACUACUAACCCCGGUAUACCAUCACAACCGGAAGGAUUAGAAUCUGCAAAUCUUGUAGACACGUUUGAUGCAGGUAAUUGGAGUAACCCCGUCACUGAAUUUUCUACUGACCGUCUGCCGGUCAAGAGAGGCGAUCCAGGACGCCCCGUCAUCCCGAUCUCCAUCGGCAUGGUGGACUUCCCAGAAGCACUCUGUGACUUUGGCUCUAGCGUCAACAUUAUACCCAGGGUACUCUAUGAAAAAUUCUUUACAUAUCCUUUAUUAGAGACAACCAUGUGUUUGCAGUUUGCAGAUCAGACGAUAACUUUUCCAAAAGGAAUAGUGAGGAACCUUUGUGUCCGAGUUGGUACCUUGUAUGCACCAGCAGACUUCGUAGUGGUAGAGACCGGAAAUGAUGAGAGAGCACCUAUCAUGUUAGGGAGGCCAUUCUUGAACACCACGGGAGCUAUCAUCUACGCCAGUGCUGCCAAGAUCAGUUUCUAUGUCAAAGGGAAGAAGGAAACAUUUUUCUUCAAGAACAAGACUACACAAAUUCCAAAUCAAUCCAGACGUGAAUCAAGGAAGAGGACCAACAGGAGGAACAGGAACAAGCAAGUGUGGACCGAGUCAGCUAAGAUGGUCACUGAAGUCCAUGGAGGCCAAGAUCACCGACUGAAGUCAUCGUUUUUGACUAAGAAGGACGACCAAGGAAUGCCAAGCAUCUACUGCUCCAUAAAUGGAUACAACUUCUACAAGACGAUUUGCGACACCGGAUCAGGCGUCAACAUAAUGGCCGCAGUCACCUAUCGGCUCUUGUUCGGGACCAUGCCACUAAGACCAACAUACAUUCAGCUCCAGAUGGCAGAUCAGACAUUUCGAGAAGUUCAAGGAAUAGUAUCUGAUGUCCCAGUUAAAAUAGACGAUCACUUUGUCUACACAGACUUUCAAGUUGUUGACAUCGGAGAAGACGAGUAUGAUCCACCCAUCAUCCUUGGAAGGCCGUUCCUCAGCACCGUUAAAGCAAUUAUCUACAUUGGAACCGGAGAAAUCCAUAUGCACUUCCCCUCAGAGAAGGUACGCCGUUAUUUUACUGACCCUAACUAUAUCGUUGAAGAAUCUAAGCAGGUCAGAAAGAGACGCAACCGCAACCAGAGGAGGCAGAUCAUCAAGGACGGAUGGGCAGACUAUGAAGGAGAAGUUGUAAGGUCAGAAGACGUAGAGUUUAAACAGAAUUAUCCAGAGGAGAUUGAAGCACCGAGUCAGGUAUGGAAAAUGAAGAUAACUAUACAAGAAGAGGAGGCGCUGCCGGAAGUACCGACUACGCCACCCAACGAACCUCAGGACGAUUAAGAAAUUGAAGAGUCCCGUUCGGAGGACUUAAAAACACCGAACGCCUUGCCAAGAGGUAAACUUGGUAGUUAUCCUUUCUUUCAGUUACUUAAAAUAGUUUAUUUAGUUAAACAUGUUCAUACUAUCCUAAAAAGAAAAUAAAAAUAUGAAAAACAGUAAGCCCCAUGUGAGUAUACGAGUGGCAUAAAACCCAUACGUACAUUCACUGUGGUGGCAUAAAAAUAAAAUAAAUAUUUUUCUGCUUUAUAAAAUAAAAAUAUAAAAACAGGGAGUAAUAAUUAUUAAGGAGUCUCAAGAUGAUGAAGGCUAUAUAUUUAUGCUAACACUUAAUUAGUUCCACAAGCUUUGUUGUCUAUUUGAGCUCCACAGAAUUUAAGAAGACUAGCAGACGGAGGACAUUCUAAUCGCUGUCAGAAUGCUGCUGACUUUCAACUACACCUCUGCCACCUGCUAGCUACAUCAAGAGAAAUUACGUCAAAAUUCAGCUUGGGGGAGAGCACCCCCAUUUAUCUCGAUAAGUAUUUCUAUCUAUCUUUAUACUUAUAUUAUUUUAGAAUAUUAAAAUACACAUAAACUAUGGGAAAACCAAAUAAAGAUUUUAUGCUUAUAUAUAUAUGUCUUUUGCUUAGUGUGUUUAAUAAAUAAAUAAAGUGGCUAUGCUAAUCUGUAUCUAAAUAAAACUUAAGCAUGGAUAUGAUGAAAAGUUGCUCUGCCUAAUUUGCAAAUUUUAAGUUCUCUCUAAAGUUUAGACAAAACAGUUAUAAUUUAAAGCUUGCUCUAGACCUAAACUUGUGGGAUGAAAACUUGAUCUGAAGUCUAAGUUGUUAACGGAUACGAUAUGGGAAGGUUGAGCUGCUGUUUAUCUGUUCCUAGAGAUGCUAGAAUUCUGGAGAAUUUUAUCUUUGAAAAUCUUUAAAAUGUUGCAUGAUGAGAGCUUAAAUUUCUACCACAGCCAUAUAUACAUGCUUGCUAGACUUUGAGCCACACAUUUAUUAUUUACUGCUUAUGAGCAUUGAGUGUGGUCAAGCUGUGUAGACCCUUAGGAGCUUGUCAUGUGGUUAAAUCAAGAUUUCACUUGCACGUUCACUCAUAUAUGCUACUUCUAUUCCGGAAGUACCAUCCACAUAUAUCCAACCAUUCCAUCUCCAGAAUCACCCAAAAAUAUUCUACUCCUAAUCCGGGAGAGAAUAACCAAAAAUAUUUUCUGUUUUCCCUUGUGAAAUAAAUGCUCAAGUUAUCUUGUUACUACCACUUGCUAUAUUAUCUCAAGAGAUGAGUGCUCUAAAAAAAAGAAGAGAAAAUAAUACGAGGAAAUAAAAAGGAGCAAGUGCUCGGAACCUCAAAAGAAAAGAAAAAGUGAGACGAGAGGUAAAAAUGGACAAGUGUCCGACAGUAUAAUUAGGGGUGCAAGAUACCCACGUGAGAGAAAAGAAAAAGAAGAGCAUCUCAUUCUCCUCAUAAAGUUUCAAAAGCAAGGAAGGUAUGUAUCCCCUCAAAAGAGCAAAGUAGAAUUAGACUUCCACCACCAUUGUUUUCACCAUUAUUAUCACCAUCAUCACCAUAUACCAUUCAUUCGCCACACAUGCACAUCUUGAUUAAACUUAUUGACUUGUUACUUUGGAUCCAUGGUUUGACUAUGCAAUAAAUGUCUUGUAAGUAUGUAUAUUUUAUCUCCCACCUAUGAGCUCUAGAUAUUAAAGCCUUAUUAGAGUAGGGUGAGAGAGAAGGCAAUAUCACUAUGCCUCAUACCACAAAUACCACAUAUCUUGAGAGAAGGCAUAUACCAUCAAUGCCUUGGUAAGGAUCCAGAAAUACCACAAAAGAGAGACCUGAGAGAAUCAUACAAGGAAUAUCUGAGUUUUAUUUGAAAAUCUGCAAAAAUCCCAGAGCUAUAGCUGAUCAAGAAUAAGAGACAUGGCACUUUGCUAGACUGUUCUAUCUUUUAACCACUCAAGACAGAAGUGACAGUUACAAGUCCCAUGGUGGAGGUAAAGUAAGUAAGUUUUAAGUCUUGACAGUUUACUCUAACUCAGAGAUGAGAUCUUAUUUAAAAGCAUGUGUACCGCCAAUUUUUUUAAAAAAUAUAUUGCAACAACUUCUGAUCCAUAGCUGAGUCUAUCCUUGCUCAGGGACGAGCAAGAGGUAAGCUUGGGGGAGUUUGUUGACGGUCCUUAAGUAUCAAAUUUAAUUAUCAAAUAAAUAAAGAAAAGGAUCCAAAUGAAAUCAAGAUCUAGACUUAGGGUUUUAUCUGACAGAAUUCCACGAGUUUUGGUGUUUGUCUAUUUCUGCAGGGGGUUAUCAGGAAAUAUGGAAGAAAGGCCCACAUGUCAGGAUUACGUAAAGAUAUUAACGUGCUGCGCAAUUAUCUUACAUCUAGAAGACUCCAGAAGCCACGAGACCGAAGCGGAGGCGAAACGGGGCCAGAGGCAGGGCGCCCGCCCUGUCCUACUGGGCGCCCGCCCCCUGUCCAAGUCCAAUCAGGACUCUGCUUUGCGGGAAGUCUCCACCGACCUAAAGGAUGAAUCUAAACCAUACAAUCUAUGUCGGUUUGAUCCAAGGGCCCAUAUUUACUUGAAGGGACUAUAAAACCAGACCCCCUGGCCCCUGGAGGAGAGAGCCUCUCAACCCUAAUUCAUUGUUCCAUCAAAGAAGAAGAAGCCUCUGAUCGAGAUUAGAGCCACCACAUCAAUUAGAUAUCUAGAUUAGCAUAGCUACGUAGGAUUAGAACUAGAAGGAGUCAAUCUUCGAUUGGUUUCCGGAUCUGUCAAGAGGAUUCUUGGUAAUUCUCUAAUUGUGUUUCUAAUUGCUUUCUAAUUAUCUUUGUUCUUCAAUAUUAUGAAUAUGACUUUGUUCUACUUCAAUAUAUUGCUUAUGACUUUGCUCUACUUGCUUAUAUCCAAGAUUAUAUUGUUCUUAGUUUAUCAUAGUUAUGUACUUGGCUUAGUUAGAUACGAUCUAUAUACAUGCUUAGGAUCGUAUAGCGUUUAUCCAUCGGAUCCAUGGGUAAAUGAUAGAUAUUGUGUAGGCGUGGUGCUUAUACCAUAUUUAUCUGCGAUUGUACCCAAUAUGCCAGAUCGUGGGGUGGUUCGUGAUAGUGACAGCUUCAUUGAUUCUUAUAUAGUCCCCCUCUCGUGUAUUGGGCUGGCAGAGCAACAUUAUUACAGGGGAGUGAUUGCUAUGUUUCUCAUAUUCCUUGCUAAUAUCACUAUGCAUGGGCGUAGUCUUGUCUUGCAAUGAUUGCUAAGUAUGCUUGCACUAACUAUGAUAAUGCUAGACUAUAUAGUUAAGAAUAACUUAGGGAAUAUUCUUGUAGUUCGUUCUAAUACCAUGCUAAUGACUUUCUAGAGUAUCUAAUUGAGGUGCUUAUCAUAUUUAUUAUGUGGCUAGAUCAGAUUAGUUAUCCUUGUCACUAUUAUUAUUUCAUAUAUCUUUUAUGUGACACUUAUCCCUGUAUGAUGAGUUAGAUAUAAUGUUCUCAAUUAUACAUGCAAUGAUAGAUGCUCAAUCUCAUAUUCUAUUCUGUAAUCAUUAGUGAUGAUUUCUAAUCCCUUCCCAGUGGUAAAAAUAUAAAUAACGAUACCUGAAUACUUCCCGGUUAAAAUACUGCAUCGGUAUUAAUCUGUGCGCUUGCAGAUCCCAUUCAUUAUUUAUUUAGAAGAGCAAUUGCAUAUUUCAAUACCGCGUCUCUUAUAUCAUGCUGGGGAUGACAACUUGGCUUAAGUGGUGUAAGGGAUAGGUUUGGCAUUUUUGGCACCGUUACUAGAUUUAGAGAACUUAGUCUACUUUUAGUAAUGAUGUUAAGAAUACCCAACACCCACCAUGUACUCUUCUGGACCCACACAAGCAUUAGCAGCCAGCUGUGUCAUUUUCCUACAUAAUGCAUUGUACCUUAGCUUAUUUGUCGCUGGAACACCAAACACUGGUUCAGGACCUGACAAAUGUUGAGGAACUUUCAGCGUAGCUUCUUCAGACCACCUGUGCAGCAGAUACUUCUGCGGUACAUGUUGCACAUCAAGUGUAGUAAAGACUUUCAGGAUGUGAGGACAUAGGAGACCAUCUUGGUCAAACAUGUUGCAAGAGCAAGUGUAUGUUUCAGACCCCUGAUUCGCAGCAACAUUGUAUGUUUUCAAUGUCACCUCACCUUCCUUGUAUACUCGUUUCAACACCUACAACAUAAGUACAAAAUAGGGGUACCAUCAAUUUACAAAGUCACCCAGAAUUAUUGUUUCAAUGGACUCUAGAUUCUGUUUCACUAGUAAUGAAUAACAUGUUUCAGUAUUUUUGUAAAACAGAACAUCUAUGUAUGCUGCAACAGAAAUGUGCAGUCUGUAUGUACACCUUACCUGCACUGUCAUUUGGCUUCCCUCUUUAGCAAUCGAAUCUAUAGUUAAUGCCGUGGAAUCACGCAACAACUCUUGAAACUUGAAGAAAAUACUUCUAGUGUAGAACUUAGAUACUUGCUUCUCAAUUUGAGACCUCCCCCACAGCGGUGGAUUUGUCGUUUCACCUUUUGCUGCUUCUCGAUACUCCUUCUCAAUCCUUGUUUCCAUUAUGUACUCAUAUUGGGUAAGGAACUGCAACACUGAGUCCUGUGGGUGCACCAUUGUCUUGAAUAAUGCAUUCAUACUCUCAGAUCUUCCUGUUGUGCUUGUGAAGGGAAAGAAGCAUUUAUUGAAAUAUGCAGGUGCCCACAUAGACUUGGUUGAAGACAUGUUCUGAAAAUGAUCAUUGCUAUGCAUAUCAUACUUCACCCCUAUGUUAUGCCACAACGUCUCAAACUCCUCUGGAGACUCGGUGAAGUUGAUGCAAUAGUCAAACUCAUCUGCAAAUUCUGGGUUGUUUCUAAUUAACCAACCAAACUUCUCACAAGCUUUGCUGACCACAUGAAACUUGCAGCACCUAUGUGUUGUAUAAGGGAAUACCUGUGCUAUUGCAGCUUUCAUGGCCCUAUCCUGGUCAGUCAUGAUGUUGGUUGGUGCUAUUCCACCCAUUGCAUCCUUGAGCGUUUGAAGCACCCACACAAAUGUUUCAGUAGUCUCAUCCGGAAGCAGAGCACAACCUAGUAGGAUGCUUUGGGCAUGAUUGUUGAUCCCAACAAUUGGUGCAAAGGGCAUGUUGUACCGGUUAGUGCAGAACGUCGUGUCAAAGAAUAUGCAAUCCCUGAAGCACUUGUACAACUCCCUUGAUCUGCCAUCAACCCAAAACAACCCCCUUACAGCAUUCUCAGCAUCUAGCUUGAUAGCAUAGAAGAAGCUAGGGCUCUCGGCUUGCAACUUCUGAAAAUACUCUAGGACAGCAUCCAUGUCUCUGUACCGUAGUCCUGCCCUCAAGUGUGUCCUCAUAUUGGAGACAUCCUUACUGUUGAAGGUUAGGUUUCCCACGCCUCCAUGGAAGUCUCCUAGCACUGCCAUGAUUUGCAUGGUGGAUAUGUUUCGAUGGUGCAGUGUCUUCAAUAGCUCAUAAUCUGCCCAUGAUAUUCGUUUGUGCGACCGCAGCUGCAUUACCCUGCCCUUUAUCUUCACCAAAGGGUGUGUAUGCUCUACUUGAAACACCACAACCCUCCACCUUCCGUUACGUAGACCCACAACCAUAUGUGCCUUACAAUCUGCCUUCUUUAACGUGCUUCGUUUCCUUGUUGCAGUGGUCAUUACCGCUGUUGCACUCUUCUUCUUGGAUGUAGUUGCUGCCGAUGAUGAUGCAUUACUCGAUGCACUUUCUUCCUUUUCACCAGGUGUAAUCCUUGCAUGCAAACAUUCAAACUCCUUCCUUAUCAAUUGUUUAGUCACACGACUACUUCUUGAUGAGCCUAUCCUGAUACUGAAUCCCAUCUUGAAUGCAUAAGCGUUGUACACCCUCCUUGCUUCAUCUAUUGUAUCAAACUCCAUCCCUUCAAAUGGAACAAUUGGUUGGGAGCUAACAACGUCCUGUUCUUCUUCAUACACCAACUCGUCAUCAGUUAUCUCCACAUCAACACCCUCAAACGGCUGAACUGCUGCCCCGUUAGAAAGACUCUGAUCAAGAAUAGGGUCAAUGGAACCCUAUGUUACAAAUACAUUGUCAGAUUACACACGCAGUCAACAACAGCUAAUUAUUUUGAAGGAAAUAAACAAUUUUAGUUAGAGUUUUCCAAAAACAUACUUCUGAAACAUAGGCAGCCCUGUUAGUGCUUGAAGUUGCAACAAUCUGGUGAUGUCCACUAACAGAAUCGUCAUCAACCUCCUGCACGUUUCAAAGUGUCAUCAUAGAACACACAGCAGAACACACAGACAACCAAAAUUCUUGUUGCAGUGGACUCUGGUAAAUAUUUGAGUACUAUUGUAACACAAGUUUCAGUAGCAAAACAGAGGAAUUACAUGCUGAUUGGGUUGAUUUGAAUUCGUCACCACCAUCUCCUUGCCCCUGGUGAUUGCAACAGGCACUCCGUCCCUUGAUCCCCGGUUUGGGCCCUCCUUGCGCCCGUCUACCCAUAGAUCUGUCUCACGGCCCUCAACAAUCGCCGGGGGACGGCAGCCCGUGGGGAUCUCGGCGUUGGCCAGCAGAUGAGACAUGAAGCGGUCGAAGGCGACGGGGGAACGGGUUUGCCGGUGCCAGCGCGGGGAGGACCUCUGCGGAGGGGAACACGGAGGAGGGGAACGGCGGGAGGAUGGGCGGCGUGGCGAGACGGGCGGCGCGGCGGGAUGGCUUCGCGGGGCCACGCGGACGGCGGCGCGGCGGGAUGGCUGCGCGGGGCUCCGCGGACGGCGGCGCGGCGGGAUGGUUGCGCGAGGCCGCACGCGAGCGCGCCGCGAGUCGGGCCGCACGCGAGUCCGGAUUGGUUGGGUCUCUGUCCGUUGGUCGGGUGUUAGGUGCGUCCGGACACACACCUACGAGCCGGACGUCCGGGCGCUAGGUGGACGAUUCAAAGUAAAAAAAGACCGUAACUUGUGGUUCACCUUCUGGAUUACGCCUCACAUCCUCUAUUCUACUUUGCGUUGUUUCUUUUCUAAGUGUUUUUGGGCAAGAUUUUUUUAAUCACAUUAGAGACUAAGACAGUUGACAUUUACACCCUACUCCUACGAGAACAUCCGAAAGACUAAGAGAAUCACUACAUGUGUUGACGCCAGCAUACAACGUUGUUAAAUUCUUAAAUAAUCCAAAAAAGUAUGAGACCUAUGUUAAGUCAAGGACUUAAAUAGGAGUAGACAUGUUCCAUCAUAAGAAACUCAAUCAACUGUCUGCCUCUAUGUAUUAUCAUUGUAGCUUUCGUUGCUUAGUCCUCCCGUGAAUCACGAAAUAUAUAACCUGCGCUCUGAGAAAUAUGAUCAACAUGCAUAUUUUGUUUAUGACUUUAAGCUCUCAGCUAACAAAUUUUAAUAAUGCUAAUUAGGGUAUGCACGCUUUUAUGUAGAUAUACACAAAUUGUUUAGAGACCAUCGGAAACUUUCAUCUACAUUUUGAAACAUUUUAUUGGUAUAAAGGAGAUAUAUAGCAUUCAAGUCUGACAUUUGAAAACUUGAAACAUUUAAUUCAACACUUACUAUUGUAUACAAAUAAUCAUGAGUUCGUCAUUUAGGAUUUGUUCUUUUAUGCAAUGUAUUGAGAGUUUCCAACAUUGCAAAUAAACAGGAAAAAUAAGAAAACAAAUUUAUGUGGCUAGUGUGGAUGCACUUUUCUCUUGCCACUAGCACUGGUUACAGUUUCGCCAGGUCCUUUUUUUCCCACCCGAGUCCAGACUUCAAGGCUAUAAGCUCGAGUGAUACGGUUUAUUUAAAGGGUAAUAUAUAUAUAUAUAUAUAUAUAUAUAUAUAUAUAUAUAUAUAUAUAUAUUAACCUUCGAGUUGUACGACACUUUGAUUUUCACCCAGAACAAUAAAAGUGGAUAGUGAAUAUAUUCCAAACAUCAAAACCGGACAAAUUUAGUCCUUUAAUUGGUUUCAAAUGCACGUUUCUAUUAUUCUAAAAACAAUAAAAAAAAUAUGGUUUGGUAUUUGUAAAUUCAUAAUCAAUUUAUUGUGAAUUAGAAAAAUAUGAAACUAGUUAUAUUAUUCUUAUAAAAAUGUUAUAUAUUCGUUGGUGCUCUAGUAAGAAUUAUUUAGAUCUUAUUUGUUUUAGAUAAAUAAUGAGUAUCGCUACAAGCAAUAAAACAAUCGAAGCAGAAAUAAAUCAGUUUUAAAUAACUAUGCAUGUGUGUGUUCAUUAACUAUUUUAGAAAUCAAACUAUUUUUUAUUAUUUUUAAACAUAGAAAACCACCUAUAAAACUAGUCGAUCGAUGGAUCAAAUUUGUCAAGUUUCAACUGUUAGAGUGAGUUCAUUACUUGAUUUCACAAUUGAUGGUUCAAGAUCUAACUGACAUGUAAUUUAGAGGUUGAAAGAUAUAAUUUACUCUUGUUUAAAAGCUAUUCUAUUCGUCCAUAAAAAAUGCAAUUCUCAAAUGAUUUAAAGUUUGAUCAAAGUUAUAUAAAAAACUAACAAUUAUGAUAAAAAAUAAGUACUAUUUAAUUAAUUGUGAAAUACAUUCUUAUAGUAAUGUUAGUUUUGAAAUAUAAAUGUUUAUAUACCUAUUUCAUGUAUAUUGGAUUUUUUAUUUAUUUUCUAUUUUGUUUGGUAAAUUUAGAGCGUUAUAAUCUAGAUUUAUAUGAUCAAUACGGUAGUUUUAGCCCAUGAGACUAAGGAAGAUUAUUUCUUAAAACUUUACUUGGCAAAAAAAAUUAUUAGUACCUUUUCCAACAUUGAUAAGUCAUUACCAUUUUUAAAAUAAAUUUUAGCUUGAAUCUAGGUAUUCUUUUUCUUUACAUUCAUUUGGAGACCAAACUUUUAACGUCUUAUAGUUCUUAUUAGCUUUUUGCCUUAGCAAUUGUGUUUUCCAUGGAUUAUGUAUUUUGGUAUUUUUCCUUCCAACUCAUAUAGAAAUCAAAUUGUUAUUUUAUUAAUUCAUUUAUUAUCUAGGAUUUAUUGUAUAUUAAUUAUAUUAACUAUCAAUAAGCAUGGAACCGCUAGAUCAAUAAAAACUAAAAUAUUGUACGUUUUCUAUUUCUCUGAUUAAUCUCAUAAUUAUAUUAGGCAUGGACUUUUUUUAUUUUGAGGUUCAUUUCUUUUAUAAUUAAUCUCAUAAUUAUAUGAGGCAUGGUCACAUGGACUCUUUUAUAAUCUAAGUCAUUGUAAAUACAUAAUUUCUCCUAAUGAAUUUCUUAAGCCUACUAUCAGUAGUCUUGAGAGAACCACCAGUGUAAAAACAAGAUUUCUACUGGCAAUUCUCUUAAUUCUACUAUAGUAGAAAUGUAUUUGCACUAGUGGUUUUAUUAACUUGGUGCGAGUACAAAUAAUUUGAACUCAUUUUUUGAGUUUUUAAAAUGAUCUCGGAUAAAAAAAUGAUCUAAAUAAAAUCUGUAGUACUCAAAAGGAUCUACAAACUUAUAGUUGAUUACUUUUUAUUUGAAAUAAUUUAGGGUCCCAAAAUGAUCUACAAACCUUGGAUGGAAAAUGAUCUAAACUAAAGUUAUAGUAUUCAAAGACAUCUAAAACUUUUCAGUUAAACCUUUUCAUUUGAAAUGAUUUAGGGUUUCAAAUGUGUAUUACAAUAUUUACUAAAGUGAAUAUAAAAAAAAUGUAUGCGGUAGUCAUCACAAUCAACUUUGAGGUGUAGUGGUUAGGAAAGAAACGUGCGAAGUCUAAGAUUGUGAGCUCAAUUCUAGCAACCUCACGUGUGUGAAAAAAAAUCACGAUGCCUAAGGUUAGCGAUUUGAAAAGACGCUAGUACAAAACAAAAAAAAAUACCGCUACUAGAUUCUUUUUUUAUUGGUGCUCCAUAUAAUUCAUAGAAUUUCUUCUUAAUAGGAAAUGAAAAAAGAACACUCAUAAAUCAUGAGUAUGCAUUUAUUGGACGGGCAAAUCCCUUUUGUUAAUAAGCAAUAGUUAUUUUGGGUAUUCAAAAGUGUAUUUGGGGUUAGUAUGUAAGGCAACAUAUCAAACAAUCCCCCAUAUACGGGUGACGGUUAAUUAGAUCCAUUGCUUUCAGGUAUAUAUUUAUCUUUACUAUAUAUAUGCAGGCACAUUCAUUUUUUUGGUAAGACCAUAAUUCACAAGAAAUGUUAGUAUUAACUAUUACUAAAGAUAUACCCCCAAAUGCCAAUGGUAGUCAAGUCUCUUUUUAUAAGAUAAGACGUAUAUAUUAGGAUUCGGGGAUAUCCUUACAAGCACACUUUUACCACCAGUUCAUACACAUAAUCAAUUGUUACUUCGAAAUCAGUCUGUACUAAGAUAAACUCCUACGUGGAAUGUAGAAUCUAUUGAUAUUACUUUGAUGUAUACUAAUAACUAUGCACAUGAUUUGAGCAAUUGUUGUUCCAAAGUUACGGAGUUUGACCUUUUUCAUCAUCAAAUCAUAAUACGUACGCCAUGUAUUUUGAAUGAAAGAUGGAGUAUUAUUAGGCAUCAUGUCUAGAAGUACGUAAGGCAACAGUUCAAAAAAUAAACCUCGAAAUGGGAAGCUAAUAUCUUGAGAAUAUAUCUACAGACCCAUAUACAGAUUUUUGUCGCUGGGUGAUUUAUUUCAUCCCUUAAUUAUACCAUCGGCGAUCCUCGAUCAUCACGUACAGCUCCUAGUAUAAAUUGCUGGUAGGAGCUCACAUCUGGAACACAGCAAAGAAUCACAACCUAGAAACUCAUCUACUUUCGCCGCGCCCCCUCCUGCCUAGACUGCACCAUUGUCUGUAAUUGUUAGUGUUCAUCAAGAAUCAAGAAGAAGAGAUGAGGGGUGCCAUCCUCCUCGUUUCCGUUGUCCUCCUGCUCAACUCCCCGGUGGGUUUGUGCGGCUGCUUCAAGCGCAUCUUCAGCUUCGGCGACUCCAUCAUUGACACCGGCAACUUCGCGAGCACAGUCUCUUCGACCCCGAUAAAGGAGCUCCCAUAUGGCAUGACCUACUUCAACCGCCCCACCGGCCGUGUCUCCGACGGCCGUGUCAUAAUCGAUUUCUACGGUGAGUAUGCAUCCGUACGUCCAUUACGCAUGAACCUAGCUUACAUUGUUGCAUUGGCUGCAUGUGCAUUGUUGAUCUCGCUGAAUGUGCAUUCAUGUGUCGUCUCACUGUCUCAGCGCAAGCGCUCGGUCUGCCGCUGGUCCCGCCGAGCAUACCGGAGGAGGGAACUUCGCCGUUCCCCACCGGCGCCAACUUCGCCGUGUUUGCAGCCACAGGGCUGUCGCCGGACUACUACAAGACCAACUACAACUUCACCAUGCCGUCGGCAUCCCACCUGGACCUGCAGCUCCAGUCCUUCAAGACGGUGCUCGCGCGGAUCGCACCGGGAGACGCCACGAAGAGCGUCCUCGGCGAGUCCCUGGUGGUGCUGGGCGAGAUCGGCGGCAACGACUACAACUUCUGGUUCUUCUCGCGCAACUCCCGCGACACGCCGAGCCAGUACAUGCCGGAGGUGGUCGGCCACAUCGGCGCCGCCGUCCAGGAGGUGAUCAACCUCGGCGCCAAGACGGUGCUCGUCCCGGGGAACUUCCCCAUCGGCUGCGUGCCGCAGUACCUGGCCAUGUUCCAGAGCACGACCAGCUCGGACUACGACCAGUACGGCUGCCUCGUCUGGUUCAACGAAUUCUCCAAGAAGCACAACCAGCUGCUGCAGCAGGAGGUCGCCCGGCUCCGGUCGCAGAACCCCGGCGUUCAGAUCAUCUUCGCGGACUACUUCGGCGCCGCCUUGCAGUUCGUCCAGAACCCCCAGAACUACGGUAAGUCAGUUAGCUAGUCAUCUCGAUGAUAUGAAACUACAAAUUUUUACUAGUAAUAAUCAUGCAUAAUGUCCUGCAUGCGCCAGAGAGAGAGAGAGCUAAUAAUACGUUGUGUGAAUCUGCUUUUUCUCUCUUUUUUUGUCUUCGAUUUGCAUGGGGGCGUGAUGACAGGUAUCGAUGAUCCUUUGGUCGCGUGCUGCGGCGGCGACGGCCGGUACCACACGAGCAAAGGGUGCGACAAGGAUGCCAAGGUCUGGGGCAACCCGGGCGCGUUCGCGAGCUGGGACGGCAUCCACAUGACGGACAAGGCGUACAGUAUCAUCGCCGAUGGGGUGAUAAAUGGCCCGUUCGCGGACACACCGUUGCUCAAGAUCAACUGCUAAGCUAUUCUCUUAUAGCUUCUCGAUCUCUUUUAUUUGAGGAAAAACCAUACUCAAGUAGCUCCCGAUAGGAUUGGUUAGAAUCUAUUCGGAAUCAAUUACGUCCUAUAUAUGUGUAUGCUCCUCUAUAUCUUGUCAAUAAAAUGGUUCAGUCCCGACCCUUUAACAUUUUGUUUAGAGUGUUAACGAGGUGGCCAGCAAACAUGAAUAAUUAAUUUCUAUGGAGCCUAUUCAGCACCAUGUGUCUAAAACAUUUCAAUAAUUCAUAUACUCCCUCCGUUCUAGAAUGACAAGUGUAUUGUAUACAUGAAAAAAAUCUUUAUAAACUUUGACCAACAAACUAUUUUAAUUAUAUACAAUUUAUAACAUAUAUAAAACAUGAACCGAUGGAUAAAUUUGCAUUCAAAUUGUCUCUUGAGAUGAUAUUGAUAUUCUAGCAAAUGGUAGCAUAAUACACAAGAGAAAUUAAGAGUCGAAAUCUAGUUUGUAUGAAAUUUCUCUGAUCAAAAUAUAUGGAGGGACUACACUCAAUGUGGUCAGAUGGUGUAACAUUUGACCUAUAUAAUUUGGUUUGUCAGUUGUUCCUAGCGCAAUUAUGCAAGACAAUUAUGAAUUAUCCCUGCCGGAACUAGUCAAGUGAUAUAUGAUCAAGGAACAACUCAUCGAGUUCGUCUUUGAACAAGUUAACUAUAUAUGAAAAUUGUCAGUUCCAUAACUGUUCGAGCCAACCGAUUGUGAAUUCAUCUUUGAACAAGUUAUAUGAUUGAGGGACAACUGCCCUUUUGUGAUAAUCAGCUUAUGAGAAUUCUUUUUUUGUUAUUAUUCUAGCAAAUACAAGAAUACAUUAACUAAUGUAUUAAUUGAUCUUAGAAAUUCACAUCACACUAUAAAUAAAAAUACAUUGUUCACACACUGACACACAUAUGUAUAUAUAGCUCGCAAGAGUAGUGCACCAGGCCAAAUCUUGUUCCUCGGAUGAUUGUGGAUAUGAAAUAAGAUGCUGUGCCCAUAUAUGGAGUAGCUAUAAAGAGACGUGUGUGUGUGUGUGUGUGUGUGUGUGUGUGUGUGUGUGUGAAUGUUAUGUGUAUGUGUGUAUACACAAGGUUAGGGGGUAUGAAGUUUUUUUGGAUUUCGAUUGUGGCCUAUAAUUUGGAUUUAACUUGAGAGGCCAUUAAAAUGUGGCUUUGGUGAACUUAAUUUUAGAAUUAUCUCUCCACCUGAUUGUUGGCACAAACCAUACCUGGCGGUGAUGCUCUAGGAAACGGUCUUUGUCUGUGUUAACAAAGUGACCGCGCUACCCAGAAUUAAAACUGACUUUUAGCAUCCACCCAUUCAUUUAACUACUCUGAAGAGAGUUUACAAACCAAUUGUAUGAUAGUGGUAGGCCAUUUUAGUUUUGUCUUAAUAAGCCAGAUUUCUUUAAGAAAAUAUAUUAAUAACCGUGAAAUAUAUCUUGAUAGUGUAUUUAUUUGGUAUUGUAGAUAUUGGUGCUGUUAUCUCAGCGUUUUUACAGCCACAGCUGCUGCUGGAUGUGGCCCCUCUCAACAUUUCGCUGUGAAAUUAUGGUAUAUAAUUGUGCUAGUUGCUGGCUUGCAGCCAGCCAUAGCAUCUUAUAACACCAGCCGGACUGUAUCACUAAGGCUUGAUCAAAGUUAAAGGAGUUUGAUUUAGGAUGAAACUAAACAUAGGCUAUUCCAAACUUUUAGAUUAAGGGCUUGACAAUAAGGUUAACCUCUUGACUGAUUCUCCUAAUCAAUCGGGGCCUACGGUCAUUAGGUGCACUCGUGUGGACCCUCUGGCAAACGGGGGAUAACUUGGUGGGCCUUUGAGAAAAUCCCUAACGUCAUAGCGAUGAGCCAAGAGAGAUAAGUCUUGUGGUCAGGUCGCCUUCGCUUAGGAGCUCUAGGGCUCGGCCAAGGCGUAGGGAGUUCCCGAUGCCCUGGCCAAGCAAGAGCCCCCGCGGUCACCCCGAUCUUGGCUCGGGUUGAGCGCUCACCCUAGGCAAUGCUAGAAGCAACCCGAAAAUCUAUCAGGUGCCUAGAGAAUGACAGGCACAGAACAAUGGAAGUACCAAGCCAACAUUCUGUUCCUCAGCCACAACGUGUUGUCGGCCACUCCCUCAAUACAUAGCGUCACCUCUAGGACGUGACACGUUAGGACAAGGAGCUCCCCAAAUCUACGUAGUGGGGGUCUAGGGCCCGCUUGGUAGCCUCUGCAAUUGGAAAAAGCCUAGCAUGCUAAGGAAACCACAAGAAGGCACACCUAGGGAAGACACAACAACAGUAGUCUGCACCUGGUGAUCAACACCAGACAACAAUAGUGGCGUCAAAGGGUGGUUGUGAUUUUGUUGACCCCUGACUACAAGAUAAAGAAGGACCGACGAUAUCAAGAAGAAAAAUUGAAUCAUACGACAAGAAAACCUAGGAGGAAACAUCCGAUUAUUAUUCCCAUCACCUCCUCGAUAUAUAAAGGAAGACAUGGACUCCUAUAUAAAGGAUCGAACCACGAGACAUUUGACCAAAACCCUAGAUUAGAAUAGCACUCCCCCCUACAUUUUACUCUCUAGUCCUCCAUUGUAAGGACUCUCAGUAUUCCUAACAUGAAGAGUACAACUGCUGGAUGUAGGGUUUAGACACCUAAACCAAGAUAAACCUCUUGUAUUUUGAGUUCUUAAGUCAUCGGAGUUACACACAUCAGCCUAAGUUGAACUACCCGAUUACUACAGCAGUUAUGAACCCGUGACACCUACUUUUGGUUAUAUACAUGAUUCUUGUGAUGUGCUCUAGAUGGGAGGUCCUUCAAACAAUAUACACUAUAGAGCUUGGGAUUGUAUCAAGAAUUACCAAUAAUGUUAUAAUCGACGAAUGGUUAACAAACCAAAAGCAAUGGCACUGACAAUUUACUUUAAGUUAUAUUAAUAAUCAACAAUGGUAAAUAUCAUAAGUUAUUAUUUUAAAUAAAUUUAUACAUUUUAACUAAAAUAUUAUGUCAUAUCAAUAUUACUAGUUUAUUUAGACACUAUAUGUUUUACAAAACGAUGCUACCACAUAUAUAAUUUUGUGAUAUAACAAAUUCAACAUGUUGAGUGCCUCAGUGCAUGUUAAAACGACUAUUUAUGUCGGUGUAAGAACCAAGAGGGUUUAACCUAUGACCUAUAAUAUUCUUAAUAAUAAAAAUUAUUUUUUAAAAAAAUAUAAUAUGUUCGAGUUUUAACUUAACAUGUGGAUAAAAAAUUUGCAACAACUAGAUUAAAAAGUUGAAAACUAAACUAUAGAUUCAUGGUGUCAUAUGAAGGCAUGAAACAAGUGCUUCAAUAUUGUAUGCUUAGAAUUCAACUAAAUUCAUAACUAGUGGUCCCUAGUGGAGUCUCCAUGCUAAUCCAGGAAGAUACAAUAAAUUAAGAUUAAGCGGUAGGCAUCAACAAGCAUGUUGCAAUAAAUAAAAAACUAUUUCUUUUUUCUUUAUUUAUAACAAACACUCUAGAAUGUUUUAGUUUAUGUUCCUACCUAUUGUCUGGAUAUACGAAGAGAAAUCUGAGAAUACUAUGAAAUAUUUACUCAUGGGUGGGGCAAGCUUUUCUAUUCUAGUUCAUGGUUUCUCUUGGCUAUAUGGUUCAUCUCGGGGAGAUCGAGCUUCAAGAAAUUGUGAAGGGUUUUAUCAAUACACAAAUGUAUAACUCCCUAGGAAUUUCAAUUGCUCUCCAUGUUAAUCCUCACAAGGACAAUUAGAAAAAAAAAUCGUAAAAAGUCCCACAAAAAUUUAAAAACUAAAUAUAUCUUUUUUUAGGCUCCAAUCACCCCUAAUAAUAAUAAUAACCAUUUCAUCUAUUCUAUAUUAUAAAUAAUUACCUACCUCUAUGAUUAUCUAAAUCAGCAUAAGAUAACCCAUGAAUCUAUAUUAAAAUAUCCACAUAUGCCAUUGAGAAACAUGAUACAAAGUAAACUCAAAUUUCCAUCUAGUUACCCGCCUGUUAUUAUGAUAGAUAAUAUAUUUAACAUCUUUAAUUUGCAUCUGAAUUAAUAUUUCAAACCUAAAUAUCUCUAAUCAACAUCUUUUGCUAAAAAAUAUCUAAAUAACCACAAUAUAAUAAAGUAUACAUAAGUUUCUACAUUAACCCACUUCUAUUAGUAUUUGGUUAAAGUAAAUAUGUAUUGUUCCAUCAUGCAACACCAAUUAUACAUGCAUGGAUAAGAGAAAAAUAUAUGUCUUAUGUUUCAACAAUGUUGAAAAAUAUUUUCUUAACAACUCAUAUACUAAUGAUACUAACAAUUUAUUUAAAAAUACUAAUAACCAUUAUGUUUAAUUUUAUAUGAUUUAUUACUAAUGAUAUAUUUAUAAAUUUAACUAAAAUGUUUGACAUAUCCAUAUUGAUAGUAUAACCACUGUUGCAUAUAUAAUUAUUUGGUAAGAAAAUCCAAACUUCACGAGAAGUGGAGGAAGUGUAGACUAGGAGUGGUUAUAUCUUCAUGGCCUUUAAGGUUCAUUUGAAAUAAAUAUUCAUUAAUUCAUUGUAAAGCCUAAAUAUUAAUAUCUCCUUGAUAUUAGUUUUGCUACCCAUCCUAGAUCUUUCUUCAAGCUCUACCACUAAUCUUAAAAAAUACAGUGCAAGUUUUAAGUGACUAUUUAUGCGAUCGUAGCCACUUAAGAGUGUAGCCAACUAACUAAAGUCCUUAUUUUUAAAAAGUAAAAAAAGAGUGUUAAUAAAUAAUAUUAUAAGAACAAAGAUUUCAACUUAAUUAACCUAAGCAUAAAAAAUCUAGCAAUCAAUAAGACUAAUAUUUGAAAAUCAAAUUUUAGAUUAGUGACAUCACAUAUAUAGGCUGCAACAAGCUAAGAGCCACCAUAGUUUAAGCUAAGGUUUUAAAUCAUAUUAUAUUGAAGAUGAACUAUGGAUAUGAAUGAAAAAAAGCAUAUUGAUAUGUUUGUCUACUUAUAAUUUAAUAUAAGUAAUUUUUAUUGGUUAGAUGUAUUAAAUAAUGACUGAUGCUUAGGUCUUCUAAUCUAAGCUUUUAGCCUAUGUGAGAGCACGGAUUGAUAGACUAGCGUGAAGGUUAAUAUGGAGUAAUAGUAAGAUAUUACAUGUUCAAAAUCUAUCCAUACCAUAUCCCACUACAAAAAAAAAGGAUGUUAUAGCAUAUCUUGUUAAUCUUUCAGAAUUAAGUCUUCUCCUUCAAUUCUACUAGUGGUCAUUCUUCUUUGGAUUCCUCCAAAUCCUUUAUCAUUUUCUUUAAUUUCUUAACAAAGGAUUUACAAUCAUUUAAUUGUAGAGAGAGACUCAACUAGAUAUAACUACUCCUCCAUCUCAAAAUAAAUGCACAUCUCACUUACAAAUAUAGAAAAUACUAUCACAUUUAUAUCUUUGAAUAAGUUUAUUAUGAAAGUACAAUCCAUGUCCAAUCUAAUGAUACUUAUCGUUCAUCAUAAAUAUUAAUGCAUUUUUGUAGAAAUUAGAUCAAAAUUUAGAAGAUUUGACUACUUAGAAGAAGCAACAUUUAUUUUGGGAUAUACAAUCUGUCAUAUUGUCACUGCUCAAGACUUCUAUAGAAAGGUAGUCCAACGAAGCCAUCCGGAGAACCCUGCAGAAGAGCGAGAGUACUGUUCAGAGAUGAUGGGUUUCAGCUGCCAACACCGUUCCAUCUCCCUGCACAUCUUCCUCAUCUCUGUUGUCCUCCUGCUCAACGCUCCGGCGGGUCGUUGCGGCAGCUACAAGCGCAUCUUCAGCUUCGGGGACUCCCUCAUCGACACCGGCAACUACGCGCGUAGCGGCCCGAUAAUGGAGUACCCAUAUGGCAUGACCUACUUCCACCACCCCACCGGUCGCAUCAGCGACGGCCGCGUCGUCAUCGAUUUCUACGGUGAGUGUACUGCAACGAGACUGUGCAUAUAUACAUGAUGAACACACUGCCAAUUCGUGUUAAUUAACCCUCACCCACUGACCUACCAUCAUGCAUUAUUCUUUCAGCUCAAGCGUUCCAGCUGCCACUGAUACCACCAAAUCUGCCGCAGAAGGACACAGGCCUGUUCCCGACUGGCGCUAACUUCGCUGUGUCUGGCUCUAUGGCAAUGCCCCCGGAGUACUUUCGUAGGUGGAACCACGAUGUAAGCUGGGCCUGUUGCCUGGGCGUGCAGAUGGGAUGGUUCAAAGAAAUGAUGCAACGAAUUGCUCCCUGGGAUGGUAAGUACGCGUUCUUGCUAGGAGUAUAAUCCUAUUGUCCUGUACGAUGCGUCCAUGCAUACAUGCGUUCAAUCAUGUGCCUAAUCGAUUGAUUUCCCAUUCGCACACAAAUCAUUCCGCUAGACGCCAAGAGGCAGAUCCUGAGCGAGUCUCUCAUCGUGCUGGGCGAGAUCGGCGGCAACGACUACAACUUUUGGUUCGCCGCCCGUAGGCCUCGCGAGCAAGCCAACCAGUUCAUCCCAGACAUCGUCGCGACCAUUGGCUCUACUGCCAGGGUGUGCUGCUGCCUGUUACGCUUGUAUUGUACUUCGUCCCGUCGUCGUCGUCGUCGUCGUCGAGUGCGCAUUUGUUUUUCUAGUCAUUUUAACAGAAGCUUGCAUUGGCAUUGCAAUUGCAUGCAUGCAUUUUUGCAGGAGCUCAUCGGUAUGGGCGCGAAGGCGAUCAUGAUCCCGAACAACUUCCCCAUCGGGUGCGUGCCGGCAUACCUGAGCGGGUACAAGAGCAACAACCGCGCGGACUACGACGAGCACGGGUGCCUCCGGUGGUUCAACGACUUCUCCCAGAGGCAUAACCAGGCGCUGCGCGGCGAGGUCGGCCGGCUUAGGGCGCAGCACCCCAACGUGAAGCUCAUCUACGCCGACUACUAUGGUGCCGCCAUGGAGUUCAUCAAGGACCCGCACAAAUUUGGCAUCGGUGACCCCAUGGCGGCGUGCUGCGGUGGCGACGACCAGCCGUACCACGUCAGCAGACCGUGUAACAGAAUGGCCAAGCUCUGGGGCAACCCGAGCAGCUUCGCCAGCUGGGACGGCAUGCACAUGACGGAGAAGGCGUACGAUGUCAUCUCCCAUGGAGUGCUCAACGGGCCGUUCGCCGACCCACCAUUGCUUUGGUGUUAACGGUGAAAUAGGAUUAUUGUUGGUUUGUUGUCUCACAAGAGAGCUUAAAGCACCUCCAAGAGUGUUUUUUAAAAACUUACCCUCUAAAUCAUUAUUAGAGAGUCAUUUGAAUAAAAAUAGCAGAGAUUAAAAUAAAAGAUGUUGGAGUGUUUUUACCAAAACCUCUACUCUUAUCAAUUAGAAAGAAUAAAAAAAAUUCUUAGAGUUGGUCUUAGAGCAUCUCUUCACCAGAUAUUUCCUAUCCAAGCUCCUAUAAUUAAAAAAAACAUUUUAGAAGAUACAAAUCUCAUAUCUCAUAUCUUGUAUACAUGUAUUCCCUCCACCCAAAACAAGUGUCUCUAAGAUAUUUGUGCCGAUCAAAUUUUCUUAAAUUUGACUAACUAGGUUUGUAGAAAAUAUUAGUAACAUCUGUUCUUCAAAUAAGUUUAUUAUGAAAUAGAUUCAAUAAUCCAUCUAAUGAUACUAAUUCAGUACUAUAAAUAUGCAUAUUUAUUUAUAUAUCUGGUCAAACUUAGGCCUUGUUUAGUUCACCCCAAAAACCAAAAAUAUUUUAAGAUUCCUUGCCACAUCGAAUCUUGCGGCACAUGCAUGGAGCAUUAAAUAUAAUUAAAAACAAAAACUAACUACACAUUUUGUCUGUAAAUCGCGAGAUGAAUCUUUUGAGCCUAGUUAGUCCAUAAUUGGACAAUAUUUGCCACAAACAAACGAAAGUGAUACAGUGUCCGAAAACUUUUCAUUUUGCCAACUAAACAAGGCCUUAAAAUAUUUCACUUCUCGAGAAGCGAGAACGACACUUAUUUAAGAAUGGAGGGAAUAAUUUUUAAGAGAUCUCGUUACAAGAAGCACCCUUUCUCCUAAAUAAAGAAGACAAACCUCCUCUCCUUCACCCCUAAGGAAAUACUCCCUCUGUCCUAUAAUAUAAUUUAUUUUAGAAAUUUAAGACAAAUCAAGAGAGAACAUAAAAGACAUAUGUACCCUCAUUUUAUUUUCUAAUCAAACGCUAUCAUCAAUGUGACGAAUGGUGAUUGGUUGAUAAAUAAAAAUAUUUAAUGUAUAAUUGGUUUUUAUCCUCUAGAAUGCAUUGCAUUUGACAACAAAUUUUGAAUGCUGGAAUGCUCUUAUUACAGGACGGAGGGGGUAUAGGAGAUAAGUUUUAGGUAAUCUGCUAGUGCUUCCUUAUAGCUAAAUUGAUUUCAAUUACUAUCCUGAAACAAUUUAAGAAGAUGCAAGAUAUCGUAGAGAUGCUCUUAGGCCAUUUUCAGUAGAAAUUUCAUGAUACUUCAACACAUCCAUAUUUUAGAAACAGUGUAGAAGAGUUUCAUCUCCAUGAAACUCUUUAUGCUCUCAUAAAACUCUUAUCAUCUCUCUCUUCAUUAAUACGGUGCCCUAGCAUACUUGAUGUCUACAAAACUAUGAUGAAACACUAUUGAGACUGGCCUUAGUCGUCUUUAGAUUUGUUAGACAUUUGACAUUAAAGAAAUUAAAAAUUAGUGAUUUUUAUUUCUCAUAGUGUAGAGGCUGCAUUUUGCUUGGUGCAAUUUCUUCGGGAGAAAAAAAACAUGUUUACACCUUUGCUGACCCACGAUUGCUAAGGAGCUGUUAGUUUUGGUGUAACGGUGAAAGAGGAUUGGUUCUUUGUCUCACACUAAGAGAUUUUUUACACCCCUCUUCUAUAUCAUCAUUCAGCAAAUCAUUUUAAUAAAAGCCACUUUUUAUACCUUUCCAUCUUCCAAUAAUUGGUCUAUAUCAUGUACACACUCUAGAAGCAUCCCUCCAACUAUCUUUGCCUAGCAAAAUAUUCAGAAUAGAGAAAGAUAUUGGAGAUAUAAUUAAAGAAGCUAUUGGAGAGUAUUGUUUUCACCAAAAUCUCUAUUUCUAUCAAUUAGAAAAAGAUUUAAAGAUAUUCUUAGAGUUGCUUUUAGAGCACCCACCAAAUAUCUUAUCUAAGCUUCUUAUACUAAAGAUUCUCAUAUCUUAUAUCCUAUCCCUAUAAUUUUUAAGGGGUCUCCUAAAAGAAGCAUCCUUUCUCCUAAAUAAAUAAGACUCAUCUAUCCAUCCCUAAAAAAAUAUAAGAGACAAGUUUUAGGUAAUAUGCUAGUGUUCUCUUAUAGCUAAAUUGAUUUUAGGUACCAUCAUCCUAAAUAAUUUAUAGAAGAUGUAAUAUAAGAGAUCUACUAGAGAUGCUCUUAGUCAUCUUUAGAUUUUUUAGGCGUUUGUAUACUAGGAGAAUACCCCAUGCGUUGCUAUGGGAAUACAGUGGAUUACAUGGCAUGAUGACAUGGACAAACAAAAUACUUAUGUAUCUUGCUGGCGUGGACAUUAUAAUUGUAUGGCUAGUGGAUUUUAGUUGUGUGUGAUAGUGCAUUGCUUAGUUAGACAACUUGCAUGUUGAGAGAAAUAUAGUGACUUGCUGACAUAGACACUACAAUUGCAUGGGCUAGUGGAUUUUUAAUUGUGUGUGAUAGUGGGUUGCUUAGUUAGAUAGCCUGUAUGCUGAGAGAAAUAGGUAGUGGAGUUUAGCUUUAUAGGAGUAUAAGAUAAGAUUAAAAAUUAAUGGUUUUUGUUGCAAAUAGUAGAGGCAGCAUUUUGCUCUAUGCUCAUGGGCUAUGAUGGCCCCCCACCUCCCUAGCAUCAUAACAAAGUGUAGAACCACAUAUUGGAGCUUGGGAUGUUUGACCAUAAUGUGUUGUUGAGGCGUGCAAGCAUGUGAUCAUCAACCACAACAACAAAUCUAAGAUCCCAGUGGAAGUGAUGGAAGAGGCAGAUGGUAUUUGGAUGAAGGGAGCAUGGGUUAAAGGAGAAGUGACGCUGUAAUGUGGUUUCCAAGAUUUUGUUGUCUUUUAUGUUUGUAUUAUUAUUUGAUUAGUAUAUGACAUGAUGGUUAGGCUAUGCUACCAGAUCGAGUUCUUAGUCUAGGAUGUUGUCCACUGAUCGCACUUAGCCCAAACCCAACUUGUCUAGUCAUCCUCAUGUACUACUCAUAUAGCAUGCAUCUAUUCAGCCUUUAUCCAAGAUCAAUUGCAAAAGACAAGGUGCUACAUGAUCCACCACAAGUUCACAUCACAUUAAAGAAAUGUGCUACUUAAGUGUACAACACAUUGUUCCACAAAUUAGUUCAUAACACCACAAGACACAUCAUAGUCUAAGCGAAAAUCUUACAUAUGACAUAGUUUUUUGAUACACAUCCAUGGUCCAUGCCACAACCAUGAACCUACACCUCAAAAGGAGGGCCCCUAAUAUUCAUAAUCCAUGGGGGACUCAAGCACAUAGAAGAACCCAUAAGUGAGGGCGACCUCACCUGCAAAAACUCCACAAGCAGUAUCAUGAGUAGAAAAUUAUAAUAGAACUUACCCAUAAUUAAAUAAACAAGGAUCAUGCAGUAAGAUCUAGCAAGAAAAAAGUUUGGUUUCACAUAAAGGUGUUUUGUGCAUAAAGUAAAGUGGUCUACUUGACUUAUAAGCAAGCAUAAUAGAUUCCUACAACACUCGAGCAGUGAGAAAUCCAUCACCAUCUCAACUUCUACCGCUUCUAAGCAUGCAAGCAUAGAGUAUGUUCUACCAAAAGCAAAGCAUUCAUGUUACAAGGUACAAUGGAGACAAUACAAGACUACAAGCUCAAAUAGGUAAAGUGGAUUUUUAGUCAUAUGGAAACAUAAUGUAACAAAUAAUGCAUUCAAGUUAAUGCAAUUGUAAAUAGUAGAAGAAUGCUUAGGCGCCAGCCUUCGUACUUGGUGGGUGGAACAACGACUUUGAGUUCAGGUCAACAUUGUUCUUAAGCCUGGGCAUUCGGGUUACCCGAUUUUUUCGGGUCGGGUAGUUCGGGUAAUUCAAAAUUCGGGUAAUGAAAAUUGUUAACGAUAUUAGUCCCAAAAAAACACUACCCGCAAUUUCGGGUACCCGAUAAUUCGGGUUCGGGUAUUCCCGAUUUACCCGAAAUUUCAAAAAACAACACACUAUACAAAAUUUCAAUAGCAAUUUAUAUAUAAUUUUAGCAGCAAAUUGUAUAGAAUUUCAAUAGAAUUUUGUAGAGAAUAAUAUAUUACUAUCACUUGUUCAAACAAAGAGAUUUAUGUUCUAAUAAAUUGAUAAGUUCUAAUAUUUAACUAAUAACAAAUGAUAAAUACAAAGAUAUAGACAAAUAUUUGGGUAAUUCGGGUAGUUCGGGUACCGGGGGAUACUACCCGAAUUACCCAAACUAAUUUCGGGUAAUCAAAAUUGCUAUCCGAAUUUAGGAUCGGGUACCGCGGGUUUGGGUAAUUCGGGUCCGGGUCCGGGUAAUUUGGGUACGGGUAAUGGGUAUCGGGUAAUUUGCCCAGGCUUAAUUGUUCUCAUGGUUCGCCUCCUUGUGUACUUCCUCCCCCAUAUGAUGUAUGACAUGAAUGAGUAAAUGCAAUGCUUAUAUUGAUAUGAGAUGCUUGAAUAGAUGCAUGAUCAUGUAUAAAAACACAUGGUCCGUUGAUAGUGUACAAGUGCUUAAACUUGUGAAGGAUAGGUGUUGUUAACCCAUUGAUAGUAGACUGUCCGUUAACAUGUGAUAAACUAUUUAUCAGAGUUCCAUACUGUUGAAUAGGUGAUAGUAGAUCAUCCAUGGGACUCAGAACAAAAUGUGCUAAGUGUAAGGAUUGAUGGACUACCCGACAAUGUUGGACGAAUUGUUCGUCUAAUCAUGUACCAAAAUGACCUCUUUGGAAUAGAGAGAGAAAAUUCAACUAAUUGUCUGUCAUAGAAGGACAGACUAUAUGUCCAACCUUGUGUUCUGUGAGUGAAAAUGACUAAGUGUGGGUUUUGACCGACCCUCCAACACUGACUGAUGAAUUAUUCAUGGGAUUCUAUUUGGCACUUUCUAGCGGAGGGUGCUCUAGUAGAACCUCUCAAUUGCAUAAUUCUUGUGCACUAAGUGAUGUUGUGGGUGCUAAGCGUGGGUGUGGUACAUGCAUGUGCAAGGGGUCUUGCAGGUGUGUUUAUAAGGUCUCAAAGAACACAUCUACUAAGGAACAUUGGUCGUAACAAGUGUAGUUGAGAUUGAGAUAUUGGAAAGAGUUACGUGUCAAGAACUAGCUAAACUUUGGUCUCUUUGAUUCAAAAGAAGGUCUUGUUUAGGAUUCAACCUACCAAGGUAUGGAGAAGAGGCGAAGAUGGAUCUUCAGGACUUUGAUUCUCCUCUUUGACCUCGUACUCGGCCUCAUUGUUGUUUCUCCUCCUUGAAGCCUCCUCUUGCAAGGGGGAAUGAACCUCUCCUUGCUCAACUCCUAGCAAGAGUUGGUUGGGGAUGAUCUCCUCGGUAUUCCUUAAAUGCUCCUCUUGCUUGUUACCCACUCUUUCUUCCUCCUCCUUGCUUGAGAGAUGAUCAAAGGGGUGGUUGAAGCAAGAACUAGAGAGAGAGAGAGAGAGUGGAAAAGAGAGAAGGAGAGUGAGACAAGGGGGAGAGAGAUUAGUUCCUGGUGGCCUUUGAGUCAUGGAGAGCUACCAAGUAUGAUUUACAAGUGGGGCCAAGGGUGAUUACUGCUUGACAUCUCAAAAUUCAUGCGUGGUUGGGUACCGAUGGAUUGUUCGUCGGUGCUUGACGGUUGUUGACUAGCAAUAGAGCCCAUAACAUACAAUUUUUCUAUACAAGUUUCAAGAUACGAACUUUAGUGCAAACUAUAAUCGUGAUGCACAUGUGUUAAACUUAAAUGCACGACUGGAUCGUCACGGUAUAGUUCUCAAGUCAUAUGUCUAUACUCAAUAAAACCACUCACACGUCAAUGCAUUCCGAUAGGGCAGCUGGGCAGGGGUGUUACUUUGCAUUGUUUUACAUUGCAAAUCGCAAUGACUUUCUUUCUCUUUCUCGAUGAGAACAAAUAAAGGCUUUGUUGGGCUGAGUUCUAGCUCGGCCUGUGAAGCAACGGUCGAAAUAUCCCGGGCCAGGCUCCCAGCCAUCGAAAUUUACACCAUUUACAUUAGCCCAGGCCCAGCUGCGAAAAUAUUUCAACCCGCGCGACUCGUGCCAUUCCACUGCACAGGCUGUCGCCCGCAAUGCCCGCGCCGCUGCCUGCCGUCGCGCGCGAGCUGGCAGAGCUCCUCGUCGCCCUCUCCGCCGCCCGCGCGCUCCCCAAAGGACAGCAGCUCCACGGCCACCUCCUCAAGGCUGGACAUGUCCCCGCCACCGCCUCCUCCCACACGCUGCUCGGGCACCACCUCCUUACCUUCUACGCGCGCUGCGCGCUCCCGGACCUCUCGCUCCGCGCCUUCCUCGACCUCCCCGCGCCGCCCUCUCCCGCGGCAUGGUCCUCCCUCAUCUCCUCCUUCGCCCAGAACGGACUCGCCGCCGCCGCCUUCGACACGUUCCGCCGCAUGCUCGCGGCGGGCGUCCCCGCCACCGACCGCAACAUCCCUUCGGCUGCGAAGGCCGUCGCCGCUGCAGAGACCUUGUCGCGCCCUCCGUUCGCCCCUCACGCGCUCCACGGCCUCGCCGCCAAGACUCCGUUCGCGGGCGACGUGUUUGUUGGGUCGGCGAUUCUCGACAUGUAUGCCAAGUGCGGCCACCUUGCAGACGCCCGACGGUUAUUCGAUGAAAUGCCGGAACGGAAUGUUGUUUCCUGGUCCGCACUCAUCUGUGGGUAUGCUGACGCGGGGAUGCAUCCUGCAGCGAUGGGAAUCUUCCGCUUGGCACUUGAGGAGGCCGUGCCGGUGAAUGACUUCACAGUUUCUUCCAUCAUCCGAGUAUGUGCUGCAGCGACACUCUUUGAGCUUGGAGCCCAGGUGCAUGCCAGGGCUACAAAGACAGCGCUUGAUGCAUCACCUUUUGUGGGUAGCUCACUUGUUUCGGUUUACUCAAAGUGUGGGCUUGUAGAGUGUGCUUACCGGGUGUUCAAUGAAGCACCUGAGAAGAACCUUGGCAUUUGGAAUGCAGUGCUCAUUGCAUCUGCUCAGCAUGGGCAUACUGCUGCAGCAUUUGAGCGCUUUAUGGAGAUGCAGAAUGCUGGAUUCCGGCCCAAUCACAUAACCUUCCUGUGCUUGGUCACUGCUUGUAGCCAUGCUGGCCUUGUUGAUGAGGGGAAGCGAUAUUUUUCUCUCAUGAAAGAUUAUGGUAUUGAACCACAGGCUGAACAUUAUGCUUCAAUGGUUGACCUACUUGGUCGUGUAGGACGUAUAAAGGAAGCACUUGAUCUUAUUGAGUCCAUGCCCAUGGAACCACCAGAGUCUGUUUGGGGUGCACUACUCAUGUCAUGUCGUAUAUUUAAGGAUGCUGACACAGCAGAAAUUGCUGCGAAGAGGCUGUUUGAGACUGGGUCACGCAGCUCUGGGGCACAUAUGCUUUUGUCAAGCACAUAUGCAGCUGCAGGAAGGCAUAUUGAUGCAGCUCUUGCUAGGAAAGCAAUGCGUGAUGCAGGUGUACGGAAAGAAACAGGACUUAGCUGGUUGGAAGCUGCAGGGGAGGUGCAUACCUUUGUAUCGAACUGCAGGAGACACCAACGAAGCGAGGAAAUUUACAAGGUGCUAGAGAAAGUUGGUGAGAAGAUGGAAGCAGCUGGUUAUGUGGCAGACACUAGUGCAGUGGUUAAGGAUGUGGAUGGGGAUGAGAAGCGGGCAACAGUGAGGUAUCACAGUGAAAGGCUAGCAAUAGGAUUAGGUCUUUUGAUUGUUCCACAAGGUGUACCAAUUCGAGUUAUGAAGAAUUUGCGCGUGUGUGAUGAUUGCCACAGUGCAAUUAAGUAUCUAACUAAGUGCACAGGUAGAGUUGUGGUUCUUAGGGAUAAUCGUCGGUUCCACCGAUUUGAAGAUGGGGUGUGCUCUUGUGGAGAUUUCUGGUAAGGGACCAAUAUGUUCUCUCUGAUGUGUUCUUGAUUUUUUUUUUUCUCUAUAUGGAUUCAUCUAGAAGGGAAACUCAUGUUUCCUCAGUAAAUAUACCUUUUUCAGUUUAGUGGUGAUAUGAUAAUAAAGGAGUAUUGAUAUAUGAGUUUCACAUAAUUGAAAAAGACCAAUUUUUUUAUUUCUUUGGACACUGCAACAGUUCAGAGUAUUCUUUGGAAAAGUAUUAUCUUUGCACAUAGGAUGCAAUCUUGUACCUCAGGGUCCACACGGCAUUUAGGUUUCUGCUCAAUGUCCUAGAAUAUGCAUUUGGACAGUAACAGGUGCAGUAUUGUCAAACAAGAUUUCGAGUGCAGCUGCCUGAAAAUCUGUAACUUAUGGUAUUAUCUUAUGGCUCCAAUUAAUGGUGCAUGUUUUUCAAUCAUGCGCUCGUCGCAUUACAUAUCUCUCAGUUCACUUGUUAGUGUGUCAUGAUGAUCCCAUUCUGUUUUGCGACAAGGUUAAAGCAGGUUAAGAAAAAGCACUAAACUGAACCUAGAACUAACUGCUUACAGUUUAGGUAAUAAAACUACAAAAGUAUUGUUUCCUUUGGAUUGAAGGUCAUCACCUUUAAUGCAGAAUUACAGGGAUCAUAUGAUCAUGUAAUACUAGUGCUCAGGCAGGAUAUUAUAUGUUUAUUAUCAAGCUCAGUUUAAUGAGCAAAGCAUUGUGUAAUACUUGAGACUGUUCUGUUACUUUCUUGUGCAUGGAAGUUGGAAGGUUGUAUUUCUUCAAAUGUUUGAUGUCUCAGGGAAGUACUUGCAAGUUUCUCUGCACAGAUCUGGGAAGCACUGAUGAAGUGACCUUUCAAUUUAUUUGUGUUGUUAUCCUUAAUUUAUAUUGCAAUAGUUGGGACUUACAUAAAAAGUUAAAAGGGAAAACAAAGUUGUUACUUUGAAUGCAUGAUGGUUCCUUUAUUUUUGAGGUGUAUUCAAUUAAAUUAAUUGAUUGAGGUACUAAAUUGUGUGUGUUUGGUCAAGGCUUGAUAUUUAAUGCUGAUAUACCAACAAAACAUUCUCCCUCGCCCCCCCCCCCCCCCCCUUCCAAAAAAAAAUAAUGUUCUAGGAUUGUCCUAAGUCUAACAUCCAAAGUUUGACUAAAUUUAUACGUAAAAGUAUCAACACUUGUGACACCAAUUGGUAAUGGUAUUGCUCCUUAUUAAUAUCAAUUGAUCAAACACAAUGGUUUGACUUGGGACAAUCCUAGAACAUAAGUUUGACAGAGGGAGUAUUUUGGAAAGUGACAGGUAGGUUAAUGAGGUGUAUCUAUGUUAUUAUCAACCCCUGUUUCCAAAUACUUGACACUUUUGACCACUUUAUUUGCUUCUGAAUACUUGGCACUUGCUCCUAUAAAAGUACUAUGUAAGUAUUCUAUAUAACUUUAUGAGGGCAUUUUGGUCAUUGGUCAAAGUAUCCAAGUAUUUGGAAACUGAGGUUGGUAAAUAUUUUUAUAAGGCUCUCUAGAAAGGAAACUGCUGAGACCAAAAAUCUUCAAACCAACUAGACCUGUCUUAACCUGAAAAGGACAAAAUCUUUGUUGGGAUACAGUGAAACCUAAGCUAAUCAUGCUACUCCUUACCAAGUUAUCGCGAUUAGUGCUUUAGGGCAGCUUUCCUGUGUCUGUAUGUAUGUUGUUUAUAAAGGAGACUCCUGAGUUGGUUGCAUCCAUCCUUUGCAUGCAGAAUUGCUGAUUUUUGUAUGUUCGAUGUUUGCAAUUUUCUUUUGGUGAUGACAAACGUAUCAUUGUACAUAUAUCCUAAAAAAAGCAUGAUUAGUAAAGAUUUUCACUGUCCAAUGCUUUAGCUUUCUGCAUGAUUUGAUGGAUGCAUCUAGUUUGGAUGAUGGUCCGGAGGCUGCAAACUGUAUUUUACCUUUACACUGGCCUGUUGGCUGGAGAGCAGCAGAAGGUUCAAGUUGGUCCACUGCUGGCUACUGGUCCUAGAAGGUAUUUGCCUAUCUUGAGAGGGACGCAAAGAUAUGGAAGGCUGCACAUUAUUUGCCUUUCCCUACUUUGUCUGGUUAGUACAGGUGGCAUAAAGAUAAUUGGUCUAUUUCUUUUUAGGUCCUUAUUUGAUCCGUGCAAGCUUCUUUAUGCUUUGAAAUCCAGGAUGCAUGUUGCCCAUGUUGGCCGGCAGAUUGAUAAGCUGAAAGAAUGACAGGGGAGCUUCUAUUCUUCAUGCAUACUGAACUGAAAAUCUGAUGGACAAGCUACCACCUGCCAUACCUAUAUAUGUGCAGGUGGAACAUGAAGUUCUGUUUUCUUGUAGCACGUAGAAAACCAAGCAAGAGAAAGAGAGGCACACACAGCAAAGAUGAGUCUUAUAAGAGGGAUGGGAAACAUUGCCAAAAGAUGGAAAGAACUCAAUGGCUUGAAUUAUUGGAAGGGCCUGGUUGAUCCUCUCGACCUCGACCUUCGUAGGAAUAUCAUCAACUAUGGUGAGCUCUCCCAGGCAGCCUAUACUGGGCUAAACAGAGAGAGAAGAUCAAGGUAUGCUGGGUCUUGCCUCUUCAACCGCAGAGACUUCCUCAGCCGGGUGGAUGUAUCAAACCCAAAUUUGUAUGAGAUUACAAAGUUCAUAUAUGCAAUGUGUACUGUCAGCUUACCUGAUGGAUUCAUGGUUAAGUCUCUUUCAAAGGCAGCAUGGAGCAGGCAGUCAAAUUGGAUGGGAUUUGUUGCAGUAGCUACAGACGAGGGUAAGGAAGUGCUUGGGAGGCGGGAUGUGGUGGUGGCAUGGCGUGGCACAAUACGGAUGGUAGAGUGGAUGGAUGAUCUUGAUAUUUCCUUGGUGCCUGCUUCAGAAAUAGUUCUUCCAGGCAGCGCAACUAACCCCUGUGUGCAUGGAGGGUGGCUUUCAGUCUACACAAGUGCUGAUCCAGGGUCACAAUACAACAAAGAGAGUGCAAGACAUCAGGUAACUCAUUCAAAUUCUAGAAUAUUUAUUAAACAAUACAAAAUUUUCUGAUCUGAGGAAAAUAAUACCAAUCUGUGAACAAGUUAAACAGCAAGGUCUAUACUCUAGAGUGUAUUGUGCUUUCUAAUCAUGUAUAUGCUUGAAGUGAAAGUGUUGCUUCAUUAGAGUUCAAGCAAAGGAAAGAACAACAUGGUAUCUGUAAAGAGCAUUGCUUAAUUAAAACAGCAUGAUUUGUAAGCACUAUAUCUAAGUGUCAAGGACUGCUUUGCCUUUUGAACUAGGUAGGUGUUCUCUAGUUGAGUAGUGGUUCUUGAGAAGUGCCGUUCAGGUCACUCAGAAAUGAGCACAAGGACUAUUUUACCUUUUUAAAUAGACUAGGUUAAUGCCCAUACGUUGUUACGGAUUUUAAAAUCCAUAUACUCUAUGUUUCUUUAUUGUUAUUUUAAAUUUUCUGUCUAUAUUCUUCCUUUUUCAUUUCUUUUCAGUUUUCGUUUUUUGAUUUUAUUUCAUUUCCUGUCCUUUUCUUAUUCUUUUCUUGUUUUAAUUUUACCUUUUAUUUUCUUUUUCUUUUUCUUUUGGUUUUAGUUUUAUUGUUCUUCCUUGCUUCUAUUUGUUUUUCUUUUUUCUUUUCAGGUUUUCUAUGUUUCUUCAUUCUUAUUUUAUAUUUUAAUUUCUUUUAAUCUUCUUUUUAUCCUUAUUUAAAUUAUUCAUUUAUUUUAUUUGCUCUAUGCACUUUUUAUCAUUUGUUAAUCAUGUUUGUUUUUAUAUUUUUCUUCUUAGUAAUUUUAUUUUUUAUUUUUAUUUUCUAUAUAUAUGCGAUGUUUAUGUAGUAUAUAUUUAGUGUUCUAUGCUGUGUUAUGUCAUGUUUACGUAGUAUACAUGUGAUGUUCUAUUUUUUUUAUGGUGUUCACUUAGUAUACAUGUAAAUCUAUAAUAGAUGUGAUGUUCUAUAAUAUAUUUAAUGAUGUUCUAUGAUGUAUUUAGUAAUGUUAAUGUUCUAUAAAUAUAUUUACGAUAUUUGAAAAGUAACCCUUUGACAUUAUUUGAAAUUUUUCUCUAUUUUGUGUUUUUAUUUUUUUCUUAUGCUUUUUACUCCAGAUUUUUUUUUAUUAUUAUCUAUGUCAUGUAUUUAUGUAUGUUUUAUGUAUAUUGUAAUAUCAGUUUCAUAAACCUAAACCCAAAAUACUAUUCUUCUAAAUUGAUAAUAUUUUUUUACAAAGAGAGAACAUUCUCCGUUGAACCUAGAAUAUUGUCUCUACUUAAUAAAAGAAAAUAUUUUAUCUUUAUAAGAUAAAUAUUUAUUAAUAAAAUUUUAUCUAAAUAUAUCCAUGUGUGAUUUUGUUUUGAAGGAUUUGUUAUAAUAAAUUUAAUGGUGUAAUCGAAAUUUAAUUUAUAUUUUUGGUUUAUGAGUUAUGACUUUUUUAACUCGCUAAAAAAAUUUUGCAUGGAUAUGUGAGUGGGGCCUAGGUGAGUGGGGCCUAGGUUGAUGGGAUAGCCUAUCAUGACACGGUAAAAAUGAGACUUGUGGCUUUACCAUGGAUAUGGUAGAUGAGUCCUUUCUAUAAUUUUUAGUUGUAGAGAUGACCCACCGAGGCUGCAUCUUUGGGAUUGAACUAGGGCGGUGUAGACCCCUUCACCAUUGGAAACUCAUCAAGGUGUCAAUAAAUAAACACCCUUCAACAAUGCACAAAUUUUAGGUGGUUUGAUUUAAUAAGUAACUAUAGAAAUUAGUUAAAGUGCCUUGACAGGUAAUGUUAAAGGUUAGUCUGCCAUCUAAGAAAAACAAAUUUCUGAUUCCCACCAGUGGGAACAUUGGCCAGGUCGUGGGGAGCUAUUUAACCUCCCACCAGCCUAGGUUGAAAACCUGAAGCCGAUUUAGGUGCCUUUUCCUUUAGUGAAUACCAAUACUUGUAGCUAGUUUCAAAAAGGAAUGAGGAAAAGAUCUUGGGUAUUUUUCUUCUGAUCCAUCUCAGCACUAGGGAAACAUCAUGACGAUUUCAGGUGGAAGAUAAACCACUUGUGAGCCAACCAAAGCUUACUCUGCAAAAACACAAAUAUGGUACAAGCCACAGUAUUCUAAGAUAAAAGAUUUGAUUCUGUUUUGUUGAGAAGUCAACCGGCGUCCCUCUGAAUAAUUUUGCACUGAUACCAACGAGGCCGGGAAUGGAGGGCGCUAGGCGCGAGCGAGAAAAGAACAUGAACUCAAAAAAUUUGUGAUUGUUUCUUCAAAAAGCAUCAUUGUCUCCUUGAUUGUGCAUAUUUGAUAGCUCCUUCAUUUUGCUCAUCAUUUGUUAAAAAUAUAAUAAACAUGUGUUGAUCAAACUCUCAAAAAUUAGCAGGUGUUAAACGAGGUCAAAAGGAUACAGGAUUUGUACAAGACAGAGGAGACGAGCAUCUCCAUAACAGGUCACAGCCUAGGAGCAGCACUUGCCACCAUCAAUGCAAUUGACAUUGUCUCCAAUGGCUACAACAGGAGCUGCCCUGUGUCCGCGUUUGUAUUUGGAAGCCCCAGAGUCGGUAACCCUGAUUUUCAGGAAGCAUUUGACAGUGCAGCAGAUCUGAGAUUGCUCCGAGUCCGGAACUCUCCUGAUGUGGUCCCAAAAUGGCCAAAGCUAGGAUACAGUGAUGUCGGCACAGAGCUAAGGAUCGACACAGGAGAAUCACCCUACCUGAAGUCCCCUGGAAACCCCUUGACAUGGCAUGACAUGGAGUGCUACAUGCACGGGGUUGCAGGGGCUCAGGGGAGCAGUGGAGGGUUCGAGUUGGCUGUUGAUCGAGACAUUGCUUUGGUGAACAAGCAUGAAGAUGCACUGAAAAAUGAGUUUGCUGUCCCAUCAUCAUGGUGGGUGGUACAGAACAAAGGUAUGGUGAAAGGCAAGGAUGGCCGGUGGCAUCUGGCGGACCAUGAGGAUGAUGACUGAUGUAGCCUGGCAAACUAUCUUUUACCAGUCUGUUACCAGAACACGUGUGUCUUUGUGUUUAAAAUUGUACUACCUGGCUAAUUUUCUGUAUUCAAAUCAUGAGUUUCAUUGACUUUUAUCGAUUGUAAUAAACCCUAAAUUUGUUGAGCAGUGGAUCUUUGGACAAAAAAAUCAGCGUUGGAUGUUUUUCACCAUCUUUGUUAUUUUUAUUUUUGAUUGAAAGUGCACAUUCUUGGAUAGUUGGAUUACUUAUUAGGAAACAGCUUUUCCAUUUAUAUAGUGCGGCAAAAGUAUGGCUUACUAAAUUUUGAAGGCAACGUUAUGUCUUUAAUGAUACAGUUAUGGUUAUGUAUUUCUAUAUCGAUUUUAAGGUACUGAAUUUGUGGAAAACAUAAAAACUCUAUAAGGCCUUGUUUGGAUGUAGGAGUCACAUCAAUCCAUGUGGAUUGAGGUGAAUACGACAACAUCCAAACAAGACCUAAGAGGAAAACUUCGAACCUAAGUGAGAUAUUUUAAGGGUGGUGCGGGGAGAGACUUUAACAUUCUCGUUCCGGUUUGGCCGAGUCGAAUCCUCUGUCCCAGCACAUCUUUCUCCCUUUCAUGGAUCUCAUCUUGGCAUCCGUCAUGGACUACAUACAGACGGACCAUGGGCGACCAACACCUUCCCUUGUCAAGAUGCUCGAUCGGGAGAGGUGGUUUUGACAUGCCGCCACCCCCAUUUCUCACCCCCACCAAAUUGUUCAGUUUCUUCCAAAGCGGAGGUGAUCACCUUCUUCCCAGUGCUGGAUAGAUAGUUUUUCUUUUUCUCCCCCUCAACACAGUGGAUCGGAUUAGGCAUAAGCAUAAUGUUGUGCUGUGCGAUUUUUUGCUUGUUAUUUCAGCAUGCAUCUUUUUGCGAUCAAAAAGGGUGCCCAACAGCCCAUGGAUCUCAUUUCCUUUCGUCUUUCCAUAGUUGCAGUUGUUGGUCUGAUAGAUCCAGAACUGCUUUUUAACCCUCUCUUUCUGAAAAGCAAAAUCUGUUAUCUAAUAUGCCGCGUCAUUGUGGCCGUAGACUGUAACUUAGUCAAGAAAUGGGAUCUAAAGGCUAUAUUAACGUCAAAUUAUCAAUUUCCACUGAAGACCAAUGCAUAGCGCGUAAUACUGCCAGAUAGUCAGUUCUACUAGCUGGCAACAUAUUCAAACAAUUUAGGCCUUAGUUCGUAAAUUUUUUUUGCUUUUGGUUACUGUAGCAUUUCGUUUUUAUUUGACAAACAUUGUCCAAUUACGGAGUAACUAGGCUCAAAAGAUUCAUCUCACAAAUUACAGGUAAACUGUGCAGUUAGUUUUUAUUUUCGUCUAUAUUUAAUGCUCCAUACAUGCGACCAAAGAUUUGAUGUGACGGAGAAUCUUGAAAAUUUUUGCGAACUAGACAAGGCCUUAUACAUCGACAUGUGCCAUGUGUUUGAAUUCUUUCCCUCUGGAUCCUUGAAUUCUUUCCAUGAUGCCUGCUGUCAUGUCAUGUGCCAUGCGAGCAAAAGAAUGCUCCACUUGUACACACACCUUGCUAGCUCCGAGGUCAGGUCUUGUUUACUUUCACCCAAAAAAACAAAAUUUUUUAAAGAUUCUCUGUCACAUCGAAUCUUUAGACGCAUGCAUGGAGUAUUAAAUAUAGACAAAAAUAAAAACUGUGUGCACAGUUUGGUCGAAAUUGACGAGAUGAAUCUUUUGAGCCUAGUUAGACAAUAAUUACCACAAACAAACGAAAGUGCUACAGUGUCGCGAAAUUUUUUCCUUCACCAAUUAAACAAGGCCUCAACUUAUAACCUUGCAGUUGCAGUACCACACAGGUUGGCAAAGGGGGAGGCACAGGACCACAAACCUCCAGAACUCAGAUCGAUAGCCAAACGCCCAUAACAAAUGUUCUCCGGCGACAUGGCCGCCGGGCGGUGGAGGGAGCUGCACGGCAGCAACCACUGGGAGGGCCUGCUGGACCCGCUAGACGUGAACCUCCGGCGCUGCCUCAUCACCUACGGCGAGAUGAUCAUGGCCACGUACGAGGCGUUCAUCGGCGAGAGCCGGUCCCCGAACGCCGGGAUGUGCCGGUACCGCCGCGCCGACCUGUUCCGGCGCGUGGACGUGUCCCGCCCCGGGUGGUACGAGGCCACGCGGUACCUCUACGCCACGGCCAGCGCCGAGGUGCGCGGGAAGGUGCUCCUCCGGCCGCUCUGCCGGCAGGGCCGCGCCAGGGAGUGCAACUGGAUGGGGUAUGUCGCCGUGGCCACGGACCAGGGCGCCGCCGCGCUCGGGCGCAGGGACAUCGUCGUGGCGUGGCGCGGCACGCAGCGCGCGCUCGAGUGGGUGGCCGACCUCAAGCUCGCGCUCGCCUCGGCGGCGGGUAUCCUGGGUCCGGAGGGCGCCGGCGGCUCCGACCCGUCGGUGCACCGCGGGUACCUGUCGCUUUACACGUCGGCCGACGAAGGCUCCAACCUGAGCAAGCAGAGCGCCAGAAUGCAGGUGUGUGACCUGCUCUGCCGCUUCUUUUUGAACUCUUGCAGUCCAGUUCAUGUGUUGUACAGUAGUACUAUUGCAUCUUGUUUUUGUUGCAGUUCAUAUUAUUUUAGAGUUUUAUAAACUGUUAAGAAGAGGGUUUAUAGUUUUCUAACUUAUUCUUUUAGAGUGGAGUCUUUAACACUCCAAAAAGACUACAAUUUCAAUAUUAUGGUUUUCAAAACUAGUUUACUGCUUCCAAACACUUCAUGGCCAUUCAAAACCAAAGUAUUUUACAAAAUCAUAAUAUUUUUCUAAAACUCCAAAAUGCUUUGCAUCAAAACAGGGCUUAAAAUGCUUUCUUUCCCCAAAGACAGUGACUGCCUUCUUCCACAAUCAGCAGUUGGAGACUCCUUUUGAGUCUCCACUUUAAUUCUUUUAAUAGACACACAUGGGAAAAAGUACAAAUGAGAGAAUUUGAGCUAUUGACAUAUCAAACACAGACCGAAGAGCGAUGCUAAGGAGAGCACAAAAAAAAUAGAGGUGGAAAAUACAAUAAUUUGUAACUGAAAUCUAUCCUGAUUGGAUAAAAACAAAGUAUCUACAUGAGUACUACCUUAGAAUAUGGGCAAAUAAGGGAGAGCGAAUGAAAGCAAUUUGAUCAGCUAUGACCCCAAAUUUGUCUAUGGAUGUCUAAUAUUUGUCUCUUAGAAUUACUCCCUCCAUACCUGAAUUACUUGUCGUUUUAGCCUGUUAGCCCGUUCUCUCAAAACAUGACGCUGUGCACAGUUUGGACGCGAAUGCCCCUGUCCGUCCGCCUUCUACCAUCAAAAAAAGUGUGCUUGCGAAGAUUCGAACAGUCAACCUCCAGCCUUACACCAUAGAGAACUAGCCAAUCAAACUAUGCAACGUUGUUGUAAAAGUAACACAUGUGGUUUUAUUUAAUAAGGGCAAAGGAGGAAAAAUACCCUCUAAUUAAUCACUCCUUGGUAAGCACAAUCAUGUCCUAAAUGUCAACUAAUUCAGGUAUGGAGGGAGUAUUACUAAUCCGUGCAAAACAAGAGUGCUGUCCUUAUGCUUGUUGAGUUCACUACAACAAAAUGUAUUGCCGUUUCAAUUCAAGAGGAGAGGAGAAAAUUGUGACAUACAUAUUGCUAUUGUCUUAACACAGUGACAACUUACAAAUCACCAAGUUGGGUCGCAAAACAUCUCUUGGUGAUGAAGUUGGUCAUAACAUGAUGCCCUAUAUAUGUCCUAAAUAACAACUUAUCACUAUGCUAUGCCCAGUAGCUAAAGAGGUCUGGUGCCUUGUGUUGGUGUGGGAGCAUUUUGACACGGACUUAAUCCGACAUCAGACCCAACCGACAGAGAUAAGAAUGUGGUGGGAACAAGCGGCAACCAAAGUUCCAAGAGAGCGACGACGACACUUUAACUGGGUGGUGAUAUACACGAUGUGGAACAUUUGGAAGGAAAGAAACAAAAGGAUUUUCCAAGACACAGUCAUAGAUGCUCGACAAGUGGCCUUGAAAGCCAAGGAGAACAUUAACAUGCACUUUAGAGUGUUUAACAACCAGACUUAGCCCCACUGUGUAGGAGCGCCGGGUGUUUCCUGUUUUUAUGUUUGCCCAGUGCGGCUAGCUGGAUGUCUCGAUUUUCUUGUACAUAUAACUUAUUUCCUUUCUUAAUUGAGAAGUAGAGCUCCUGCUAAUUUUUCAAAAAAAAAACUUAUGGCAUGCACUUCUACACCUUGGAAGCUAUCCUCAUCAUGACGCAUGGCAUGGAUUUUGCUUGCCUCAUGACGGUUGCGUGAAGAUAAGGUGUUGUUUAGUUUUCUCGUGAAGAUGUGAUUGUCGAGUGGAUUGUUGUUGGUUUGGUUGCAUCAGGUGUCCUAGUUGAGUAGUAAGUGUGAUUCAUGCUUUGUCUUUAAGUACAAGUUCAGCAAUAUAUAUAACUGAUGAAAACAUCAAUCAAAUACUACAUGAGCAGUUAAUUAGCGCAUCAGUUGUCUAGGCAAAGCAAUCCGAUGACUGCAAACAGUUGAUUAGAUUAUUAGAAAUAUUUGAGGAAUUCUUGGCAAAUUCUCGUUUCUUAUAUAUAGCAACUUGCUUUCUUCCACCAAAUCAACAUCAAUCAUUAUUCUAAGAAAUAUGUGGGUUCAUUCUAGUCCUUAGAUCACAGAUCACUCAAUGCUGAAAUCAGAAUACAUGCACAUUCAUGAUAUGGGCCUAGAAUUGCAUGCUAUGUAUACAAGGAGGCGGGUAUUGCUGCCAGGAUAUGGGCCUCAUACAAGCCCUUAAAAUUCAGGCAAUGCAAUUGCAGCUCCGGAAGAUUCAUAUUCACAAUGCAUGACAUACAAUCUGCAACUGGAACUGAACACUGUUCUUUUAACUCUUUCCUUACGAAGUGCAUUGCCUGGAAUUAAAAACGAAAAUAAUGCCAAGAUUUUGGUAGCGCCAGCGGUGAGUAUUGGCCGUCCAAUAAUGGUCCUUCUCCAGAUGUAUUGUUGAUGUAGCAAAACUCUACUAGUUCUACAAUGGCAACCCCAGGGGAUCCCUAUUCUGUAUGGACACUACAGAAUCUGAAAAUUUUCAGACCGGCAAUAGUCCCUCGAUUAGUAGUACUUUGAGCCUUUGAGGUAAGUGUCGCUGUGUCAAGCAGGCGUGGCAGAGUUAAGGCUGCUAAUGCAAGUUGAUAACAGAGUGCCUAGAGAAGGAGGAGGGCAUUGUGUGAUAUGGAGAUAUAGCCAAAAAAAAAGUUUGAUGAGAGCUGUGCUGAAGGAUGGAAAACAAAAAUGAGAUGCUAUUCACUGUUGAGGAAGGACAAUGAUUGUCAACCUUACGGUGCCCAAAGAAAAGGGCAAGAUCGAUAAGCAAUGCUAUAACAGCAGUACUAUGAUUAACGAUGUUUAAGGCGAUGCAUGAUUGAGAAAGGUGUGGCAGCGGAGUCAGGUAAAAGGAUAUUGAAGAAGCUCGAAUGUGUGUGCAUUUAUAUGUUAUACUAUUCUUUUUAUUUUUUGAAUAGUUGUGUGUUUUAAUACUCAGUGAACAUCGGUUUAGAUGUACUAUACAAGUAAGUCUAGAGAUUAUUAGAUUAUUAUCUCCUAGCUUCCUUUUUUUUGGCAUGUACUUAGCAAGUUAUUAAUUGUGCGAGCAUGCAGGUGUUGACAGAGAUCGCAAGGCUAAUGGACAAAUACAAGGACGAGGAGACGAGCAUCACCGUGGUUGGCCACAGCCUCGGCGCGACCAUGGCCACCCUGAACGCCGCCGACAUCGUCGCCAAUGCCUACAACAAGACCCCGGGCUACGACAGCCGCCGUGCUCCGGUGACAGCCAUCGUGUUCGGCAGCCCACGCACGGGGGACCGCGACUUCCGGGACGUCUUCCACCGCCUCCCGGACCUCCGGAUGCUCCGCAUCCGGAACAGGCCGGACCGCAUCCCGCACUACCCGCCCGUGGGCUACGCCGACGUGGGCGUCGAGCUGCUCAUCGACACGCGCCGGUCGCCGUUCCUCAAGCCCCACGGCAACGAGUCGCAGUCGCACGACCUCGAGGUCCACCUCCACGGCGUCGCCGGCUGGCAGGGCGACCACGGCGGGUUCGAGCUGGUGGUGGACCGGGACGUUGCGCUGGUGAACAAGUUCGACGACUGCCUCGCCGACGAGUACCCGGUGCCCGUGGGCUGGAAGGUGCACCACAACAAGAAUAUGGUGAAAGGGCCCGACGGGAGGUGGGUCUUGGAGGACCAUGAGCCAGACUACGAAGACGAGGAUGACAACGUCGACUUGUAGAGCAACCAGAAACAAGCAUGAUUUGGACGUCGUCCAGUCCCGCCAGGCGAAGCCAGCCGAUUGUGUUUUGUGUUGCUACUAUUGAUCUUAUCCCGAUGUUUUGAAAGGUCUUGGGAGCACUGAAUGGUGAAAUGAAUUAUAUGUCUAACAAUAAUUAAAGAUAUUAAACUUAGAGCUCAAAUAAAACUAUCCGUAAAAAACUAAUAGAGUACUAGUUCUAACAUGAUGUGUACCUAAGAUUGUUCUAGCGUGCUCUAACUUACAGAGACGGAAAAGUAAUAAAAUAUUUUUUGAUACAAUUAUUUAUAAAGACGGGCAUCCUAAUAUGCCUGUGGAUGCUUAAAAUGACCACCUAUGUUUUUUCUCGAAUACUUAAAAGGUUUGUGCAUCAUUGUAUUAAGAUUGAGAAAAACAGUUUGUUACAUCGACGUGCCUCUUAGGCGCACUAGGAGGGGCGAAGGUUAUACAAUGACUACCGUGCUAAUAAUAAUUUAUAGAGGCGGUCGUCUUAGGACAUUUGUAUCUAGUAGAUGAUUUUGAGAGGUGGGUAUUUCUUGGAGGUCUCCGACCACUUACGGAGACAGUAUUUCUCAUAAUUUUUUUAUAAUGUGUUUUUACUUACAAUGUACUAUCGCUGCAUUUGUAUAUUUUUUAUAAUGUGUUUUUACUUACAAUGUACUAUCACUGCAUUUGUAUACUUACUUAUAUAGUACGAUUAUACACUAUCUUAAUUUAGAAUUUUAUACUUUGAUAUACAUGUUAUCUGUUCUGUGCCUUGUGUGCAUGCCCCAAGUCAUUGCCCUGGCUUUAUUUCUCACACACUACUAACCUAUAACAUGUAGCUAGCAUACUUCCCCACUCUACAUUGACCCCACCCAUCACUAACCUUAAAUCAAAACUGAAGUUGAUGGCGCCCUUGCUACCUUGCUACCCAUCGACUUACCAAUCGAGCAUUUAUAUAUGAGCCUAAUUAAUCUUAACCAUCAUUGCUGCUAAAUAGAAGAAUCUACGGAUGACGAUUACUAAUAUUGCAUCAUACCGGCAUGAGCCUAUUCACUGGUGUUUAGUGGCUCUUUAUGGAGCUGCACAACCAGAGUUUUUUUAAAAAAUUCUGACCGAGUUAAUUCAGGCGUGCAGGAAAGUAGGUAGCUGAUGGGUAGAGACUUUAAUAUUAUCUAGAAUCCAAGUGAGAAAAAUAAUGACGUGUUUGACAACCGAUAGCACUUUUUAUUUAGGUUUUUAUGGGUGAAAAGUUUUUGGAUACCGUAUUAUUUUUAUUUGUAUUUAGCAAUUAUUAUCCAACCAUUGACUGACUAGAUUCAAAAAAUUCGUCUCAUAAAUUACAGGCAAACUGUACAAUUAGUUAUUUUUUAUUUAUAUUUAAUGCUUCAUGUGCCGCAAGAUUUGAUGUGACAAGAAAUCUUAAAGUUUUUAAAUUUCGGAUAUAACUAAACAAGGCCUUAGUGCCAUUAUAGAUAGCUUGGAUCUAAGGAAGAUUGAAAUUUUAGGAAGAAAUAUCACUUGGGCCACUCUAAAAAUAUACCUUAUGGAAAGUUAAACAGUAUGCUUGCCAGCAUGGAGUGGGAGCAAAUAUUUCCCUUUCACUGUUGAUGCAUUGAAAAUAGGGAAAUUUAGGAUCAUACACCCAUGCAUUUAAGCACCGGUGAGAAGGUACACGUCGACAGCCAACCUGAGUUCAAAUUUGGGCUUAGCUGGUUCCUCAGGAGGAUUUUUUUUAGAAGGUUGCCAAGGUUUGGAAAAGUGUAGAUUAUAGAUCUACUCCUAUAAAGAAAUAGCAGAAUAAGAUCAGAAGGCUGAGACAUUUUUAGAGGAUGGACAAAGAAUGUGGAUGGAAAUUUCAAGAAAGAGUUUCGGCUAGAUGGGGAACUUGAUAGAAAAGCAGAAUCCCAAGUCCUUAGCCAACAAGAACUAGACUUGAAGCAGUCUGAAAGAAAGAAUUGCACAAAUGCAUCAAGAAGAAGAGAUUAGAUGGUUCUAAAGGGAAAAGACUAAAGAGCUGCUAAAAGGGGAUAAUACUACUAAGUAUUUCCAAAUGGUGGCAAAUGGAAAGAGAAGGGAAAAAGAAUCUUUUGGCUAGAACAAGAAGGGAAAGUGAUCGAGGUGCAGAAAAACUUACAAAUUGUCAUAACAAAAAUAUUAUAAAGAUUUGUUUGGAUCAUCGCAUAGAAACGAUUUCUCUCUUGAUGAAUCAGAAACAUAAUAAGGCUCGGCGGAGUUCUUCCAAGUGUUUUGGUCUCUCGUAAAAAAUGACCUAAUGGCCAUGUUUUCAGAGUUUCAUGUAAGUAAUCUACCCCUCUUUAACCUUUAUUUUGGUACGAUCACUCUAAUCCCAAAGGAACAAGAAGUCAAGCAAAUCUAGCUGUACAGGUCUUGUUUAGUUUGUGAAGGGAAAAAAUUUCACGACACUGUAGUACUUUUGUUUGUUUGUGGUAAUUAUUGUCCAACCAUAGACUAAUUAGGCUCAAAAGAUUUGUCUUGUCAAUUCCGACCAAACUGUGCAAUUAGUUUUUAUUUUUAUUUAUAUUUAAUACUUCAUGCAUGCGUAUAAAGAUUCGAUGUGAUGGGGAACCUUGAAAAAUUUUGGAUUUUUUGGAUGAAAGUAAACAAGGCCUAAGGUCUUGGCUGAUAGGCUGACUGUAGUUGAUAAAGUAGUGAGAAAGUCAUAGACGGCCUUUUUGCCAGGGAGGAAUAUUCUAGAAUGAUUCAUGAAUUGGAUAAGAAGAAGGAUGGGGUAAUCCUAAAACUGGACUUUGAAAAGGCUUAUGAUAAAGUUAAUUGGUCUAAAUGUGCAACAAACUCUCAGGAUGAAGGGCUUCUCACCGAUCUGGUGUAAAUGGAUUGAGGAGAUGGUUAGUAGAGGAAGCGUGGGGACUAAGGAGAACGAGGAAAUUGGUUGUAAUUUUCAGACCAGAAAAAGACUUGGACAGGGGAUCCCUGCUGUCUAAGGAGGAAGAGAGAAUGGUUUGAAAGAAGGCUGUAGGCAUCUUAAAGACGUGGUGUUAUAAAUUUUCGAAGCCUAUCCGUGAAAAAACCAUAGAAGGAUAAGAAUGUAGAAUCAUAUGGCUUUUUUGUAUCGGCACUUUAUUUGGCUAUAAGUGUUCUGGUCUUUGGCUCUUGUUUUUUACGCUUUCAGUGGAGAGGGGUCCUGAUCUUAGUGCCCUUUAGUGUCCGUUUAGCGGAUCUUGGUCUAAGUACCUAUCAUCUUGUAAUGUUGGCCAUAAGCAUUCACUUAUGAAUGUGAAGGCUCGAAUGUUUCUAUUCCUUAAUCCAAAAAAAUGAGCCUAAUAGUUUUGUAGAAGACAAUAGCAGAGAUGACGAAAGUGUAGUUGAAACUAUGCACAAACCUUCCACACAAAAACAACUCCUGCUAAAUUGGUGAGGAUGUUUGCAUUGAAGAUAUUCACAAUUGAGUUUAGCUCAUGAGUUUGGGGCACUUCCCUGCAAACCUUACAUUUUUCCUCAUUUCCCACAAAAGAAUAAAGUCCAGGAAAUGUUUGCGCAGAGAAUCUGGCACCAUUUCACUGAAAACGACUCCGCACAUGCCGUUUAGCUCAGGAGACUAGCAAACUGACAACUGCAAGAGCUGCCGAUUUCAUUAGCACCCACUCGCACACACAUCGAUCGGUGUUAGUGUAACCUCUUUGCGCGGACAGAAACAAGAUAGAGAGGCGAGGAAAAGUGCUAGAGUCCAUGGGCUACCAAUCUCAUGGACAGCAGAUCCGCGUCACGCAUUCAUGCUCUUCUGGCCAGUUUUCCAAUGCUGUUCUUUCAGGGCCCAGCGGCUCCAUGUACGCACAACUCAUGCGGUCUUUUCAUGCGAGCGACAUGGGUGGACGCUCUCGGCGCCGCAUGAUACGUUCUGUUGCCUCAUGGUCAUGGACAUCGUGCUGGUAAAAACGAAGAGGAGAUGACUGUGCGAUGCACAGGAAGUCAGGAAUGUUCAGAAGGAAGUUCAGGUAGUGUGAUUCACAGACAUCGCUCUUUUUUUAUGUACGGCACAGAGGCAGGGACAGUGCUGAGUUUUCCGCUACCUUGUUGGUUAGAUUGUGUCCUUGGAAUCCUUGGAGGACUACCUGGCAUCCAUCCAUGCCCCCAAUUUAUGGUGUGUGGAGGUCGCCAUAUAUAUCCAUCAGCUUGCUCUCUCUCUCUCUCUCUGCUUCUGCUGCUUGCUUUGCUUCAGACACUUGACACUACUCACUAGCUAGCAAGUGCCUCCUCAGUCCUCACCAUGACCCUCAUGAGCCUGCUGCGGCUACCGGGGGAACAUUGCUCCUUGUCGCCGGCGACGCUGGCGGCGUGGUGGUCUCUUUUGCUCCUGGCUGUCAUCGGAAGCAGCGGCUCACCGGUGCUGGCGGGUUGCUACACGCGCAUCUUCAGCUUCGGCGACUCGCUGACAGACACAGGAAACUACGUCCACCUGACGGCCACCAGCCACAGCCCCUACGGCGCGCCGCCGUACGGGAGGACGUUCUUCGGCAAACCUACUGGCCGCGCCAGCGACGGACGCCUCGUCAUCGACUUCAUCGGUGAGCAAGCUGCUGACUUCGUUUGACUCUUGAUUGAGUCUCUUUUUUUGCUCCUAGUUCUUAUACGUUGGUUUCUCUGCCUGAACCAUCCAUUCUCUGUUUCAAAAGAGACGUCAGUAUCGUCGACCCCAAAAUUGCCAUCCUGUUAUUCUUCAGUAAAGCAAAAUGAUGGGUGACCUUUACGAAUUGCCUCAAUGUGCAUGGGUUUCUACUUUCUAAUGAAAGAAAUAGAAUGGAUGCCUGAACUCAUUGCUGGUGCGCUCAAAUGAACAAAAACAAGGCCAAAUGGGCAAAACUGCUCGACCCCCAUACAAGUAAACUCCAUUGCACUGUUCUUUCGCCCUUUAUUAUUAGUAAUUCAUGAUUGAAGUGGUUUGUGAAUUUAGUCGGCAACUCACACUCAGGCGGUUAAAGUAGCAUUCUUCUGUGGAAAAGACUGUCUUGGCGUCCAAUGCUAACGGUCCUCGCGUUUAAGCACUGCAAAACUCUGUUACAACUUACUAGCUACUACAUACAACAUGCAGUACAUAGUACAGACUGGUUGUGCGCAGUGUGGCUGUGUAUUGGUAACGGGAAAAGUAGAUAGAAAGUUCAAUGAUUAGCUUGUUCUUGAUUUGAUUCUCCAUCUAAUAUUUAUGAAUUAGAACCCCAGAACGACAUGGUUUUGUCUGAGUGCCAGUUCAGUUUGCUUUUGUGAAGAGAGUGUGUGGACGCUUGUUGCACCUAAAUUAAGCUUGCGCGAGCGAGUCCUGUCCUGUCCAGGUACAAGAGUCGUAACUUGUGUGCGCUUGCGUGAGUAGAUAGUACAGCUGCGCACUUUAAAUUGGGAUUAGUGGCAUCCAUGGUCCCUAAACUGUGCGUGUUUAUGAGCGUCGAUCUAUGCACAAUGAAUCAAUGAUCGAAUUCAGAGGUAGUCCCCUCGUCGCCUAAAGAGACUAGCAAGAAGCCAGGUACACGUCUUCCCCCACAGGAGGAAGAAGAAGAAGAACUUGGCUGCAACUUGCAAGACGAUGAUAACCCAUCACAGACUUGAAAGGUGCAAUGCGUUGCAGGUUUGCAACAUGCAAAUAUGCAAUGCAAAUCAUUGGCCCAUGCUUUCCUAGACAUUCCCAAAAUUGGCAGCAGCACCAGCACCAGGUGAAGGCUACAGUUUACCUAGCUGCCUUUAUAAUUGCUGCUCCUUUCUAAGAGUUCGUGCGACGCGCAUUUUGAAGCACCUAGUAGUCACUGAAAGCAAAAUUUGUAUCUUGUAAAGCAAGCCAUGCACGCAUGAUCGUCUCCACGUACGCCAUGCAUAUACAGACAGUAAAAGCAUUUGCUUGGGUUCGAAUGCAGCGGAAGAGUUGGGGCUGGCGAAGGUGACGGCGAUCCAGGCGGGCACGGCGCCGGGGGACUUCCAGAGCGGCGCCAACUUCGCCAUCAUCUCGGCCACCGCCAACAACGGCUCCUUCUUCGCGGGCAACGGCAUGGACAUCAGGCCUUUCUCGCUGGACACGCAGAUGCUGUGGUUCAGGACCCACCUCCGCGAGCUCGUGCAGGCGGCGUCCCCAGCGGCGCAGCAGAACGGCAGCGCCGCCGCCGCGCUGCUGAGCGGCGCGCUGGUGGCGCUGGGCGAGAUCGGCGGCAACGACUACAACUUCGCCUUCUCCCGGGGCGUGCCGCGGGACGAGGUGCGCCGGUUCGUGCCGGCCGUGGUGGACAAGCUGGCGGGCGCCAUGGAGGAGCUCAUCGCGCUGGGGGCGCGCGCCUUCGUGGUGCCCGGGAACCUGCCCUUCGGCUGCACGCCGCUGUACCUGCAGCGGUUCCGCGCCAACGGCGGGUGGUGGGACUACGACCCGGCCACGGGAUGCCUCGCCUGGUUCAACCGCUUCGCCCAGUACCACAACCGGGUGCUCACCGCCCGCCUCGACAAGCUCCGCCGCCUGCACCCGGACGUCACCAUCGUCUACGCCGACUGGUACGAGGCCACCAUGAGCAUCUUCCAAGCCCCCGGGAAGCUAGGUACGUACGUGAACGUGACGCCCGUAGUACAUAACCAUUAAUUCAUGUGUAAUGUAGAACUGCGCCGCCGCCGUUGUACGUGUGCUGCCCGCCCACCAUAGGCAUAGAUAGGCCGUGCGGCGGCGAGCUCUGUUUGCUGCCCUUGAGGUUGGGGCUCUGUUUGCUGCCCGUUGCGACGGCGACGGCGACGCCGCACCAAACAGCGAGGCAGCUCUUGUCGGAUCGCGCGGCAAGUAGGCCCCUUUGCAAUUGCAAUGGAAGCACGGUCGGGCCGGCGACAAAGCACAGCGAGUACGUCUUGGUCUUCCUUCCAUAAGGUGUCAGUCAGGGUGAUAGGGAGAUGGGCAGUUAUGGCUAAAAAAGGCUAUGCGCGAACAUGGCCCGGGCCCGGCACCAGUUGUGGUCGUGUGGCCACCAGCCGCAUGAGCCAACAAACGCCAAGGCCAUCAUGGGUUCACGUGCAACAAAUGGCCCGUCGCGACCAGCUGUGCACUGCCUAUGGUUUUUGGGCCUGGUACAGAUCUUACCUUGGCUAGCAUUAUCCAAAGUGUCAGCCCAGGAUAUAUGGAAAUAACUGACUGGUGGCGGGGGCUCGUCGGGUCCGGCCGUUCGGACGGAGUCCGUCUGUCCGGCAGACUCCCGCCAAAUUGUUUUCAGAUAUUUAUCAAUAGAUUUUCCCGCCUAGCACCUACAGACCAAGAGUAGCACACGACAGAUUUUGACUCACACUCAUCUCAUCCCACGUCAUCUAAACUGGUGCAUGCAAAUAGUUUUAAACGGAUUUAAAAAAGCUAUAACUUUUAUACUAAUCAUUCAAAUUAAAUUCCGAUUACACCAACGGUUUUGUUACAAUAAAUCCUUCAAAAUAAGAUCCCACAUGAAUAUAUUUAGAUAAUAUUUUAUUAACGAACAUUUAUCUUAUGAAGAUAGAACAUUCUUGAGCAGAGAUGAUGUUCUAGGUUUAUAGAAACAAUGUUCCGUCUUCAAUAAAAAAAUGUUCUCAGUUUAGAAUAAUAAUAUUCUAGUUUAGAUUGAUGAUAAUAUAAUAUAAAAAUAAAUAUAGACAGAUAACAUAAAUAAAUAACAAUAAAAUUUAGAGUAAAGCAUAAGAGAAAACAUAAUAAAGAAAAAUAAAAAUGAAUAUAACACAUAUACUUUUUAAACGUCCUAAAAUAGACUAUAUAAUAUCACAUAUACUAAGUGAACAACAGUAAAUACACCAUAAAAAAUCACUAAAUAUAUUAUAGAACAUCAUACAUUGUGCAAACAUAGAAAAUACAAUAGAACAUAUAUACUACACGAACAACAUUAAAUAAACCAUAGAUACAACUAAAUACAUAAUAGAACAUCAUUUAAUGUGUUAUAGAACAUCACAUAUAUAUUAUGUGAACACCAAUAAAAUACAUCAUAUAACAACAUAUGUGUAGUAAGUGAACAUCACUAAGUAUAUCAUAGAACAUUACUAAAUACAAUAUAGAACAUCGCAUAUAUUAUGUGAACAUUAUUAAAUACAUCAUAGAAAAUAAAAUGUAUAUUAAGUGAACAUCACUAGAUAUAUCAUAGAACAUUACUAAAAACAAUAUAGAACAUCACAUAUAUACUACGUGAACAUCAAUAAAUACAUACCAAAGUAUUAUAUGUUUACUAUGUGAAUGUGAGCAUAAAAAAAACACCAUAGAACAUCUCUUUUAUGCUAUGAGAACAUGACAUAUAUAUUAUGUAAAUAUUACAAAAUACAUUAUAUUAUAUGUAUACCACGUGAAUAUAAACAAAAUCACAUGUAUAACAUAUGAACAUAAAAAAACAUAAAAAUCACAUGUCAACUACAUAAAACACCAAAAAAAUAACAUCAUAAAAAUAAUAAAUAAAAGACAUAAAUGAAAGAAAAUAUAAUUAUUAGUAAAGAAACAAAGAACAUUACAUGCACAACAUGCGAGCAUCAAAAUAAUAAGAAAAUAAAAAAAUAAAAGAAACAUAAAAUAUAAAAAGUUAAAAGAGUAAUAAAAAAACAUAAAACAAAAAAAUAGUGAAGCAUGAAAAUAUAAAAUAAAUGAAAAGAAAAAACUAUAGAAAACAUUAAGUAAAAAGAGAAAAGAAAAAAAAAGAGAGAAAAAAGAAUAAACAUAAAACAAAAUUAAAUGAAGUAAACAAAAAAAAGAAAUACGAAAACAUAAAAAAAAAGUCACAUGAAACAAAAAAUAAAUUGAAGCAAGGAAAGAAAAAUAAUAAGAAAAAAGAAAGGAAAGAAAAUAAAAAGAAAAAGAAAAAAAUAUAGAUAAACAAUUUAAAAAAUGGAAAGAAUAAUAAAAACACAUAAAACAAAAAAAAUUAAGCACAAAAAGAAAAGAAAAACAAAAAAAAAUAAAUGAAGCACAAAAAGAAAAGAAAAAAAAGGGAAGAGAAACUUACUUUUAGUUACGUACCUGGAACCUGGAAGGCCGAAGCCUAGCAGGCCGAAGCCUAGCGGGAAACUUCACGUCGGGCGGAGGGCGGGAAACAUCUCAUUGCCCAGCGCGGGAAACGUCGGACGAGUGCUCGGGUCCGAAUGUUCGGACCCGAAGAAUUCCGGACUGGUGGCUUAGGUUUCUUCUAAGGUCCGUAUUUGUAACUCCAUAGGUCACGACGACUCAUCAGUUGAAAAAAAAAAUCAGUUGAAAUCCCAGCAAAAUUAAUUUCCACACUGAUCGACCAAUAGCUGAGCUCGACCAAUAUUGUGGUUGACUACUUGCAGGGUUCACAAACGCUCUGCGGACUUGCUGCGGGAACCAGACCGUGCCGUGUGGCAUGCCGGGGUGCUCCGUCUGCAAGGACCCGUCCACGUUCGGGUCCUGGGACGGGACGCACCCGACGCAGGCGGUGUACAAGGUGAUCGCCGACGGGGUGCUGCACGGGCCGUACGCGUCCCCUGUUCCUCUCGCCGAGACUUGCCCUCCCACCACAUGAUGAGAGCAGCAAUCAGACAAUCAGCAGCCUGAUCUGCUUGGAUGGUCGUCGUCCUCUGAUGAUGCUUAGAAGAUUCAUAUAUAAUUGUCAGCUUUUAUAGAGUGGUAACAUCUGAAUUACACACUUGUGAAUUUUUAAGGACGGUACAAUAGCUUUGUUUCAGAAUACAGGUGAGGUUGACAUAUUUCAAUAGCAUACACACGAAGCAUUGAAGUGAUUUUUUUUUUAUGAGAACGCAAUGAAGUGAUGAUUGGGUUUAUAAAAACAUUAUUGUUAUGGUCCUGCACCCCUUCCUCCGAAACAUCAUUGCAACAAGAACCAUUCACGGCUAGAGCAGCUUGUGUAAUUUUUAUGAUUUUCUCUCUCCUUUUUUGUCUCUUAAUCUCUCUAUGUCUCCUCUUGCGCUCUGUACCCGGUGCUGUGUUUUUUUUACGUUUUUUCUUGUUUUCUCUUUUGUGUUUCUCUGCACUCUGGUUUAGUAACCUUCUAGGUUACUUUUAAUAAAUUUUCCAGUAGGGGCUCGUUGGCCCCUCCUGUUUAUUCAAAAAAAAAACCAUUCACUGCAAAUGCAUAUUUUAUUCAUGAGAAGAUCAUUCUUGAUGUUUGUUAGGAGCAAGACAACACGACCAUGCUGCAUGGUUCUUGGUUGCGAUCACGACAUUUUUAUGACCUAUGAGCCAUUGCAUGCUCCUGAAUUCAGGUGUUGGCGUAUCCUCACAAUUCCCUCCAACCUGAUAUGUUCCUUGCAAUGUCAGUAUAUACAUGCAUGAGACAUUGAAGUGACAAUGCAAUUGGGUUUGUGUAAACAACAACAACAACAACCAUUCAGGAGCUAGCCAUGUCAACAGUAUACACAUGAAGCAUUGAAGUGACAAUGCAAUUGAGUUUGUACAAACAAUAUUGUUAUGAACUUAUGAUCAUGCCCACCCACUAGAAAUAUCAUUUUUUUUAUUUUCUUUGUGAUCUUUUUUAUAUGCCGACCAGAAAUUUAUUAAAAAGGGAAAGUACUCAAAUACAAAGCUGAAGAAACAAAAAAGAUCACAAAGAAAAUAAAAAAAAAAAAAUUCCAUAAAACCAUCUAGCGAUAAAUCUAUGCGGGGAUGAUAACUUGCUUUUGCUCGUAGAAUAACUAGAGGAAACUCUUGCUUGAAGACAACCUUACAGCAUUGUACAGAAUGUUGAAGGUUGCCGAAAAAUAUUAACAUUAAAUCAUGUCCAAAUGACCUAGUAUAUUGUGAUGAUAAUCUCUAUGAAGAAAGGGAGCUGAAUAGCUGAUCUUUGAAGCUAUAGAUGGCCAUCGGGCUGUGCCGGCCCGGCCCUGCGGGCUGCGGCACGUUGGCCUGUGCCGGCUUGACACGGCGUCGUGCCUCCACGGGCCGCCGUGCUUCGUGCCUGGCCAUUGGCCCAAGGCACGACCCGUGGGCCGUCGGGCCGGUCCAAAAGCACGUCGUGCCAGCGUGCCAGGAUGGUUGGAUGGGCCAACAACAGGCUAACAAGCCUACAUUUCUUUUUUUUUAAAUUAGCAGGUUGUAUUUCUUACCAGGCCAUUCAGGAUGGCUGGAUGGACCAACAGUCCUACAUUUUUUUAAAAAAAUUAGCAGACUAUAUUUUGUACUGGGCCAUUAACCACCGGACCGUCGGGCCGUGCCUGAGCCGUGCCACGGGCCAUAGUGGCGGCCCAGGCAUGGCCUGGUGCCUCAGGCCGUGCUGGCUCGCGCCCGGCAGCCGCCGAGUCGUGUUGGGCCACGGACCGGGCCGACGGGCCAUGGGCUGCAUGCCAACUAUAUUUGAAGCACACUAGGACAUCAAAUUAAAGGGUCACUGGUGUUAGGUACAAUCAAAUUCAGUGUAAACCAACAAGCUGAGGCAAAAAGGGCAGGCAGUCCAACAACAAUAAUCGUUCACUCCAAAGACGUACUUUAUACUCCACAUGAUACAUGAGAAGGCCGUGCUUGCUGCCUAUUAGCAGCUGGACACCACAGCCAUGUUGUGUGCAUCUUGGUUGUGAUCAUGACAUUUUCGUGAGCCAUUAUGCGCUCCUAAAUUCAGGUGGUGCACGAUUCACUCGAACCAUUAUCGGCUAGAGCCUGCAUCACCCAGCCGCGACGAUCCACAUGACCCCGUAGCCCGCGCUGCUAAAUCUGUGCCUCAGCAGUCAGCCAGCCAUACCCGCACCGCACGUAUAUAUAUACGUGCGUUCAUAGCGCAUUCAAGGACGUGAUCGACUGAUCGUGUGCGCCAGCCAUGCCGGCCCUCGCCCUGCCCACGAUGGAGUCGGAGCUGAGCGCUCUCGCGUGGGCGACGCUGCUCGCCCCGGCGUGCGCGGUGUACGCACGGUUCGCCGCUCGCCGCCUUCGCCCGGGCAUCCCGCGCCUGGCCGCGCUCUUCCCGACGUUCCCAGUGCUCGUGUACAUGCCCUGGAUGUUCAGCUCCCUCCACCUGCGCCUCUUCUCCUCCUUCUUCCACACCUGGCUCGCCGUCAACAAGCUCGUCCUCCUCGCGCUCGACCUCGGCCCACUCCACCCACGCCUCCCGCUCCUGCCGUUCGUCCUCUGCGCCGGCCUCCCCAUCAAGGUCUGCCGUCUCAGGCAGCAGAGCCAGCAGCAUCCUCCCGGCGCCGAGUUCUUGAGGCCGUGCGCCCGCAGCGCCUUGCUCCUCAGCUGCCUCGCCAUGGCGUACCCCUACACGGGGUGGCUCCCGCUCUACGCGCUCCACUAUCUCUACUGCGUCCAGAUCUUCCUCACGCUGGACCUCGUCUUCUCCUGCGUCAUGCUCGUCUCCGCGGCGCUCAUGGGCGGCGCGAGCCUUGAGAGGCAGUUCAACGCGCCGCUCGCCGUCGCGUCGCUGAACGGCUUCUGGGGCCGGCAGUGGAACCUGAUGGCCGUCGACCUCCUCCGGGAGUCGGCGUACGAGCCCGUGCGCGCUAGGUGGGGACGGGACGCCGGCGUGCUGGCCGCGUUCCUGAUGUCGGGCCUGCUCCACGAACUCCUGUACUGGUACCUGACGCUGCAGCAGCCCAGAGGUGAGAUGCUGCUCUUCUUCAUGUUCCACGCCGCGUUCCAGAUCGCCGAGCGAUGGGCCAGGGCGGCUGGCCUGUGGCGGCCGCCCAGAGCGGUGGCGUACCUCGUUGUCACGGCCUUCAUGGUGGUCACCGUAUCGGAGAUGUUCUUCGGGCCAUUUGUGAGAGCCGGCACAGACGUGCGCUUGAAGGAGGAAACCAUGGCGGUGGUGGAACUGAUUUGGGGUGCCAGGAAGUAUCUACUCCGUCCGUUUAGGGUGCCUUCAAGCUAGAGGCAGGUAGGCGGGGUAUGGCCGAUUUAUGUGUUUUUUUUUUAAUGAGAAGCAAAUUUUAUUAGUGGCAGGAUACCUCAAUGAUGGUGAAGAAUUCAACGGUUACAAAGUUCAAAGCUGAUAACAAAGGGGCAGCUAUUUGCAUGUGCUGGAUUGGUACAUGAAGGUAGGAAAUCAAAGUUAACUAGCCCUAUUUGUGAAGUUGAAGGCCUCAGUGGCUAGGACAUGUGCUGUUGUAUUAAGCUCCCUGUGUAUCUUGAAAAUUCUUGCAUUGUUGCUUGAAGUAUUAUUGAUGAAGCACUGUGUAAAAGGCUUGAUGUCCCAAUGUGGUGGAUUGUCGUGAUCGUUUCCAUUGAAGAAGUUCACCAAUUUAUGCAUGGUUGAUACACUGCAGAGCAUCAACUCGCGGAUGAGCACUUGUAUAUGUAUAAUAUAUUACUACAUGAGAUCUUUUUAUCAAAUAAUAUGAAAAACAAGAUUGAAGAGACAAAGAAGUUGAGCUAGCUCAUAUCCUAGUCUCCUUUGCAAUCAAUUUCAUCUCUCACAGAAUGUACCGCGCCUAUCAUCCUACACAAUAUAUCAUGUUAACCUAAUACAUAUCCAACCCUUUCUGUUAUAAUUAAUGAAUGUGAUUCCAUUCUUUAAAACUUCACUCAUGUUCAUCUAAAUCCAAUCCUUUUCCAUCUAUACCUUUGAGCUCUCAUAUAUUUUAAAUUGUAACUCUGUGUUUUGCGCUCACAUGGUUGUAGAAACAAGCCAUACGCAUUAAUAACCUUUAUAUCUUGUUUUUCUAACGGUUAGUGUACAUUUUUUUAGGUUCAUUUGUGGUGCUUGCACUGGUUGUUAGUAUCUACUAUAAGAGAGAAGAUAUAGGGGUUGCCAAGAAUCAGAUAUUUGAGGAAAAGAAUCAAAAGCAAAUGUUUCACGGCAACUGCUCCGGUACUCCCUUUUUUAAAAUUUUGCACGAAUCUCAAAACACAUAAUUUUAGGAAUUAAUUGUUUCAUUAUUUUGCAUUUGGGUCUCGCUUGGGUUCAGCCCGUCCAAGCCAAGCCCCGGUCCAGCCCGUCCAAGCCCAUCCCGUGGCUUCCCAGACGCCGUCCGACGGCGUUGGCAGAAAAAAAAGAAAAAAUCUCUACUCCUAGAUGCCGAAUCGGACGCAUUCCACUGGCCGCGCAUUCCGCCAGCGUCGACUGCAGCGCCGCUGCCGAACUCAUUGAAGACGCCAUGCCACCAGCUGAGAGAGGCGCUGGCCCUCAACCGGCUGUGCCACCGGCGGCAGGAGGCGGCCGGCCGCGGCCCGCUACGACACCGUCGACUGGAGGAGGUUCGCCGCGCCCCGCCACGACACCGGCCGGCGGAGGCGCCGCCCCUCACCCCACCGCGCCACCGGCGUCAGGAGGCGGCUGGCCGCGCCCCGCCGCGACUCCCGCGGCAGGACGCGCCGGUCCUCAGCCCGCCACGCCGUGCCACAGGCUCCGGCGACAGGAGGCGGCCGGCCGAGACACCGGCGGCUGGAGGAGGUCCGCGCCCCGCCUCGGCCGUGGGAGGUGCCGGCCCUCACCCUGCGCACACCCCCGGCGGCAGGAGGCGGCUGGCCGUGAGCCGCCGCGACACCCGCGGUUGGAGGUCCGCCGCACCCUGCUGCGACACCGGCCGGGGGAGGCGCCGCCCCUCACCCCACCGCGCCACCGACGGCAGGAGGCGGCCGGCCGUGCCCCGACGCAGCAUCCUCCACACGCGGGACCCGCAGGUCGGAAUUCGUCAGGGGGAGCUCUGGCGGGCUACUUCGGCAUCCGCUUCGGCGCCAUGGUGUUCGUCAACUGGUGGGGCGAGACGCGACAAUUGAAGAGGUUCAGACUUUUUUCUGGAAACAGUCAUGGAUUUAGUAUGAACUGAGCACCAUGAACUGAGCACCAAUGCCUGACCAAAGCCUAUAGCAUGUCUCCAGUUCACCUGCUAUCAACUGCUAAGAUUGGUUUCGAUAGGAAUCUUCGUGGUUUGUAUUCGUGCACCCCUGAAAUGUGAGCAUUGACUGAUUGGGUAUGUUCAAGGUUGUGUUCUCAUCUCAUAGUUUCUGAUUGGGUCAUAAUCUAUAUGUAAACCUUUGUUUUUUACAACAAGAUCAGUUUUAUUUCAACAACAUGAAGAAUGGGUAGAGUCUGUAAGUUCAGAAGUCAGUGGAAAUUCUUGUUGUGCUAAUUUAUGAGCAGUUUGGUUUUGGCGAGUUUUCAUUGUUGAGUUGAUGAAGUUGUAUGACAGAUGCUUGAUCCUCCAGUCAGUUGGCGGCAGGGCAUGCUGCCGUCAGUGUCUGCAAUUGCUGCCUUGAUGUGGAUAUUUUUUGUCAUCAUGGCAGAUUUUAUCUCAAAUAUGCAUGUCGAUGUAAAAUCAUAAUCAAUAAGAAGUGUACAAACAUUUCCAGAUAGUACAAUUUCAAAUUUGUCACCGAUAGUAUAAAUUUGGAGGCUCAAACGCACAAGUUUAAGGCUAAUCAUAAUCAUAAGUGAAGUUUUUGUUCAUUGCCACUAAAUAGCAGCAUGCGAGUUCCAUCCAAAGCCUAACAAUCCAUUCAAACUAAUCUUAUUUGUAAUCCAAUAAGUGACAUGAGUCUCAAAGAAAGGUUGCAAACCAUUACAGCUAAGCUAACCAAAAUAAAUAUCUAUUCUCUAACGCUUCAAUUCUCGCAUGAUGCCUUCAACGCGCUGUUUGGAUUCUUCAAUAUCAUUUGUCGGGGAAAAUAUAAUGUCCGCAAUCACACUCAUCCGAAAGAUGUGAACGUCAUCCUGAUUAUAACAAUUCCGUCAUGAGUAUUCCCUCAAUCAGAAAAGUACAAUGAAUGUGAAGUACAAAUCAAGUGUUGGCCUAAUGACUGACCUGUGUGAAAUCUCGGACUAGCCUUGUUCCAUCCCAGAGCUCCAUAUACUUGAGCACAAAUAACCCACAGGAACAUCUGUGAGUAGGAAAAAAAUAAGUUUACUCUAGAUACUAGAAGAAUAAUAAUUAGUGUUGCAUUGUACUGACCCAUCAGUUUGUUGAGGCAGAUUGUUUAUGGGUUGGAUGUUCCAAGUGCCUACAUUAGUUGGUAGCUGGGGGGAUGACCGUCUCGCAAAUUUGGUCAUACGUUCAAUUCCAGUUCUCUGUAUAGGAAUAAAUAGGGAUGUUAGUUGAUUAGCACAGCACUUAUAAGUUGUAGUAAUACUAAUAUAGUAACAUACCAUGCUCUCAAUUUUUGUAAUAUACAUAUCAGGAGUCCACAGAGAAUCUAAUACUUGAAAUUCUCGUUUCUUAUUGUUCAUGACUACCAGUAUCCAAUGGCUAUGUCCACGAUGGACCAGUUGUAAGGGAAAGAAUACCUAAGAAUUGAAUGAAAAUUCUUCAUCUGACACGAAGGAGAAUAAAUAUGAAGAAGCAGCAAAGGACAGUAAUUAGAAAAGUUUAGACUUUACCAUGUCAUGAUCAUAAAAAUUUGCCGCAAAGUCUCUAUAGGAGUCACGAUUAUCUGGCCUGAGGACGCGGUCAACUUGAACUUCAUUCGAUAGGAUGAAAGAAUGCCACGCAGGGCUAAAACUGCGGCUGUCUGUAAUAUGAAGAGAAAGAUAGCCUGCGUAUGCAUCAAUGACCUACAAUAUGUGAAAAUACAAUUGUAUUACCAGAAUAUUAAAACCAGGAGAAUACAUUCAGGUACAGUUUUUCCAAGGGAAUUCUAUAACUUACGCCAUUGCAAAUAUAUUUUUGUUUGUCGGAUUUUUCAGUAAUUCGAGGAAUGAUGUGCCCCUUCAUGUCAUUUGCUGAUAAAUGAUGAUAAGUAGUAGCUUGUGUCUUCACCACGCGUGUUUUACUUGUUUCAUUAUGUGCGCACAAGUUGGAAAUAAACUGUACUGCUGCUGCCUCUCGAGGAGAGAGUGCUUCCAUAUCUUGUUUGUUAUAAUCCAUCCCCACUGAAAAGUUUUGUGCAACUGAUGUCCAAUUUAGUAAUGUAUGAUGUCAAGUAUUGAGUAAAAUAUUGGACAUUUUCAUUUGCAGCAAGCUGACACGUACAAGAAAAUGGAUGAGUUCUGGAGCAUAGCAAAUCAGACUUUUUCAAGUGAAGAUGAGGCAUUCACAUUCUAUAAUAAUUAUGCAAGGGACAAGGGUUUCAGUGUUAGAAAGGAGAAAGUGAGACGUAGCGAGAAGUCAGGGGCAAUUGUGUUCAGGCGGUUUGUGUGUCGUAGAGAAGGCGAGCGAGAUGGAAAAUGGCUGGACAAGGAGGAGUACAGCCGUAGACCACGAGCCCUAACUCGAUGUGAUUGCAGAGCAUUACUUGAUAUUAGACUACACAGAUCCCGUGGAGUAUGGUACGUGAAUAAUUUUGUGGAUGAGCAUAACCAUCGCCUAGCUAUGCCUGAUGAAGUUCCGUUCCUAUGGUCUCACCGGAAGAUUAAGGAUUUCCAUAGAAAUGAGAUCAUGUCAAUGGAAGCUGCUGGAAUCCGUAAGCAUGUCAUAAGAGAUGUUCUUCAAUGCAGAUAUGGAGGAUAUGACAAAGUUGGCAUUGUUACUAAGGAUAUUUACAACUAUUGUUCCAAGAACAAGAGGUCAAGAAUCGCAGAAGGUGAUGCAAGGACAGUUCUAGGUUUGCUGCUGAAGAGGAGGAACACCGAUCCAGAUUUUUACUUUGAUUAUAAAGUAGAUGAUGACAGUCGUCUGAUGAGCUUAUUUUGGUGCGAUACUCAAUCUCGUAUGGACUACCAAUCAUUUGGUGACGUGGUCGUCUUUGACAGCACUUAUCGGAUGAAUAGGUAUAAGAUGCCAUUUGUCCCAUUUGUUGGGCUGAACCAUCACCGCAACACAACUGUUUUUGGUUGUGGCAUCAUUUGUGAUGAGCGGGCUGAUUCGUAUAUAUGGGUUCUCCAAGCAUUUCUGAAAGCAAUGUGUCAGAAGAAACCACAAUCAGUAAUUACUGAUGGCGAUUACUCCAUGAUUAAAGCUAUUCGGCAAGUGCUUCCUGGUGUAAGUCAUCGCAUUUGUUCAUGGCACGUGGAGAAAAAUAUUCUGAAGCAUUUGCAUAGCAACUGUUUGGAUGGGUUCCGCACACUUUUGUAUUAUGCUAGUUCAGAAACAUUUGAAGCCAGAUGGAAUGCCUUUCUUUCAGAGUACGAGACUGCAACAAAUAGAGAAUGGCUUGCAAUGAUGUACAAAAAUAGAAAACUAUGGGCUGCUGCUUUUCAAAGGGACAAGUUUUUCCUGGGUAUGAGAAGUAAUCAGAGAAGUGAAAGUCUCAAUUCCAGUCUUCAUAGGCACCUGGACAUAUAUAUGUCAUUACUUGACUUGGUUGAGCACUAUGAGAACUGCGUAUCGCGCCUUCGUGAAACUGAGGUUGAAUUUGAUUGCCGAUCUUCACAGUCGAAGCCAGUGCCUUUAACAAAAUACAAAGAGAUUGAAGUGGCUUGUUCCCAUAUAUUUACGGCCGCUAACUUUUUUUUUGUUGCAGCAUGAAUUAUUGAAGAUUAAUGAUUAUCAUAUACAUGAUAGGAUUAUUGCUAUGGGUUCAUCAAGAUAUUUUCUAGUACACAAUGAGAAGAAGAAAUCAGUGUUUGAGGUGGACUACUGGUCUGAUACUUCAGGCCACACAAUUCACUGCAGCUGCCGUAAGAUGGAACGUGAUGGUCUCCCUUGCGCUCAUAUUUUUCAUGUUUCGGAUCAUCUAAAAAUAUAUGAAAUACCAAAGUGUUGUAUGUUGCAACGACACUUAAAAGACGCCAAGGGUGGCCUUCCUUCCAAGAGAAAAAGUGCUCUACAUGUUUGGACCACGAAGAGAUCAAGGUUCAGUGAACUUACUGUGCUUGGGGCUGAAGCAUUUGAUGUUGCAUCAAAGAAUCAUGAACAGUUUUGUGGAGUUAAGCAGUACUUGGGGAACCUCAUUUCAAAAAACACAAUACUCACCAUGAUGCUAGAGAUGAGCAGAGGUCGGUUCAUUUUAAUGAUCAAACUUGGCAUACUACAAUCGGUUCAGUUUUUGAUCCAAUUAUUGCUGCCACCAAAGGUGCACCCAGGAAGAAUAGCAAUGUGCCAAACAAUUCGAACGUAGAUGGUUUGUCCAAGAAGAGGUACAAAUCAUUUGUUGAGAAACGGCAGUACAAGUGCACUCUAUGCAAGCAGCAGGGCCACAACAGAAAGACAUGUGAGAAACAAGUAAGUAAUUUAAUUGUGACAUAUAUGGUUUACAUGCAUCUGCUGGUUGUUCUAUGUAUGAGGUGCCUGUCUGUAUAAUUUGAGUGAAAAAGUGACAUUGCGUUUUUUUUGCUCAGGUGCAACAAGGGUGCGACUGAUCUGCUACCACUGGAUGUGAACUGAUAUGCUUACAGCAGUUCUUGUAGUAGUUGUUUAAAAAAAAUUCUUGUAGUAGCAUGACUUGCAGUCCACAUCUAGUUCUGUAAUACUUCUGGGUUCCUGUGUGGUAAUAGGUUGGGUUUAGCCUUCCAAAUAUAUUUUGUUCAUGUGUCUGAAGUUUCUGCCUUCCCAUGUAUUGAGAGGAGAUACACUGGUACUGGACAAUUGGUUGUGUAUCAUUCAGUUCUUAUCCAAGGUGUUAGGCUUUGGAUGGAACUCGCAUGCUGCUAUUUAGUGGCAAUGAACAAAAACUUCACUUAUGAUUAUGAUUAGCCUUAAACUUGUGCGUUUGAGCCUCCAAAUUUAUACUAUCGGUGACAAAUUUGAAAUUGUACUAUCUGGAAAUGUUUGUACACUUCUUAUUGAUUAUGAUUUUACAUCGACCUGCAUAUUUGAGAUAAAAUCUGCCAUGAUGACAAAAAAUAUCCACAUCAAGGCAGCAAUUGCAGACACUGACGGUGGUCAUGCCUGAGGCAGCAUGCCCUGCCGCCAACUGACUGGAGGAUCAAGCAUCUGUCAUACAACUUCAUCAACUCAACAAUAAAAACUCGCCAAAACCAAACUGCUCAUAAAUUAGCACAACAAUAAUUUGCACUGACUUCUGAACUUACACUUACAGACUACCCAUUCUUCAUGUUGUUGAAAUAAAACUGAUCUUGUUGUAAAAAACAAAGUUUUACAUAUAGAUUAUGACCAUGAACAUGCACGUUCUACAAACUUCACAAUGACGGCAGGCAGCUUUGGGCAUGGAUGGGCCUUCGGAACCAGAAUAUGAGCCAUGUCCAGAUCCUUGACGACAUCAGCAUUAACCUCCAGGGACCCUUCACACGAGACAUGCUUGAUCUGUGUCCAUGUAGGGAGCACUUCUGCAUUGAUUCACCCUGUUAUAUCCUCUAAUCAGUGGUUCUGUCAACCCUGGAAGAAGAAUGUGAAACGUUAGUCCACGUUUAGAAUACCCAAUCAGAAACUAAAAUAUGAGAACACAACCUUGAAGAUACCUAAUCAGUCAAUCCUCACAUUCAGGGGUGCACGAAUACAAACCACGAACAUCCCUAACGAAACCAAUCUUAUCAGUUGAUAGCAGGUGAACUGAAGACAUGCUAUAGGCUUUGGUCAGGCUUUGGUCAGGCAUUGGUGCUCAGUUCAUGGUGCUCAGUUCAUACUAAAUUCAUGACUGUUUCCAGAAAAAGGUCUGAACACCGCCGGAGCUCCCCCUGACGAAUACCGACCUGCGGGUCCCGCGCGUGGAGGAUGCUGCGUCGGGGCACGGCCGGCCGCCUCCUGCCGCCGGUGGCGCGGUGGGGUGAGGGGCGGCGCCUCCCCCGGCCGGUGUCGCAGCGGGGUGCGGCGGACCUCCAGCCGCGGGUGUCGCGGCGGCUCACGGCCAGCCGCCUAAUGCCACUGGGGGUGCGCGCAGGGUGAGGGCCGGCACCUCCCACGGCCGAGGCGUGGCGCGGACCUCUUCCAGCCGCCGGUGUCGCAGCCGGCCGCCUCCUGUCGCCGGUGCCGCGGCGGGGUGAGGUCGGACGGCGUGGGAGGAUAGAUGCACGGGACUACGAGAGGUUGAAGUAGAGACUCUUUUUUUUUCCUGGCGACGCCGUCUCAAACGCUCCAACGGAGCCAAGCGGACGGGCUGGACCCGGGUCUAUGCUUGGACGGGCUGAGCCCACGCGAGACCCAGAUGCAAAAUAAUAAAACAAUUAAUUCCUUAAAUUAUGUGCUUUAAGAUUCGUGCAGAAUUUGAAAAAGAGGAGUACCGGAGCAGUUGCCAUGUUUCACGAAGGUAAAUGUAACCACCUAAUAACAGAUAAUAAGGACAUGUUUAGGACCACUAUGCUCCAUCUUUUACAACCCUGCUCUCAACUUCAUUUGGCAAACAUGCCAACUCUACAAACUCUAUGUCCUAGCGCCACUGCCUUUAACUAACCCUUAUUGCUGCCGGUAAAUCCAGCCACCACCGUCCCUCCGUCAAUGAGUUGAUCACCAUAAUAGACAUUGUCACCACCUAUUGCCCAUGGGGAAAUCAAACCGUGGGCGUGAGUCAAUCAUAGAGGAAAUCGGAGAAUAGUAUCUCAAUAAGGAGGAGGAAGAACAUCUUCCUGACUUGUUCGUGUUUCUGAAUAUUUUCUGUGCUCCUGUUUGUCUCUAGCUUCUCUCCUAUAUAGCCAUCACUUGCUGGUACAAACCCACAAGACCUAAAGCCCAUUAUAUAUUUAUAUCGAGGCUUAUAUAUGCUGUGGUACUGGUACAGGGUAUGACACAGAUCCGAUGAUCUUCCAUUAGCCGGGCCCAUUUAUACUUCGGGGUUGUGGGCCGUGGGCAAGGCAGACGAUGGCGUUGCAAUGGGGGCUUCUCGUUCGAUUAUUCGAAUUCAACUUAACACACCGUAUAAAGUGGCCAACCGAGCGUAUCACUAGUUAGAUGGGGGUUAUUAGUUUGAAUAUAUGCCAUACUUAAAUUACUCCACCUGUCCAUCUAAUGUUGCUAGCAUGGUGCACACGCUGCAGAGCAUGAAGUACCAAAGACAUGCACGAGGACUCACGUUCAUGAGUAUCUUCACAAACCUUUUUUUUUUUGACAAGUCUUCACAAAACAUUGUUCUUUUCGCGGAACCAUAACACAAUUCUUGUACCCACGAAAUCCAUUGACGAUUUCAAAACCCUUAAGAGCCUGCGGACUGCGGCUGUGUGGCAUCACCAGGCUCUCACUUUGAGGCUUAUUACAGCAUCCCUCUUUAUGCUCAAAAUUUAUUGCAGUGCGCUUGGUAUCCAUAUCCUCCUGCAAUGCAUCUGCAUGCACACCGAAAAAAGCUGCUAAAGCUGCUAGGGCCUUGUUUAGUUCCAAAAUAUUUUGCAAAAUGGACACUGUAGCUUUUUCGUUUGUAUUUGACAAAUAUUAUCCAAUCAUAGAUUAACUAGGCUUAAAAGAUUUGUCUCGUCAAUUCCGACCAAACUGUGCAAUUAGUUUUUAUUUUUGUCUAUAUUUAGUACUUCAUGCAUGUGUCUAAAGAUUCGAUGUGACGGGGAAUCUGAAAAAUUUUGCAAAAUUUUUUGGGAACUAAACAAGGCCCGGUCAGGCCUCGUUUACUUCCAAAAAAAAAUUUGCAAAAUUUUUCAGAUUCUCCGUCACAUCAAAUCUUUAGACGCAUGCAUGAAGUAUUAAAUAUAGAUAAAAAUAAAAACUAAUUACACAGUUUGGUCGGAAUUGACGAGACGAAUCUUUUGAGUCUAGUGAGUCUAUGAUUAGAUAGUAUUUGUCAAAUACAAACAAAAGCGGUACUAUUCAUAUUUUGCCAAAUUUUUUGGAACUAAACAAGGCCUUGGAUUAGAGAGAAUUAAUUUCUUGAUUUUUUUUAGUAAAAAAGAAUGGGUAGCUUUGUUUCACGUUACAUAUUCCUUCCUUGAUACACACAUUUCCCCUACACAAUUAACUGCUGUGCUUCCAUACACACACCUGUUGCUUUCCGUCCACCUGCAGUUGCAGCCCGGUGCAUGCAGUACACCCUGCACGCGCUGCCGUUCACAUGUCCACGCUCCACAGGUCCAUAAAUCCACGACAGCCAGUUCGUCCAGUCGUCGCAAGCAGCAGAAGUCUCCAAAAUGCACCGCUUCUUCCUCCUCGUUUCUGCACUCGUAGCCAUAGCCACCACCACGCUUUCCGCCGACACCACCUCCACCAUUGCCGCUGCCCAGAGCCAGAGGUCAUGGGCUGAGCUCAGCGGGCGGGACAACUGGGACGGCCUCCUGGACCCGCUCGACGCCGACCUCCGCCGCGCCGUCAUCCGGUACGGCGAGCUGGCGCAGGCGACGUCGGACGCGUUCAUCGGCGACCCGGCGUCGCCGUACGCGGGCGCGUCGCGGUACGCGCCCGGCGCGUUCCUCCACAGGACGCAGGCGCCCGGCGGGUCCGACCCGGACGCGUACGCCGUCACGAGGUUCCUCUACGCGACGUCGAGCGCGCGCGUCCCCGUCCCCGACACGUUCAUCACGCGCCCGGCGCCGCCGGGGGCGUGGAGCGCCGAGUCCAACUGGAUGGGGUACGUCGCCGUGGCCACGGACGCCGGCGCCGCCAGGCUGGGGAGGCGGGACAUCGUGGUGGCGUGGCGCGGGACCAAGCGCGCCGUGGAGUGGGCCGACGACCUGGACAUCACGCUGGUGCCGGCGACGGGCGUCGUCGGGCCGGGGCCAGGGUGGUCGCAGCCGGCGGUGCACCGGGGUUUCUUGUCCGUCUACGCGUCGAGGAAUUCCACGUCGCGGUUCAACAAACAAAGCGCGAGAGAGCAGGUAAUGUAGCUUUGACUUACUCAUGUCUUACACAGGUAAUUUUGCAGUGAUAUUUGUGAUAAUGCAUGUUUUCAAGCGCGCAAGAUAGGACACUGAUUAGAUGUUGCCGAUCACUGCCGUUCUUGUGAGCUGUACUGUACCAUAAUAGAAUGUGCCAGCGUGGCGCAAUUUGUUCACACGUUUGCACCAAGAUCAGUCAAAUGUUGGACCUUUUGCGUCGUCACAAUAAUAAAUGGUAGUAUGUUUUUUAGGAUACCGACAGAGACAUUUAAAGAGAGGAUAGAACUGCAGUCAGUGUACACGGGGACAGGCUUCUGUGUUUCACACACUGUAGGGAACCAGCAACAAAUGAUUUGGCAGGUGCAUUGUAGGAGUCGGCAUUUGUGAAGUUCGCAUAUUGUACUGGCCUUGUUUACUUCUCAAAAAAUUUUGCAAAAUUUUUCAGAUUCCCGUCACAUCGAAUCUUUAGACGCAUGUAUUGAGUAUUAAAUAUAGACGAAAAUAAAAACUAAUUACACAGUUUGGUCGAAAUUGACGAGACGAAUCUUUUGAGUCUAACUAGUCCAUGAUUGGAUAAUAUUUGUCAAAUACAAACGAAAGUGCUACAGUGUCGAUUUUGCAAAAUUUUUUGGAACGGCCAGAAUCUUGUUGGGACUGGAACAUCUCGAUGUUGAUGUCCACAAGAAUUUUCGGAGAAGCAACAAGGGCCUUGUUUAGUUCAGCCUGAAAACCAAAAAGUUUUCAAGAUUCUCCGUCACAUCGAAUAUUGUGGCACAUGCAUAAAAUAUUAAAUAUAGACGAAAAUAAAAACAAUUACACAAUUUAGCUGUAAAUCACGAGACGAAUCUUUUAAUCCUAAUUAGUCCAUGAUCGAAUAAUAUAUGUCACAAACAAACGAAAAUGCUACAGUACCGAAAAGUUUUUACUUUUCGAAACUAAACAAGGCCAAGAUAGGAGUAACAUGCUGCAAACUGUUUGGAAUUAUAAUGAUAGGGAUAUAGGAUGGACGAAACGACAAACCGGCCUUCUUGAUUGGAUUGGAAAGGAGACGCAAAUCGCUUUCCUUGCACAAUUGAGCUCAAUUUCUUAUUCUUUGUUCGCCUUCUGGCCGCACAUACAAUUGCUGAACGAAUCUAUGCAGGUGUUGAGUGAGGUUAGACGGCUGCUGGACGCGUAUAAGGGCGAGAACUGCAGCAUCACGCUAACCGGGCACAGCCUCGGCGCGGCGCUCGCCACGCUCACCGCCAUCGACAUCGUCGCCAACGGCCUCAACGUCCGGGGGGGCUCCAACUCCAACGACACGGUCCCCGUCGCGGCCAUCGUCUUCGGCAGCCCGCGCGUGGGCGACGACCAGUUCAAGAAGGCGUUCGAGUCGCCGUCGACGCCCGGCGGCGGCGCCCGGCUGCUCCGCGUCCGGAACGCGCCGGACAUCGUGCCGACCAUCCUGCCGGCCGCGUUCUACAGGGACGUAGGCGUGGAGCUGCUGCUGGACACGCGCAAGUCGCCGCACCUCAAGAGGCCCGGGCCGGGCCCCGCGGCGUGGCACAACCUCGAGUGCUACCUGCACGGCGUCGCGGGCACGCAGGGCGCGGGGGACGGCGCCGGGUUCCGGCUGGAGGUGGACCGCGAUGUGGCGCUGGUGAACAAGGAGGUGGACGCGCUCAGCGACGAGUACCCCGUGCCGGCGGCGUGGUGGGUGGAGGGGAACAAGGGCAUGACGAGGGACAAGAGCGGGCGAUGGGUUCUGCAGGAUCAUGAGGAGGGUAAUCUCGCCAUGUGAGAUGAUUUUUUUUUUGGGGGGUAGCAAAUAAGAAUUUUCUUCGACUAUGUUCGCUGUUCUAAAAAGUCAUGAUUUGUGAGAGAAAAACAUUGCUGGCUGGUAGAAAAAGUAUGGCUGGUAAAAGAAGCGAAUGGGUUCAUGUCGCAUGGAUAGUUAAAGGAUCAAUGAUAAUCUCGCGAAUAUUUCAGCAAAGUCCAGAGUCAAUUUGAGUCAGAUUGGUUCAAAUUUGAAACAGUCUCUAUCAAUUCAAAAUCAUCAUCAUCUCACUGAAACAUGCCCACGUUAUAACGGUAUUUUGGGCUAACGUAUUGGACGAUAAUAAAAAGGGCCAACACUAGUUGGGCUCCUGAGCCCAGCAUACCCUCUCUUUGCUUUUGAAAUGCUCAGCAUACCUUUUGACCAAUAAUAAUAUUGGGCCGAAACGGGCUGGACCAAUUAACAACCUGAAACAUCUUUUUUGCCGAGUCGUAAUACUGUUUAUCGCGUCACCCGGGCCUUGUUUAGUUCCCGAAAAAUUUUGCAAAAUUUUUCAGAUUUCUCGUCACAUCGAAUCUUUAAACGUAUGCAUGAAGUAUUAAAUAUAAAUGAAAAUAAAAACUAAUUGCAUAGUUUGGUCGGAAUUGACGAUACGAAUUUUUUGAGCCUACUUCAUCCAUAAUUGGACAAUAUUUCUAUUUUGUAAAAUUUUUUGGAAGUAAACAAGGCCCUAGAGUACGAUGCAGUCUUUGUUGGGAAGAAAAAACAUCAGCUAUAUGAUGCAACUUGACACGUAAUGCAUGCACAGUUGCAAACAAUAAGUUGCAGCAAACUCUCUGCUCGCCUUUCUGCUCUCGAUCUCGGCUAGCUGCCUAGUUGCAGGCAGCUGCCGCUCGCAGCAAGAGAUCCAAGAGAUUCUUCGCUUCGAGAAUACGCCCUCGCCGGAGGUGCGUCACGAGACAUUUCCACACCAAAAGUCGGUUCGCAUUUACUACUGUAGUUCUGAGAGGAAGGUUGAAGUAGAAGGAGAAGGGGGCAGUGGUUUCGCUAGACUUGGCAUCACAGAAAGCAGCGAAGGGCGUCUCAGGAGUACGCUGCCAUUUGGGGACGUUUGUUCGUGGUGUCUCCUUCCGCCUUUGUAGCGUCUGUUGGCAGCGUGCUGAGAGCAUCUUUGCCGGGGCCCAAAGGACGACGACGGGCGCGCCCACUGGCUGGACAGCGUACGAUGCUGCCAUAUCUUGGGGGCACUCCAUGCCAUGCCAUGGCACAUUGGCACGAGCGUGCGGCAGCGGCACACGGGCUUUUAUUAGCUUGGGGCCUCUCUCAUGGCCAUGGCACGAUCUGCCGGCGCACCACAUAUAUAGCUGCUCUCAUCCACAGACUACACACAGUCUACAGGGCACCACCCAACCAAACCAUGCAAUGCAAGGUCAAUUCACAUUCACUGCCGAAGUGUCAAACCGUGAGAGACUGAGAGCCACCCACUCUCGAUCGUCGGGUGGGAUCGGAGCUCCCUGUUCACCGCACGCAUGGGCGAAGCUCCCUCUUAAUUUCUUUCCUGUUCCUUGGGUCGUGCACAGGUGAAGUGACACGGCGGUGUGGCGCCGCCCGCGAUCAUUGAGACGCCUACGCGUGACAACGACCGUCCACUACCCCUUCCCGGCCGCCCGCAAUGCGGCUUGGUCCGAGAUCGCGCUAGUGCACCGUGACACAGCCCGGCGAUUGCGCGCGCACCGCGGCGUUGAUUCGAUUUCGCGUUGAUGAUGAUGUUGAGACAGGGCCCGGGCGGCUCUGGAGGGUACGUACAAGAGCUCUUAACUUCUCAAGGCCAUGUUCGGUUGGCCAGGAUUGUGGCCAUCCUCCGUAGGUCACCCUGGCCUGGAUAAAAUCCAGGUCCUGGGUGAAACUCAUGUUCAUUUAGACCACGUGAAGAUUUUUGUCUUAUCAAUUAUCGGCCAAACCUCCUCAUUCCAACCUGGAACGGAUCCACUCAUCAAGGGUAAUCGAAUGAAUCCUCAUGCGGGGCCGUCAGGAUAGCUAGCUAAGACCUGCUUGAUGGAAUCCUCGCCCUGGAAUGAAUCCCCGCACAUACUUGCCAAAAUAUCAGGGGCAGCUGGAUUAAAAACUCUCCAAACCGAAUAAAGCCUAAGCCGGCCGCGCAGCAUGUCCUUAAGAAACGAGCAUCGCCGUCGUCCUUCUCGUCACCUGACUCGUGAGAGCCACGCCCGCCCGGCCAUAAGCUGGUCCCCUUGCACAACCAAACCCUUCCUUCUGUCACGAACGUCGAACGUUGCUAUGGCUAGGAACGAGGCCUUAGUUCAUCCCAAAAACAAAAAAAAAUGUUUUAAAAUUCUUCGUCACGUUAAAUCUUGUGACAUAUGCAUGGAGCACUAAAUAUAGACAAAAAUAAAAAUUAAUUGCACAGUUUAUCUGUAAAUCAUCUAGUUACUUUAUGGUUGAAUAAUAUUUGUUAAAUAAAAACAAAAAUAUUACCGUUCUAAAAACUAAAAAAUUUCGAAAGUAAAUAAGGCCGGAACAACCAAGGUCAUUCGCUCCUGUCAAAAAAAAAAAAAAACCAAGGUCAUUCCCCGGGACGCGUGGAAGCGAGAGCAAAAGCGGAGGGGCCCACAUGUCAGCCUGGGUUCACAUGUACUCCUGGAGUAUAGUACUACGCUGGUUGUUUACUGAUCGCCAGAACGGAUUCAUCAGGCUGUUCAGUGUCGUUAUUCUCUGGGGACGAAAAACAAGCAUGAUAGGCCUAUGCGUGCCGCCCAUGCAUCAAAAGAAGGGUCCGCUCGGCAACAAGGUGAAUCGGUCCAAAAGAUUCACUACCGUACACGGUACACCGGAUAGUUACAACGAUCGAUCGGGCCGGGGUGGCGUGGCGUGGAGCAUGCUGUUGCUGCAGGCAUAUCGCCGUCGUCACUUGUGGUCAGUAUAUAUAUAUAUAUAUAUAUAUUCAGUUGUACCGUGGAGCUGGCACGGCACGCACGCGAGCAAUGCGUCUCUACCAGUACCCAGAGAUGGGCGCCACCACGUUGACGGAUCUGAGAUGCAUUUUCGCGCAUUCAUUGGGAGCUGCGGUCGUCUCCGGCUCUCCUCCACCGCUACCACACCGUCGAUAUGAUCUCCACAAUGAAUUCCACUCAUCGUCCUCUCUCGCGUACCGGCCCGUGAACUGCCAACGCAACAAUUCUAGCCAGCCGAUCGAUGCGUCUGCAUGCCUGCGUAGGUGCGUGUACUACUGCGUAGCGUACCCCCAGGUUGUAGUACGUGGUGGCUCAAAAGGCUGAAGAUAGCUUGCCAGUGGCGGAAAAACAGGACGAGACCGCAAUGUUACGGGCUGCGCGCAUGCAUCAUCUCCAGGCUGCUGCGGCAUGCGACGCAUUCACGGCGGCAUGUCAUGUUGUUACGCCACACUCGUCGUCCGUGGCGCAGUGCAAGGACCAACAACAAGGCUGGUGGAGGCCAGGCGAGGACCGCGGGUAGCUAGGUGGGUGCAUGCAAGUGUAACUCGGCCGGGCCGGGGCUCGCUCGCUUGUAAAUCCAGCCUCACCAGGACGGCCUCCCCGGCUCCAGGUAGUACGUACACGUACGUAGUAGCUCCUUUGCAGAAAGUCAUCAAGCGUACCCAGUACUAUAGGCCUCUCUACCCUCGAUCGACUCGUUGUCGGCUCGGGGGCACCAGUGCAAAGCCGCUGCAAUAUAAUGCAACGAGCAGCAAACUCAUCGAGCAUUAAGGUGCGCCAACGACGGAGCGGUGGCACGUAGGCUGCCCCGCCCCGUGCCCACGUCAACAUUUAAAUCCGGGUCUCUCGUGUGCAUUAGUGCAUGGACCAUCCAUCAGUCAAUCACACACGAGUCUCUUUCCCUGCGCGCGGGCGCGUCGUCGUCGCCGGGCCGGUUUGGACUGAUUUUGAUUCGAACAGAAGCGUGUACGUACUCCGUAUCUCCAUAUGGUCAUCACAAUGAUUUUGAUAGGCGAUCAGCUAACUGCCUUCCAAACUAUUUGUAUGUUGUUAGACGAAAUGAUGACUUGAUGUAUAAGUUGGUCAACACUUGCUCUCUCAAAUUUAUGUGGGAUCAAGUAUAUUUUUAGUCUAUUUUGAGGUUGGAAUAAAAAUUCUUUUUCUCAACUUGAAUACGAGCACAAUAAUUUACCAUGGAGCUGUGGCUGUACGAGCAACGGGUAUGUGAACCUCAACUUGAAUACGAGCACAAUAAUUUACCAAUAUCCAGUACUGUAGCUGUCACGCUUCGCUAGCUAGCAUUAGAUACAACAACGAUCUUUUUUCUAAGAUACAUGUAUGUAUAUAAAACAGGGUGUGGGUGCUCGGCUUUUUUUCUAGAUAACGCAUAGAUAUAGAGUUUGGUUGUCUCAAAUGUCAUGGCUAAAAGUAUUAUUCGUUAAUCUAUUAUAAAAGAAAAAUAUUACUAAAUAAUAGAAAAUGUAGAAAUUUCAACUUUUACAAACGGAAUUCUCUCCGCUUCUGGAGCUUUUCAGCUGGUACAGCCGUACAGCAAGCAUGCAACGAUCACACACGCGCGUCUCGGCGAUGACACACGGGGAGAUUUGACCCGUAGCGGUGGCUUUGCCAGUCGCGUCCCUAGCUCUGUUAAUGCUGGUCCCUCCCCGUGCCACGCCGGCCGAUUGUAGAUAAAGGGCGUUUACCAGCAUCACCCAUCCAAUCAUCCACUGUGACGCUGUGUAGUGUGCGUACUGCUGCUACUGCUCGCACCUCGGCUCGCACUCGCAACCCGCUCCCCGCCACCUCCUUUUCAACCCAAAGACCCGUUUCUCGGACGCCGCGCCCCGCGCCUUCCGCUUAAACCCCGCAGCGCCGUGCAUCACCGCCGCCGCCGCCGCUCAGCAGUCAUGCACGAGUGCGCCGUGGCGCAAUCCUAACCGCACCGCGCCUAAGGUCUCUCCACGGUGGUCUGAAAGUCAAGUUAUUAGUACGACGCCAUGGUGGCAGGCCGUGUCAAGGCGGCCAUGGGCUUCCAGCGCAGCAGCCCAAAGUCGCCGGCGCCGGAAGCGGCGUCUCCAUCUCCUUCCCGGACGCCUAGCCGGGCGCCUCCCCCGUCGGGCUCCGCGUCCACCACCGCCGGCUCGGCGCCGUCCAAGGCGUCGGCGCUCGCGCGGUCCUUCGGCGCCUACUUCCCGCGGUCCUCGGCGCAGGUGCGCCCCGCCGCCGCCCGCGCGCCGCCGCAGGUCGCGGAGCUGCUGCGCGCCAUCGAGCAGCUCCAGGAGCGGGAGUCGCGCCUCCGCGUGGAGCUGCUGGAGCAGAAGAUACUCAAGGAGACCGUCGCCAUCGUCCCGUUCCUGGAGGCCGAGCUCGCGGCCAAGAGGAGCGAGCUCCAGCGGUGCAGGGACACCGCGGACCGCCUCGAGGCCGAGAACGCGCGGCUGUGCGCCGAGCUCGACGCCGCCGCGCUCGAGGUCACGAGCAGGAAGCAGAGGAUCGUCGAGCUGGAGAAGGAAAUGGCGGAGCUGCUGAGGAAGCAACAGGAGGCGGCGGACGCCGACGACUGCUCCUCGUCCGCUUCGGCGCCGAAUAACGAGCAUCUCGAGAGCUCAUCCACCGCGGCGCCAAACCGUGCGAGUUUGGCUCAGCUUGGUGCGGAGCGGCCGUACAUUCCGCCGCCCCCAGCGCCGCCGCCAGCAGCGCCUUUCAAGCCCAACAAGUCCUACUUCUCCGCGUCGUCGCACCCUUCGCCCGCUACAAGCUCGUCGCCACCCUCGCCGUCUUCCUCCACGUCCACCUCGUCGUCUUCACCGGCGCACUCCCGCUCGUCGUCGGAUACGGCAGCCGCUCCAAGACCCCGCGUGAUAGUAGAGCUCUCCAAGCUGCCACCCAUACCUCCGCCGCCGCCGCUAUGCCAUCCUCCGCCACCGCCACCUCCACCUCCCAGCAGGAGCAAGAGAUUCUCUCCCUCGAGCUCAGCCAGAGUCGACGGGAGCGCAGCCGCCACCGCCGCCGGCCCACCUCCCCCGCCUCCUCCCCCUCCGGCAAGGAGGCCGCCGUUCGGCGCCGCGCCACCACCGUCGGGGCAAUGCGACGUCAGGCGCGUGCCCGAGGUGGUGGAGUUCUACCACUCGUUAAUGCGGCGGGAAUCCAAGAGGGACGGCGGUGUCGGAAGUGAGGCCACGAACGGCGCCGGCGUGGCGACGACGCGCGACAUGAUCGGCGAGAUCGAGAACCGGUCGGCUCACCUCCUCGCGGUGCGUACAAACUGAAGCAUCCAUCCAUCACCUCGUUUCCGUUCUCGUUUUUCUGAACCGUGACCACCACCGGCCGGUACGCAAUUAGGUUUGGUAGUCGUCGUCCUCUUCAGCGGCUAACCACUGCUCGAAGAAUGCUUCGUGUAGGAGAGUUUGGUGACGCACAGUCGGAGAACAGUGGAGGCGUCGUUCUCCGUCGUUUAUUGCAAGAUUACAAGCGGUCUCCCGUCGUUAUUGCAAGAUUACAAGCGGUUUGGUUGGGUAGAUACGGUUAGUUAUUGCUGCGGCGGUGAAAGCAUCUGCAUUGCAUGCUCUGCCAAACCUGCAUUGCAUGCUCUGCCAAACCUUGAUCCAUUGCAGGUACAGUACAGCAAGUAAAACGGAGACCACCCGUUUGCUCUCGAGUUUAUCCUCCUCUAUCUAGUCCUCGAUGUCCAUGUCAGAAUUCCAUAGGUCAGGAGCGAGGACCCAAGAUUUUGUUCUGAUGGCUACGCUCUUCAUUGGCGUAGGAGGACGCGACGGCGAGCUCAGCUCGGUGAAUGAUUCGUGGUAAUGCAGAUACAGUGUGCUUAGUACAGGCAGUUAAAGCAGAAACGUACGUAAUCUGAGGUGGACGUGUCAUACUGCUAGGUGGGGCCGACCGGACGAAGCGCAGUGAAGGGUUGGUCUCGUUCGGUAGAUGAGCUUUAGAUGUGUGUGUGUGUUACGGUCUCAAAUUUAAUCCGAGCAUUGGUAGGAGGUUAGCUAACCGGCGGAGUGAUUCGUACUCCUCCUACUCGAGUGUGAUAUACCACUGGUGUCUCGAUCCGGUUGACUUGGAUCUCAAGGCAGAUGCUACGUCACUUGUGUUGUGAUUCGAAUUCUGAAGCGGUUCAAAAAAAAAAAAAAGAAUGACUCAACGAGUUAAACUGCUUUGUGGUUGACUUUGGUUUGGCAGAUCAAGUCGGACGUGGAGAGGCAGGGCGACUUCAUCCGGUUCCUGAUCAAGGAAGUGGAGGGCGCGGCGUUCGUGGGCAUCGAGGACGUCGUGAGCUUCGUCAAGUGGCUGGACGACGAGCUGUCGCGCCUGGUGGACGAGCGCGCGGUGCUGAAGCACUUCGAGUGGCCGGAGCACAAGGCGGACGCGCUCCGCGAGGCCGCGUUCGGCUACUGCGACCUCAGGAAGCUGGAGGCGGAGGCGGCCUCGUUCCGCGACGACGACGCGCGGCAGCCCUGCGCCGCCGCGCUCAAGAAGAUGCAGGCGCUCUUCGAGAAGUAAGCGACGACGAUCUCUCUCGCGGAGCACGCACCGCGAUCACAUACGUUGCUUUGCGUGUGUUCUAAAUGUGUGUGUGUACGUGUGCCGCCGGCCGAACUGAAAUUUCAGGCUGGAGCACGGCGUGUACAACCUCGCCCGCGUCCGGGACGCCGCCACGAGCCGGUACACCCGGUUCCAGAUCCCCUGGGAGUGGAUGAAGCAGGACACCGGCAUCGUCAGCCAGGUAAAAACUUUGCAUCGCAUUUCACUCGCCGUGCGUGGUUCCGUUCGUUCGUUCCGUCCGUGCGUCCGUCCGUGCAGUGGCAUUCAUUCACGUAUGCAUAGUAGAGACUGUCGUCGACUGUACUUUUUCGUACAGUGAGUGAAUUCUACGCUUGGAUGGAGAGGACAAACAAACAACUUUUUUUCGAUGCCGACCGUGUCCGUCCGCACAUGUAUGUCGGGGGUGUCACGUAGUACGCGCAACCGUACAAGUUGGAAGACUACAGUACAGCCCCCGCCUGGCGCCCUCCCGGCGCCCGCGCGUGAUCCGUCCGGCACGCCUCUGCUAAGUUCACGUGCAGAUCGAGCCCGCAGCCCGUAGAACGGUGGUGCGUAGCGUACCCUCCCGUGCCGGUCCCGGUACACAACAAAAAAGGGAAUUCGAGGUGGAAAAUUCGGAAGAAGCACGGCGUGGUUCUCGUCUGUUUCAGCGUGGGGCAUCUGGUAGGAUGCGGCGUGAGCGUGCACCGGUGCACGUGAGCCGGCCGGCCGGCCGGCGGCGGCAUCUCGUGAGCGUGCCGCGCCAUGCGCCCGUGCUUGCUUGCUGCGUUCCCCUUUCUCUCCUGCCACCGCUGCAGCAGCUAGAGAACAACAAUCCCGGGCACGGGGCACGGGUUGCCGGAAUCGUUCCUCGUCAACGUGGCCCCGCCCGGGCUAUGCCUAUGCGAUACCCAAAUUGCGCUAGCGAUUCGGGGAUGCGAUGCGUGAUCCGAUCCGUGUUGUGUUUUCCAUUGCCAUUGCCGUGUUCAGCAGGGCGCUAUGCCGGGGACGUGCUCUCUCUCUCUCUCUCUCUCUCUCUCUCUCUCUCUCUCUCUCUCUCUCUCUCUCUCUCGUCUGUUUUGCUUUGGGUGGGUGGGUGGGUUGUGCACUAGUGCUGCACCCACUCUUUCACCAUCACUUGACCUACGUGUCGCGCUCCGUGGAACCGGUAGACUCAGAAAAUCAUUCUUCACUUCAUCAACGAAAAUAUCGAAAAGCCCCAUGGAUAUAUAUAUUGGAGUGAUACAUGUAGGCGUAGUGGUUGCACGGUAUUGAUUGCUCGUUCUGCCGUCCUUACACCGGGUGGUUGUGUUUCUGGUUUCCACACUCUGGACCAUUUUCCAAACCCGAUUGAAUUUGUAGAUGUACGUACUCUGCUUUCUUGCAUCUCACUGCAAGUCAGUAUGCUGUUGUAGUUGACUGAAAGUUUUGAAUGCUGGUACAUGAAAGAAAUAUACUCCCUCCAGGUUCUUUAAAAAAAGAGUAAUUUUGAACAACGUUUAUGUCAUUAGAAAUAUAAAUCAUAAAUAACGUUUAAGUUUUUGAAUUUAGAAAUAUAAAAAUCGUAUGAAUUGAUUUAUAUUGAAAAAUAUUUUUAUAAAAAUAUAUAUUGCUCUUUUUUAAUAAGUAUUUUAUAAAAAAUAAAAAGUCCAAGUUAUAUUUUAAAUAUCGUGCCGCUGUCGAAACGACUUCUUUUAGAGAUCUGGAGGGAGUAUGUUUUUUAGUCAAGACGUAGACUUCCGCAGAUGAUUUUCCAGAUAAUCUAUGUUAGCACCUCUUUGGAAAGGCUUUUUCAUCGGUUUUAUUAAAAGCACUGCCAAACUGGUAUACAAGAGAGAAGCUAAGCUGAAAACAAGCCAAAAAUAGUGAAACCGAAGCUGUCUAGAGGCUAAAAGCUCAAGCCACCAAAACAUGCCUUUUUCUGUCUUGUCUGUUUUUUUAGAAGCUCAAUCCCUACCAAAGAGAGCCUUAAAAUACUGUUACGUUUUUUAGAAGCUCUGAGUAACUUGAUUGCACUGAAUAGAGGCUCGUGAGGGGCAAUAAAAUGUCGACGAGUGGUACCCCUUACAUUGUAUGUUUUUUAGAAGCUUAAGAAUCUUGCUUUGAGAUUAUCUGCUGCCAACCAUUCAACGGUGUUUUUCUCUCACAACAAAUCAGCGAACAAUACUUUCAACCAUGAUAACAAAUCAGCGAACAAUACUUUUAGACAUGAUUUAUCAACCAAGCGAACAUGCUGUGUUUGUAACCGUUUUUCUGUACAAAGCAUUGAUGGGAGCGGUGAUGUGCAGAUCAAACUCCAGUCGGUGAAGUUGGCAAUGAAGUACCUGAAACGGGUCUCCUCCGAGCUUGAGGUAAUCAAGGGAGGCCCUGAAGAGGAGGAACUGAUGCUUCAAGGAGUACGGUUCGCCUUCAGAGUACACCAGGUACAUGCUUGGUCGUUACUCCUACUUGUUAGCAUGCAGCUAUGCAGCAACGCCACUGUGAAUCAGAGAAGAACUCAUGCUUCCAUUCCAUGGUUUGGUUAGGCCACUUGACACUCCUCGCUUCAUGCAGUUUGCAGGUGGAUUCGACGUGGACACCAUGCGAGCCUUCCAGGAGCUCAAGGAGAAGGCGUCCAUGUGCCGGAUACAACGGCACAAGCAGCACCGUCAUCUGCGGCAGCACAGACUUGUCGCCAGGGCCUGAGGAGUGAUGACCAGAGCAUGCAGUUCUUAUAUGGUCGAUCUAUCUAUACGCCAUCAUCUCGUCCGUCGCCAGUGGCAUAGUAUGAUUUGUCGAUUGUUUUUUCUUUUUCUCCUUUUGCUGCGAGAAAUAGUUGAGGAUUGUCUAUUCUGCUGUAAACGCUCCAGUAAUGUAACUAAUGAACAACCUCUGUAUCUUUUUAGGAGAAAUCUGUGUUUAUUACAGGCUCAUCCUUCGUUCUUCCAAUAUCUGUUUUUGUCAAAAGCAUUGUGCUUAUUACUGAUUAUUGUAUGUAAAAUUUGCCGCUAUUUGUGUGCCGUGUCGUAUACUGCCCUCAGGAAAGGUUUACAACUUUCAGUGCUUUUUUUUUCCCUCUCUGAACAUUGCCAUCUGAUUGCAUCGAGCUUCUUGCUACAUAAGCGAAGUUCAAAAUUACUGUACUCGUUAUACUGUCUCGCUAAUUGAUACUAUUACUGAAGAUCAAAGAAAAUACACCCCCUACUGUGCACUACUUUGGUAUUGAAAAAUAACUGAAUCACCACAGGUUUCAAUCAUGUAAUACAACAUUGUAAACUCGCUUGCUGCUGCUGCUGCUUCUCCUUAUAUAUAUGAUGAUAUGACAUAACAGUGUUCCUGCGUUUUUUUUAAAAAAAAACAAUUGAAUCACCAAUUUAAAUACGAAAUGCCUAUAUAGGUUGAGCCAAUUGGUAUAUAUAUAGAUGUUUCUUUCUUUUCCCCCGGUCCUAUGCCAGGAGCGAGGCGUAGAGGAUCUGGUUCCACGUGUCGGGCACGCCGGCGAGGCACCAGUGGCUGCAGUCGUUGCCCGGGUGGCCGCCGCUGUAGGCGGAGGGGUGGCCGUCCCGCCUGAGCUGCGACAGCAGCGUGACGUCGAGCAGGUACACCGGCUUGGACAUGCCGCCCAGCGCGGCCCGCACCGCGCCCUGCGCCGGGACGGGGCCGGCGGGGUACGCCGACCCGGCCACCGGCUGCGUCUGCUGCGCGCAGCUCCGCGAGCCCUCGCCCCAGUCGGCUCCGCUGCAAACGAAACGAAAGCGUCUUUUUAGUUGUUGUUGUUGGGCCUUUUUGAAUCUUGUGGAGUUUUUGGGCUCUGGUGGGUGUGGGUUUUGCUUACUUGUAGUGGGUCGGCGAGAUGCCCUGGAAGUAGACCUUGGUCCUGGAGGUGUCGACGUUGGAGUCGACCCACCUGGCCCAUGUGGACAUCCCCUUGGAGAAGGCCGUGAGCCGGUCCAUGUCCUUCAUCACCUGCCCUCCGUCUUGGACGUAGUCCCACCUGGAUCACCAUCGGAACAAAAUCAAAACGACGAUGCAUGAAGUGUGUUUUGUUUCAUCAAAAAAAAAAGAAAAAAGUGGGUGCGGUGGACGACGUACGGUUGGUCCCUGCCGGUGUGCGUCCACCAGUGCCAAGUGUUGAAGACGAGGACGUCGGCGCCGAGCCAGGCGUCGCCGGUGAUGGAGUCGAGCUUGAGCACCCGGCCGACGGACUCCUCGACGAUGUCCACGAGGUAGGUGCUCCGGUAGUAGGCCACCGACACCCCGUAGUCCUGCCACCACCACAUUGACAGGCGCACGUUAUUAGCUGGCGUGAAGGCGGCCAGGGAGGACCCGGCGAUCGGCCGGCAACAAACUUUAGGCGCCGAUCGAUGCCCGUGCGCGCCUCUCAUCCGUAUCCGUGUACCACCAAAUAAAACAGAGCAGCGCGAUUAAAAGCCGAUCGAUCUCGACGAUGCAUGCAUGUUACGCCUACUGUAGCACACGUUCAUGGACAUGGCCGCACCGACCGUAUCAAUCAGCCCAGCACGCACAAAGGUCCAAAGGUGUCGGCACCCUCCUAUUAGCAGUGGACGGACGCGGCCUUCAACUGGCAGAUAGUAUAGUGCCAAGUCUAUUCAGUGUAGUACUAUAGUCGUCUGCGACAAAUCUCUCUGUUUGUCUGCGCCUGCGGCUACCACAGUGUGCCUCGCAGCGGAGCGGAUGCGAUGUCACUACUGCCGAAGCACAGCAAUAUAUUUUGUACGGCCCGUCCGUCAGCUCGUGGCAUUGUAUACCUCCAGUCUGCAAAGCAGUAGUACAAGUAGAGCGGGCAGCAAGAUGGGCACGUGAAACGGCAAGCAUCCUGCUUCCUCCGUGUUAAAUUAUAAGCUAUUUCAAAAAUCUUAGUUAAAUCAUCUUAAAUUUAACCAAAUUUAUAUAAUAAGAUAAUAAUAUUUAUGGUGUCAACUUAGUAUCAUUACAUUAUAUAUUAAUUAUAUUUUUAUAUUAUACCUAUUUGAUGUUAUAAAUUUUUGUAAUUAUCUCUAUAAUUUUGGUCAAAAUUGAAAUACUUCGACAUUUCAAUAUUCUUGAAAUGAUUUACGAUUUGGGAUAGAGGAAGUAGAAUUCACGGCAGUGAAUAAUUGGACUCAUGGAAUUCAUGGCGAUGAUCAUUGGUUACCAAUAGGCACCCGCGAAGUGGAGUGACUCUAUCCUGUUGCACUGAAUCUGCAUGUGAGUGGUCGUUGCCAACAGCCAUGCAUGAUAGGGAUCUGCAUUUGAGGUGGGAUUAUUGCUGGGACAGUGGGACGACGACUGCAUCCUACUCGACAGGAACUAGUGGUUCGGCUGUCCGGGUCAUCUGGAAUGCUAAAUUGACGUCUGAAAUGCCAGGUUCUCAUAAUAUCUUGCAUGGCAUUUUUAUUUCUGUGCAACAUCCGCUAGAUCUAGCUAGCGCUUCAGACCAACAUGGGCAACCAACAGGGGAAGGAACUAUAACCUAUUAUUUAUCGUCUAAUUUCACUUCGUUUUGACCUUUAUGUCACUUUUCCCCCCUUUUCAAAGAAAGUUCAUUUCUGCUCAGUUUUAACGUAGGCGUCAGCCAAAAAACCAAAAACUUUUUAAGAUUCUCUGUCACAUCGAAUCUUGCGGCAUAUGUAUUGAGCACUAAAUAUAGACGAAAAUAAAAACUAAUUACACAGUUUACCUGUAAAUCGCAAGAUAAAUCUUUCAAGCCUAGUUACUCUAUAACUGAACAAUGUUUGUCAAAUAAAAACGAAAGUGCUACAGUCUCGAGAACCAAAAAAAAAAUUCAAAACUGAACAAGGCCGUAGCACGAAUAAUAGCCGGUACAGUACAAGCAUGUACCACGUCCUACAAUGGCUGGCUGCCAGCUUCUGUACACAAGCUAUAAACCUGCAGACUCCCCCCGAAAGUCACCGUUGCACAUCCCAUUUUUAGACGUACAGGUUCAGAUAAAGUCCAUCUGUAAAAUCCCGCACAGUCCGUAUUGGAAUUUGGAAGACCAGCAGGGGACUCGGACCCAUCUUUACACCAUCAGCUGCCUAAUGCCCUGCUUUGAUGGACGGCUAGACGCAGACAGUCUUCUUCUGAUUAUAAUAACAGAGGACGAUCCUAACAUUCACAAAGUACCAAUCUGGUCGGCACAAGAAGUAAAAAGUCCCAUUUGCUGAUUCUCUGCAGCCUACUAUUCGAUCUAUCUAUACAUAAUAAUAAAUAAACAUGUAAAAAAAGAGGGAUCGCAUCUGGAGGACAGAGCAUGAGAGGAUCCAACAGUUUGACCCUUGUCAGCGUAUCACGGGUAAGACUAAGACCGAUGGUUAGCAAAGGGACGGGACCCGUACCCGUAGCAAAACGCCAACAAUGGGACGGGCAAAUGAUGCUCUGUGCACUGUGCUGUCCCGCGGCCCGUCCAUGGCGCCGACGACCCCUUCUCCCCGUCACGGACCACCCACGAGCGCCCCACGAUCGCCCAAUUCCUCUGCCACUGCCACCACCACAUGACCCAAGCAAAUUGGCGCGCGCGCGCCCAGUUUUCUCUGCUGGUGGCGGUGCGAUUUGGCGCUGGUGCGCUACACACACCACACUGCCCGCCUCCAUCCGCGCCAGACAAACGCGCCGUUCCACCCGUAGGGCCCGAAAGCCUGCGGCCGGAACUCCCAAAAGGCCAGCACGGGCCACGGGCACAGGCACAAAGCCUUUUCGAAAGCUUUGUAGACUGUCUAUUUCCCAAUCUUGCUUUUAGUUGCUGCUUAAAUAAAUACUAGUAAUUUGAACAUCCCAUGACGUGAAUCCCUUUCGCUACAACGUCGAGCCUAAUACACCUAUCCAGGGCCGUGCUACUUCUCACUAAAACCGAGAGGAACCGUAACGUAUGAUGUACUAGGGCACAUGACGGCAGGGGAGCAAUGGUCUGGUAUGGUACUAGGCGUACGCACGCACCUGGAACGUGACGCUGGAGACGGGGUUGCCCCUGGCGUAGGCGACCUUGGACGCCGGCGCGGCGGCGUGCAGCAUGCACGCAAGCGACUCCCACUGGUUCAGGCUGAUGGAGUCCCCCACGAACAGUAUCUUCUUCCCCUUCCACCGCCUCAGAAACUCCUGCCCGUCGAACCUGGCAUUGGCAGGGCAGCAAUGGCGGCUCAGAGAGACUCCAGCACUCAGCUUGGCGCGCCAAGAUUUGAUCGAGGCAAUGGCUGAUGACGAGUGAUGAGAGACACACAGACAGAUGCGUACCUCGGGAGGUCGCAGGAGGUCGGGCGCCACCGGUACUUGAGGUACAGCUUGUCGGGGCGGCCGUACUUCUGGCAGUCGAACUCCGGCUCCACGAAGGGGCACCCCGCCGUGUCGUACAUCGGCAGCGUGUCGUCGUACACCCAGCUGCCCUGGAACAGGUUGCACGACGCCAUGCCGGUGCCGGGGGCGGCGCCGCCACGGCCACGGCCACGCUGGUUCCCUCCCCCGUGCCGCGUGCCGUUGUGCUGCCGCGCGGGCUUGCUAUGCCGGAGGCCGAGCGUGCCCGUGCCCGUGACCUCGGCGGCGGUGCCGCACGCGCGCAGCAGCGACCACGCGACGGCCGCGGCGAGGAGAGGCAGGAGGCGCAGCUGCCGCUGCCGCUGCCGCUGCUUGGCCGCCAUUGCGCGGCGCUGUGGAGUGAGCAGCGAGGAGCUGCGGCUGCUGGUGCUGGGCCUUGCGGGGACGGGCACGGACGGAUCAGAUGAGGGCGGCGCGCCGAACUUUUUAUAAUAGAGUAAGGAGAGCGACGGGUUUUACGCCUUUUAACCUGGCCUAUAUCAGUUUUUUUUUCUGUGGGCUGGCCCUGGGUGGCCGGCCGGACUUAUCUCCGGUUAGAUUCUCGGCCGGUCGCUGGCCGCUGGGGUCUGCGCGGCUGCGCCAUGGAUGAGGGAACCUUUUCUGUCAGAUAGGUUAUGAUGCGAUGGUGACUCUGUUUCGGCAGCCGGCAGGGUCAUAGACAGCGGUCGCCGGAUGAGGAAGUCCACGCCGCCGGCCCACGGCGUGUCACCCUGUCACUGCCGGGCGCGUACAUCGGCACGGGCCGUGAAAGAAGUCCCACGGACCGCGGAACGCGUACUGCGGUCAGGUAGAUCCGCGCCUAGCCAGAGCCCAAAGAUAUCUUGCAUACGAGCAUUCGGUGCUCGAUGUUGUUAAGGCCGAGUUGGGUCACCAAGGUAAGGAGCCAGAUCGCUCGUGCAAAGCUUAGGUUUACUCAAAAAAACCAAAAACUUUUCAAGAUUCUUCGUCACAUCAAAUCUUACGACAUAUGUAUUAAGCAAUAAAUAUAGAUAAAAAUAAAAACUAAUUACACAGUCUACCUGUAAAUCGCAAGACGAAUCAAGCCUAGUUACUCCAUGAUUGAACAAAAUGAAAGUGCUACCGUGUCAAAAUUCAAAAAAAAUUCGAAUCUAAACAAGACCUUAGCCAACUUGGGUUCGCCCAUGUCUAGAGUAUGCCCGCACUCCGAUCUUGUGCUCCUAGCAACAAGUACCAUAAGCAAAACAUAUUAUCUGAUGAGCUUUACUUUUUUUCUCAAAUACACGAGAGGGUUGUAUAUUUUUAUAUUAAGAAGGGAGAAAUUAUUCAGUACAAACCCAGCCGAGGCCGAGCACCCUAGUGACAUUGAAGGACUCGGGUGGCAGCUAGCUACACCCCCGACGCUAAACACCAUAGAUUUUUGGCGCCUGCAGUCGCCCACUGCUCUGCCUCCGCCUUGAUCGUUAUUAGGGGAUCUAGAAUCGUGGUGGCGGCGUCCCUGAAGCAAUGCACAUUCCAUUAAUUCCAGAUGGUCCAGGCGGUCAACGUGAAGAGGGAAUCGAAGCCCUUCCUCGAGUUUCCUUACCAAGUGCUCCUCAGACGAGUCCAUUAGACUACGACUGAAUUCUCUGCGGCAGGCAAAGGUCACCCAAGGGCAUGACACAAGUGAUGCCAUACCUCUCUUGUGAACGGGUAGGUACAAAGGAUGUGGUCGAUCGUCUCCAGAGAUUGGUCGUAGAGGUAACACUCCUCUCUAGCCUCGAGUCCAUGCCGUGCGCGUCGAAUGUUUGUCCAAUGUCGUCUUUGGAAGGACAACUAGAAGAAGAUCUUUACCUUUAAAAGGGCCUAGGUCUUCCAAAUUAGUUUGUGUCUGCAGAAGGGCACCCGAGGAGCUUUAUCAAGAGCACGAUACACAAGACACGUCGACAAUGUCUCUUGAAACAUGAAACCCCACACGUCCGGAAUGGACCCUGUUGGGGCAUGCGGCGGUUGUGAGCUACUGUAUCCGGCUUGACCACUCUAGAACUUCGUCAUCAACGAUCCUCCAGCCAUUCAUCACCGACGAAGAACAAGUAGAAGUAGAGAGAGUAAAAACUUUUAGUAUAUGUGUUUUUGACGAUUAAAAGUUAAGAUCCUCAAUCAGCCAUGGUUCCCACUGUUUUACAUAGAGGGGAGGUCUUAUCCUAAUAAGAUUUCGUGUGGAAGAAUUUGUGGAAACUUUCUAUUCCUAGCAAGGUGAUACUUUUCGCAUGGCGGGUGUUACAUGGCUGCAUCCCUUGUCUUGUGGCUUUGGCAAACAGGCAUAUCACCAACGCAGUAAAUUGCCUGUUGUGUCAGGUGGCGGCAGAAGAUAUUAAGCAUGCUCUAUUUACAUACACCCGCGCAAAGAAUGUUUGGGCGUUGUUGGGAAUUGAGGAACACAUUCAGAGAAUGAUGGUCGCUCACAGAUUGGGUUGGGUUCGGUUAUCCUCCAGGAGGUUAUCAGAAAAUGGUGGUGAGGUAAAGGAGCUCAACCUUGGUCGAGCUGAACUCAUCUUGACAGGUGCUGGUAUAUUUGGCGACAAAGACGUCAGCUUGCUCAUGGUGAAGAUAUCCAGAAUCCAUCAAGAUCGACCUUGUCAAUAGCAACAAUUACUUGGAAUUAUGCGGCAACAUCAAAGAAGGGAGCAUUAAUCAACCAAGGCAUUGAGGAUGUGAUUGGCCACUUGUAUACGCUUGGAUGACGAUCAUGGGGGAGAGAAAAACGAGCAUGGCUCCGAUGCAUACUGUAAGCCUGAAUUUAUGACAUCGCAAAAGAUUCUUGAAUAGUGUUACCACGUUUACCUUUACAAGAAUAUAGAAGAGCAGGGUCGUUUAGUUCCCAAAAAAUUUUGUAAAAUUUUUUAGAUUCUCCGUCACAUCGAAUUUUUAAACGCAUACAUGGAGUAUUAAAUAUAGACGAAAAUAAAAACUAAUUGUAUAGUUUGGUCGGAAUUGAUGAGAUGAAUCUUUUGAGCCUAGUUAGUUCAUGAUUGGAUAAUAUUUGUCACAAACAAACGAAAUUGCUACAGUACCUGUUUUACAAAAAAAUUUGGAACUAAACAAGGCCUAAGUUUCUAUUUGGUAGGACUUCCACACUAUCUUCUUCUCUGCUCUGUGGGCAGAGUCGGCAGAGCCACGUCGUGUAGAGGAAUUCAAUUGGCUAGCAAAGCACAGAGUCAGAGCCAUUUUGGCCUUGUUUAGUUCGCAAAAAUUUUUAAGAUUCUUCGUCACAUCGAAUCUUUGGUCGCAUGCAUAGAGCAUUAAAUAUAAACAAAAAUAAAAACUAACUGCACAGUUUACCUGUAAUUUGUGAGAUGAAUCUUUUGAGCCUAGUUACUCCGUGAUUGGACAAUGUUUGUCAAAUAAAAAUGAAAUGCUACAGUAGCCAAAAACAAAAGUUUUUGCCAACUAAACAAGGCCUUUGUAUACGGACGCGAAGCUGCAAAAACUGGCUCCACAUAAAGGGCGCGUGUGGAGGAGCUGCACCAAAUAUGUCCUUAGAAAAAAAAAUGCUAAACUAUAGUAGAUUCCAAGCACCAGAUAUUGCGCUCAUGGUCCCGAAAACCCAAAGUUAGACGCCACGAUUGCAGCAAUGCAUACUUUGUUAUAGUGACGAACCUAUAUUGAAGGCGCGAUCACAUCCCAGCAAAAAGAGAAAGACAAUAAUAAAAGCUAAUUUCUUUACCAUACUUACACCUUUAUUUGAAAAGCCCCGAAUCCAUAAGGAAAGUACACCUCUCUUUUUUUGAUUUGCUUAGCUCUGUCAUAUUGUGUUCAUGCGUUAUCAGUGAUGAACUCGGCCCAAAUUUGAGGCAUGGGGCUCUUGACUCGUUAUUCCAACAGAAACGUACUGAAGUGUUUGAAUUGAGCUCUGGUUCCCACCAGCAGAAACGGAUGCUAAGUGCCCCAUGGCCUCACCUCCCACCACAACUUCCAUUCCCAUCACCUGCCCCUCUCCUUGUGUCAUAGCUCCUGUCGUCGUCCAGCGCAUUGCACAGUCUCUACCGCUGCGUGUGCUCCUACGCAGUCAUUUCGCUUGCCAUUGGCGCCCAAGGAGGGCGGAGAACAACAACACAUGACCCUAGGAUGCAUCGAUACCCAAUCAAAGCUCCCCAAGGAGAAGAAGCCCGUGAAAGCUUGAUGUUUCGGUUCCUCUAGCUCAUGCACACCUAUCUUAGUACGAGUUUAGGAGAUUCGCAUGCGGAGCUGUUGUCAUGCCCUUUGGUAGGGUUGCGCUUAAAGCUGGUUCGAGGGCUACUCAAGGGGGGUUACCAAAUAUGUUCCGAAUUCCUCUCAAGUACCUAUGCAUCCAAACAACAUAGAUCUAAGGCCUUGUUUAGUUCCAAAAAUUUUUGCAAAAUAGGAAUAGUACUACUUUCGUUUGUAUUUGACAAGUAUUAUCCAAUCAUGUACUAACUAGACUCAAAAGAUUUGUCUCGUCAAUUUCGACCAAACUGUGCAAUUAGUUUUUAUUUUCGUCUAUAUUUAAUACUUCAUGUAUGCGUCUAAAGAUUUGAUGUGACGGAGAAUCUGAAAAAUUUUGUAAAUUUUUUUGGGAACUAAACAAGGCCUAAAUUUUAGUUGUCUAAUUUCUACAUCUCAAAAACAAAUGUAUUUCCGGAGUUGAAACUUUGGGGCUGUUUGGCAGGGCACCUCACGUGAGGCUUCUCUAGAGGAGCCGGAGCCGUUUUGGUGAAGCCACAGAUCGGGUUCCGGCUCCUCUGCUUUUUACUCAAAAACGACUUCUCCAGCAAAACGUUUGGCAGGACUCAUCUGGAGGAGCGAGAACCAGAGCAAGAGUCGGAGAGGAACCUUGCCAAACAGGGUUCCCACGAUAAGUAUCAAUAUAAGGGUAUACAUAUUAUUUUUUCUAACACUUAUUUCUUUAAUAAAAUUUAAUUAUACUUAUUUUGGGGCAAAGAGUAAACUUUAUAGCCAGCUAAAUUUUCGGAUCCAUGUAUUUCCAAAAAAGAAAAAAAAAAUCGGAUCCAAAUAGAACCUCUUUUUUUUUGAGAGGGGAUCCUGGAGACUGGAGUUGCUCUCAUGGGCCUAGCGAGCUGAACCUUCUGUUUCCCCUACCUAGCUGCGGAAUGCGGACCCCGAGAGGUGCCUCUAUUUCGGCUACAGUACACAUUGCUAGACGCUCCCGCCGUUCCGCGCGUCGUCGCCGCCGCCGCCGCUGCCCGGGUCCUUACGCAAGACCGCGACGUGCAUCUGUGGAUCCAACUCAAGCCACGCUGCGCCUGGAGCGGCUCCCGUCUCGCCGGCCUGGAACCCUAGGCUUGACUCGGGGACCCCAUCUCAUCUGCGCUGCCGCGCGUAGCCUAACGUUGCCAGAAGUAAAGGUGAGGAGUCCUCAAGCUUCGAGUUGCAGAAACUUUUUGUUAAAGCUACUGCUUGUGUAGGAUCAUUAGUGCAAUUCCGGUGCUUGCGCGUGCAGGCCGUGCUACCCACGCUCCAAAAUCUCGCCCUUGUUGGUAAAUACUACUGGUUUGCCCCCAAUUAGGGGACUGCAAAACUUCAUUUUAAUUAUUUUGGUCCUCUUUUGUGAUGCUCAUGGACAUCAUGCGAAUUGUGUAGUUGAAUGCCCCUUUAGGGCUUGAUAAAAGGAGCCAAGGAGGUGAUCAUGUUACCCAGCUGUGUGAACAUGUAAUUUCAUCUCGUUUCAGGGUUUAGAGGUGCAUGAUGUCUUCAGAGGAGCUGAGAGCAAGCUUUUCAGAUUUGGUGGUGUGUUCACCAAUCCGGACAGAGGGCAAAACUUAUUCUUCAGGUGAUUUGUCAUCUGAGGAGGGCGUACAAGUCACUAGUUUCACAGAGGAUCUUCAUGAUGUAACACUUCAUUUUCAGAUAAUGAGGUUUUCUAAACAGGUAGACAAGGUUUCUUGGCUCGAAUUGAAGUAUCAAAUUGAAAGUUGUUCAAAUUCAUGACAUAGAAGGAAUUCAUUGAUAUUUAUAUAUAUAUAUAAAAACUUAUGCUACUUCUGAUGAUAUAAGGCUUUCAACUUUGUUUGUGCUCUACCAGCUGGCUGUGUACUUUCAUUCAGUAAAAUAAGUAACUAGCAAUCUAUCAUAUCAUCUUGUGACCUGCAAGCAUGCUAGCUUUAGCAUUUGGCAAGUUCAUCCUGUCCUUGUGACUAAGGUUGUUAACAAUGUCACCUGUAUAGUUAGCUCCAAGUCUUUAAUCUGCCUAGACAAAAAUUGAUGUGUUGCUGUACUCUCUACAUUCAUCGUAUUUUUAGAUGUAUAUUUGUUUGAAUCCUCACAGCUUGUUUUUUUUUUGGAAGAAUAUCCUCACAGCUUGUUUGCAGCGUGUUACCUCUCAUGCUUUAAUUGGUGUAUAUAGAAUAUUUUUGUGAGUAAUCAUAUUUGAGCUUUUCCUUUUAUUCAUUUUGAUGCAGAUCUAUGUGUGGGUUGGAUGCAACACAACAAAGUUUGGCCAUUUAUAUGCUGCUGCAACCACUAGGCCGGUAAGCUGUAGUUGUUUCAUUUUUAGAAGAUGCUGUUUAAUUAUUUCUGUUGUCGUUUGUGCCAUGUUGUCUUUUUAAUUCGUGUCGCUUUACAGGAUAACAGAGUGAGCGUUACUUCUGUACUGGGAGGAACGUCUGAUAACACCGGAUCAAGUAUGGCUCGCCGUCUAGGUACUGUUUUUGCUGGCAUUUACAGUAACUAAUUGCUCUUCAUUCGCGGUAGCUUUUAGUAACAGAAAGGAUGCAUCCUUACAUGUCUCAGUGCUGAAGACUGGUCUGAACAUAGUCCUGGCAUGCAACAUCCCAAAAGACAGCCCCAUUCUUGAGGUACAUACAGUUACAUGUGGGCUCAUACCUGCAUAAAACAAUCUUGUGAAACAUAUCUGACGCUCACUGGUUCAUGGUUUCAGGCUGCUGCGGAGAGGAAGCUGGUGGAGAAGCUGAAAGGUUUGGGCUACAUUAAAACUGCAGCUGUGGAGGCUAACACUUCCACGGCACAAUGAUCCUUGGUGAGCUUUCGGUCGACGUGUACCUUCAUCAUUGGAUGCAGCAGGAACAGUUGUUAUUUUUGGUGGGCUUGAUUGGCUAACUGUUUUCUCUGUCCUCUCAUGUGGUAAAAAUUAUUGUGAACAUGUUCGUUGUAAUGUACUCCCUCCAUUUAAAUUGUGGACAUGUUCGUUCUUACUUUUUUAGAUGCAUAAUCUGUACUUUUAUCUAGACAUAAUGUAUAUCUAGAUAUAUAUAGCAAAAAAAAUCAUGUAUCUAGAAAAGCUAGAAUUGGAGUAACACCGUGGAAUGCAGAUUAUGCAAUGCCUUGCAACUUUGAGAUCCUCAGCUAAGCAUAAAAUCGGCAUUCAGAUCAUUUAGGCCUUGUUUAGUUUCCAAAAUUUUUUGAUUUUAGGUAUUGUAGCACUUUCAUUUUUAUUUGGUCCAAUAAUAGACUACUAGACUCAAAAGAUUUAUCUCGCGAUUUACAAGCAAACUGUGUAAUUAGUUGUGUCGAAAGAUUCGAUGUGAUGGGGAAUCUUGAAAAUUUUUUUGUUUUGGGGUGAACUGAACAAGGCCCAUGCGUAUGGUCAGCAGCUUGCAAGGCUUUCUGUGCUAUGGCCUCUGCUCUGUGGCGAGCGAGCUACAAUGACACAAUGGUCUGCAGGCUGCAGAGAUGUGAUUAUUCGCAGCCGCUGAGAAUCGCAGACACAAUACUUUUUUUUACUACACAAAAUACUGUUGAUACAAUUUAGAUAUAUACUAUGCAGCAGAAGGGCGACUGAGAAAGGCAGCCCAACAGGCCCAAAUAUGGGAUUUCUGCUGUGCAGGUGUCUGAUGGGGAUGGCUACCACUGUAGGGCAAUAAGGGCGAUUGUCAAUGAAUCCAAGUUGCAUUUUAUUUGUUCGUUGGGUCGUCCGUGAUGGUGCUAGCUAUAUAGCUAAAGACUGUUUUAUAUUUCUUUCAUCUAUACCUAUUUAUAAAGAGAGAAAAUUUCAGGCUGCCAAUAUUUUUUCUGCCUGCCCUGUCCGGCUUCGGUUGUCCGGAAACCUCUAUCCGCGAUUAGAUUAGGUUAUAACACAAGUUACAUCCGCAGCCGACAGCAGCGAUCCUCCCAAAGUCUCGAUCGACCGUCCGGUCCAUGCACGCAAGCCGCACACGCCGGCUUCCAUGUACUGGCUUGGUCCGUGCAUAGCUCCGAGCCUCCGACGGACAUGGCACAAACUUAGGGCUUAAGCUAACCCUAUAUCCAUUAAUGUGAUUGAAUCGAUAUAUUUUAGGAUUGUUUCUUUUUUGUGAAUUAGUAUUUUAUAAGAUUAAUCUAUGUCUAUACUUCUAUAUCUUUUUCUAAUAUAUAAUUGUAAAAAAUUUAGUCCAUCAUAUCUUUAUAUGUCCACUGGUCAGAUUAAUUAAACGAUGCCUGGUCCAAUUGGGUUAGGGGAAAAAAGAAAAGUUACGGGCUGAAUCUAACUCCGAAGCCUAACACAAGUUUAAACCAAUUUUAGACCGAACCAAGCGAACAGUUAGGCUUGACUAAAAUCCAAAAUGACCAGAAAAAUUUCCUUUUUAUUAUUAGAGAAGGAACUAUAGGACUUUGAUUUUUUUCCUCCGAUUGACAUCUAAGUAAGGGGUGCUUAGUUCCCCCAUAGAAUCCAAAAUACAAAAUACCAAUUACUUUGGAGUGAUGAAAUACAAAAUGCCAAAAUCAGGGUCAUGGUUAGUUCCAUUCAAAAUGCAGAAUUUAUUGUCCUCAUGAGAGCCUCUUGAGGCUCUUUUUGAGGUUUUUUGUCUCUUAAAGUCAAAAUACAAAAUGGAGAAUAACCACCUUUUUGCCAAAAAAAAUUGCAUGGUGUUUAGUCUAUUUUGCAAAAUGAUGGACCAAAACCCAAUUUUUUUGAAAAAAGGGAAACUAAACACCCCCUAAAUAAAGCAGUGGAGCAAAAUAAAGAACAUAAUUCUUAUCCUUUUUCUAUUUGACUAUUAAGAAUUCUAUUUAGAAUACUUAGGAUGUGAGGAAUCUAUUUAUAUUAGGACUUCUACUCCACAUAUUGGUUUAGACGUAAGUUAUUCUAACUCGUAUGAGCACGGGUUAUAUAUAAGUUUAGAUAAAAGAAACUUUUCAUUGUUCGGUAGUUAGAGGAAGAUAGACAAAAAAAAUGGACAAAAAAAGAACCUAAAAUUUUACCUCUUUAUUAUUAGGUAUAAAUAUAUAUAAUUAGGUAAUAGAGAUAUAGAUAUAGAUUUGAUAGCUUUUUUCUCCCGUUGCAACGCACGGGUAUUUUUGCUAGUAUCUAUAAAAAAUCAUUUUAGAUAAGGUUUAGGUUAAACAUUGCGAAUAUAAAUCAUGAAUAACUUUUAAGUUGUUAAGUUUAAAAAAUAUGAAAAAUAUACGAAUAGAUUUGUCUUAAAAAAUACUUUUAUAAAAAUAUACAUGUACCAUUUUUCGAUAAAUAUUUUUUAUAAAAAUAAGAAUUUAAAGUUAUGCUUUAGAAACUGUGUCGCUGUCCUAAAUAUUUUUUUAUAGGUAUGCAGGGAGUAUAUAUUUAUUUUUCUAUGUAUUAUUAGAUCCACAUGUUCCUCUCUCAUAUUUUUGGAUUACCUGAAAUAAGUAGGCUAUUCACUCAUCGCUAAUAACUACUCUCUCUUCUAUUUUUUUUCUAUAGCUAACGAAAUAGGUAGGUCUUGUUUAGUUUCUCAACAAAUAACUUUUCACUCAUCACAUCGAAUCUCUGGAGAUAUAUAUAGAGCACUAAAUAUAGAUAAAAAACUAAUUAUAUAAUUUACGUGUAAAUUGUGAGAUGAAUCUUUUAAAUCUAAUUAGUUAAUGAUUAGAUACUAUUAUCAAAUAAAACAAAAAUAAUAUAGUAGUCAAAUUAAAAAAAAUCAGAACUAAAUAAGAUGUUGGAGACGCCCUAAGGCCAGUCUUCAGUGGAGGUUUUACCAGGAUGUCAUGCACAUUUAUUAGAGCGUCAUGUCAGUAAAACUGCACUUUUUGCAUGAAACGAAGAGGAGAGAGAAGGAAGUAGUUUCACCAUGGUGAAACCCCGCGGGCGUUGUUUCCCACGCGGUGAAACGAGAUGAAAUCCCCACUGAGGGCUAAAUCGUUUCACCAUCUUGCAUGUGAUCCAAUUCAGAGUGGGCAUAAUUAACCGAAACCGAAAGAACCGGUUCCUUAUUCGGUUCCAAGUUUUGAGGAACCGAAAUAACCGAGAACAAUUCGGUUCCUACCCUCGGUUAACCGAAAGAACCGAAAUUCAUGAAUUUUACUUUACUUACUAGUAUUUUGUAAGACAAAGUUUGAUUUUUGUGUGACGUCUCAUAUUAAAUUACUGUAUUUAUGUUACUAUAUUGCUAAUGUAAUCUUAUCAAUUAUUAUUAUCGUUGUAUUAACCUUUCCUAGAAAAAUUCGGUUAGUUCGGUAAGAACCGGAACCGAACCGAAAUAACUUAGAACCGAAAUGUUCGGUUUCUAAUUUUUUUUGGAACCGAUCGGUUCUGAACCGAAUUUUAUAAAUAACCGAGGGAACCGAACCGAGAACCGAAUGCCCACUCUGAGAUCUAAUUAUUUUGUAGUAAUUAAAUGCUUUGUCCAGCCUAGAAAACGUCAAGAUGAAACUCAUAUAUUGUGGAGAUUGUUUUAUUAUUCAUUUUAUUUAUGCUUUAUCAGCAGAUUUGUUUCGAAAGCAGUACAUUCAAACGGAUCACUGGCCUAACUGCAUGACCAGUGACCACGCGUAUGUGGAGUGUGGGCCAUUGUAACACGAUGCCUAUAGAAGUUAGUGCACGCAGAUUUGACCCAAACCGUAGCGAAAAGCCAUUUUGGCUUUGGGGAGUGGGGACCUGCAGCAAAGCAGCUGCACAUCUGCACAAAAAACUGCUGGGAAGAAAAAUGCAAAUUCUUCAGUGCAUUAGGGUGUGUAAUAAUCUUCCGAUGACAAAUGGCUCGCGUUGAUUUGCCUUUUAAUACGAUUAUUAUUACUUAGAAUACUCCUAAAUUUAAUUCUUCAUUCACAUGUAGGGGCAUCCUAACAAAAAAUACUCUCUUAAAUAUUUCUAUCUAACAGUCCCACAUUCCAAAUAACAUAUUAAUGCGAGGGCGUCACACACUCUCAUGACCGCGUAACGAGUCACACGAUAAACUUCAUCCAACUAAAUAUGAGAUGAUAGAUAUACAAAUAUUGUUUGAGUUUUUUUUAUAAUUAUUUAUGCAUAAAACAUUAAAUAUAAAUAUAAAAUAACUAAUUAUACAGCUUAGAUGUAAUUCGCGAGGUAAAUCUUUUAAAUCUAAUUAAUCCAUAAUUAGACACUAACUAAACAAAGCCUCAUCCAUUCGCAUCCAAGAACUUUUUUUUUUUGGUGCUUGUGCUACUAGGAUGUGACUGUCCUACUGUCACCAACUUUUCUGCCCUACAAUCCCACGCAUAAAAAAGCUCACGGACGCAUCUCCGGAAAUCCCCUCUUUCCAGCCAGCCACCCUCACGCUUCAGUAGCCCCUUCGCUCCUCCGAAAUGGCGGCGGCCACCUCCUCCUCCACCUACCUCGCCAUCGCCCGCAAAACCCUAAACCCCGCCCCCUCCGUAGGCACAGCCGCCGCCUCCGUCUCCUUCCCCGCCACGCAGCCCCCAUGCCUCCUCGCCGCCUCCGCGGACCGCCGCCGCGCCGUGGCUGCGAAGGUCUCGUCGCCGUCGGUUAUCGGCACCGCCAUGCCAUCGCUCGACUUCGAGACCUCCGUCUUCAAGAAGGAGAAGGUGUCCCUGGCCGGCCAUGAGGAGGUACGAUUUGCAGGCCUAGCCCGUGCUUCCGUGAUCCUUUCGUUGUUUAGUUUGUGCGAACCCACACACACGCUGCUGAUUUUGCUGGUUUGUGUUGCAGUAUAUUGUGAGGGGUGGGAGGGAUCUGUUCCCGCUGUUGCCGGAGGCCUUCAAGGGAAUCAAACAGAUCGGCGUAAUCGGCUGGGGCUCGCAGGUUAAAAGGCCUGCAAACUCUGUUUUGUCUGAUGGAACUGUUCUUGUCUCUACCGGCGUUUACUUCUGUCGGAUGUAUUGGGUUAUUCUAUUUGAGUAUAGAUAGAAGUCGUUGUAAGUGCCCAAAUGAUGGCGUGCUCUUGGGAACGAUAUCUUCGGCACCAACUGCAGAUUUAGAUUAUACAUUUUUGCUCGAGCACUCUUUGUCGGAUGAAUAUGGUAGGGUCAAUUUGCAUGAUGGUGAAGAACAAAAACAUUAUAUGCUAGUAUCAAUCACUUGAAACUAUUAAUGUUGAGCAAACAUGUCACUGCUAUUGGGCUUGAGUGUUACCGUGCUAAUGUUACUCUUUAUGAGGUAUAUAUAGUUUGGUUUAGUAGGAAUUGAUAUCGAUGUUGCUAUGUUUGUUGCUUGUUGGUGUUGGAUGCAGUGAAUACCUUCCCUAAUGGCAGUAUCAAUUGAAUUAUCUAGAGUCGAUGUAAAUGCACAAUCUGUAUUUUCUUAUAUUUCAUUGUUUAUUAAGUUAUAGUUGUUUACCCAUCAAUAUUUUUCCUAUUUACUUUUGGACAUGAAUUUUCUGUUUCUAUAAGUUGUGUAGAAGAAAGGAGGUAUCUACACAUUGAUAAAAACCAUGUGCAGAUACUGAGAUAGUCAUCAUUAAUUUUGCAGGGUCCUGCACAAGCUCAGAACUUGAGAGACUCACUUGUUGAGGCAAAGGCAGACGUUGUUGUUAAGGUUAGGUCUUAUUUGCAUUCUGCUAGUACAGCAUAUGUUAGCCUUGAUAGAGACAGUCAAAUUUUCAAACAGAUGGUAGCUCUAAAUCAUUGCUUCAAUGAGCCAUCAUUUGUUCCUUGGUUUCUCGUUGACUAGAUGUUACUUAAGCAGUAAGCAGUAUUUCCUCUCUGAUUCUGCUGUUUUGGUUUCAGAUUGGUCUCCGGAAAGGUUCUAAAUCGUUUGAAGAAGCCCGAGCAGCGGGGUUCACUGAAGAGAGUGGGACACUGGGUGAUAUAUGGGAGACUGUAUCAAGCAGUGAUCUUGUUUUGCUGCUGAUAUCUGAUUCUGCUCAGGUUUGAUUCUUCAUCGAUUUAUAUGCUCAUGUGCUCAUAUGCUGCAUACUUUCUGUUGAUCUUUUUUUUUAAAAAAAAUUCUUGCUGUCGAUCAUUCUCUGGUAUAGUACUAUAGUGUUGCACCUUUUGUUAUUCCAAUUAUUAUUAUUUUAAUUCUGUUGCUUUGAGAUGAGACUGAUUCUAGUUGGUCACAAUCUUAUAUGUUUAAAAGUCUGAUGACAUUUACGGUACUUCAAUACUCUGUACAGGCUGAUAACUACGAGAAAAUUUUCUCACACAUGAAACCAAACAGUAUUCUUGGUUUGUCACAUGGAUUUCUCCUUGGACAUUUGCAAUCUCUGGGUCUUGAUUUCCCUAAAAACAUCAGCGUGAUUGCUGUAUGCCCCAAGGGAAUGGGUCCAUCAGUUAGAAGACUUUAUGUUCAGGGCAAAGAGAUUAAUGGUGCUGGUAUCAAUGCUAGCUUUGCUGUUCACCAGGUAUGUUACAUAUGGGUAUUGUCUGAAUAGUUUAUUACAUGUUUACCUUCCCCAGGUAUAUUACAUAUGUUCACAUGUUUGUUUUGUUUGGUUCUUCCUUUAAGUGUAUAUUUUUGAAUCUCUGUUGACAUCCUCGUGCUGUUCUUUGCAUCUUAUAGGAUGUUGAUGGAAGGGCAACAGAUGUAGCUCUAGGGUGGUCAGUAGCUCUAGGUUCUCCUUUCACAUUUGCUACUACUCUAGAGCAGGAGUACCGGAGUGAUAUUUUUGGCGAGCGAGGUUACCUACUUUCCUGUCCAACGAAAUAAAGUUUUGCACUUUGAGUCUGUGUCUAAUUAUUUAGUAUGCAGGUAUUUUGCUUGGUGCUGUCCAUGGCAUGGUGGAGGCUCUUUUUAGGAGAUACACAGAACAAGGAAUGGAUGAGGACUCAGCAUAUAAAAAUACAGUUGAGAGCAUCACUGGAAUUAUAUCGAAAACUAUUUCAAAGAAGGUACACAGCUUUUUUUUAUCUUUUGAUUGUUUCAUUUUGGCUUUACUCAUCUCAUGUCUUUCCAUGGUACCAGGGGAUGCUUGAAGUGUAUAACUCUUUGACCGAAGAAGGAAAGAAGCAGUUUAUUGAGGCCUACAGCGCAGCAUAUUACCCAUGCAUGGACAUAUUGUAUGAGUGCUAUGAAGACGUUUCUUCUGGAAGUGAGAUUAGAAGUGUGGUGUUGGCUGGGAGGAGAUUUUAUGUACGCUUUCCCAUCUGCUAAAAUUCUAAAUCAUAUUCUAUUCAUGGAUCUCCAAUGAAACAAAGUAAAAUGUUUACAUGUAUUUUCUUCUCUUAACAGGAGAAGGAAGGGCUUCCUGCUUUCCCUAUGGGGAAUAUUGAUCAAACACGUAUGUGGAAGGUGGGUGAAAGGGUCCGUUCUACCAGGCCACAAGGUGAUCUUGGUCCAUUGCAUCCCUUCACUGCUGGAGUGUAUGUUGCACUAAUGAUGGCUCAGGUUUGAUUCCAUAUCCAGGAGUAACAAGGUUUCAUUACACACUGGUUUGUGAAAUGUUUAACAGUCUUUUGUUUUGUACCACUGCAGAUUGAGGUCCUAAGAAAGAAGGGCCACUCUUACUCGGAGAUCAUUAAUGAGAGCCUGAUCGAGUCUGUGGACUCGUUGAACCCGUUUAUGCAUGCUCGUGGUGUGGCCUUCAUGGUUGAUAACUGCUCCACAACUGCUCGCUUGGGAUCAAGGAAGUGGGCACCACGCUUCGAUUACAUCUUGACCCAACAAGCGUUUGUGACCGUUGACAAGAAAGCACCAAUCAACCAAGACCUCAUCAGCAACUUCAUGUCUGACCCUGUUCACGGUGCCAUUGAAGUCUGC